UCUUUUUCUGCUCUUUAUCCUGAAGUCUAUCAUGCUAUGGAGUGUAGGCAAUUUCAGUUUAUAUGAGAGGUUAGUGGCUAAGUAUGGUGGGGCUGCUGCCAUGUAUUUCGUGUCGAAGAAAUUGAAGAAGAGACACAAUAUCACUGAUGAGCGUCAGGCUUUGUAUGGAGCUGCUGAACAGUGGGUUGAUGCUUUGAAGGGCCGAAAAUUUCUUGGUAUGUUCAAGUUCAAUGACCAUAAUAACUGAGAUACGAUACAGAAAAUGUUAAGUAUGUGUGUUACCUUGAAGACUCGUAACUCGUAAGUGCUUAUAUUCUUGAAUUUUGGCAGGUGAUUUGGAACCUAAUUUAGCCGAUCUUGCUGUCUUUGGUGUUCUAAGACCCAUUCGCCACCUCAAGUCAGGUCGAGAUAUGGUAGAGCACACAAGGAUUGGAAAUUGGUUUUCUGAGAUGGAAAAUGCAGUAGGACAGGCUUCCAGAAUGAGUGCAUAAGCAGAAUAUUUCUAAGCGAGUUUCAAUUUAUGGAUAAGGAAAUGCUUUAUGAGAAAACCACAUUAAAUAAGUUCGCUUCUACGAAGUUUGAUGAGUCUUUGUAAGCAAAACAUGUUUUGUUCUACUUAUUCAUUAUCGUGGUUGUAUUGGUGAUAUGUGAUCACAUACUGUUCUGUAAAAUCGAGGUAUAUAUAAUAUAACAACAAUAAAACCUUUAUUUUUCCAACAACAUGGUUGGAUACAUAAAAAGUGUAGGUAUAUAUUCCAUAAAAAAAAUUCUCCACUCUAGAAUGAGCUCAAUAUGUCUUUUUUUGCUGCAAUCCCUCAUAAAUAAGCACGGGGGCAAGGAAAGUGUUGAUUCAGAUAAGAAAUAACUAGUGAUAAAUCAAAUACUAGGACAUUUUUUCUUCUUCGUCUAGGAGAUAUAAAUAGAAAGAUAUGAGAAGACACGAAUGCCUCUUCAUGGUUCUCCUAAUGUGAACCUGUUGCAAAAUGAUUCACUUAUGACAUUUAAAAAUAACAAAAACAAACAAAUUUCUUGAUCCAUGACGUCUCUCUGUCUGUAUUUAGCCCCGGAAAUUUGAAUAUGAUUUUUUAGACAAAACGCGACAAAUGAUGAUUACUGCAAAAUUAACUUUCAGGAAUAGUACGAAAGUUGUGAAACAAUUGCAUACUCUCAUAAAUAAGCUUUAAAUUGUUGUGUUUUAGUUUUACUUUUUAUUUUUUUUGUAACUUUCUAGAAGAAUUUAACUGUACUCUAGUCCAAGCCUUGUACGAGGCAUUCAGAAGACAUUUCUAGUUAAAUUUUAUCUUCUUGAUUAUAUUCUGUACUCCUUCCGCUCAAUUUUAAAUUACUGAAGUUUAAAUCACGAACGAACCUUACAUAUAGUCUUUUUAUUAAUGUCCAAUUUAUUUUAAAAUAAAAAAAUAGUCUUUUUAUUAAUGUCCAAUUUAUUUUAUACGAUUAUUGAUGGAAAAAAAACAAUUUUUUAAUUUAAAAUAAAUUGUACAAUUUUUCUUAGCAGAUUAAACAUAUAUUCUAUGAUUUUAAAGUGUAACAAAACAUAAUUAUAUUUUCCAAAUAAUAAUAAUAUUAUUUUGUUAGACGAAGAUGGUGAGAAGAGGAAUAAACGAUAAAGUAAGUGGAUUUGUUUUGGCCUAGUUUGAAAGCAAGUAGUACUUCUUCUUCUAACCCAUUGUGCACGACCGCUACGCUGUUUCUAGAUCAUCAUCAUAUUCUCCUUCAAUAUUCAUUCCUCUUUCACAGUUUCUUCAAUCAAUUCAUUACGAUCAACCAUGCAUCAAGGUGAUUACACCUCUGCUCCAUAUUACCAAUUCCCACACAUGCAACAAAACCCAAACCCAAUCCCCAAUCCUACACCCCCUCAAUCCGAUCCAAUUCCUAAUCACUACGCUUCUGCACCCCCCUUUACUCCCAAUUACGAUUAUUCUUCUACCUAUUCUCCUUACCCUCCUCAUAAUCCCGAUCACGUUCCUUCCUCAAACCCUAGUUUCAAUCCUCCUCCUUUCGAAUCAUCUAAUCCUCUUUAUCAACAACCUUCACAACCUUAUUACCCACCCUACGAUCAACAACAUCAAACGCCUCUAAAUUAUGCACCUCCUAAUCCCAAUCCCAAUUUAUAUAAUUCAUCUCCGUAUUCUGUUCCUCCGAUUCCAUCAUACGAAACCUCAUACGAGAAUCCGGUGAAAUCCGGUGGCGGUGGCGGUGCUUAUUUUGAUGACAGAUACGGAGGUAGUUUUAAUCGGAGAAAUUCUGAUUUGGGAUCUGAAUUAUACGGUAAGCGUCACGAUGGUGGUUUGUCAAGGUAUGAAUCCGUUGGUGGUGGUGGUGAUGAAGGUUAUGGAGACGGGGUGUAUGCUUAUGAAGGAGGAAAAGUGGAACCUUAUGGGGCGCGUGGUACGGCUUCAAAGUCUUCGACUUGGAAUUCUUCGUCAACACCAUCUUUUGAUGAUUUUGGGAGGCCGAUUAGUUUUUCUUCUCCGAAAGAAUCUUCGGUGGCAAGUAAGAUUGUGAAAGCUGUUCCGAAGGUUGAUACACAAGAUGAUGUGAAGAGUGGGGUGCAGAAGUUUCGAGUUAAGCUUUUGGCUGAGAGUGGUGGUCAGAGUACAAUGGAUGUUCUCUGUCAGGUAUGAAGCUGAUAACAACUACAGGCAUUUGUUCUAGUUUUGUAUUUUAUUUGCUAAUUUAGCUUUCAAUUGAUUGAAGCCAGUUAUUUAUUAGUUUAGGGUCCUGUUUGGAAUUGUUUGUUUGAGCUUAUCUAAUGACAUAGGCACAUGUCAGAUUGUUUGAGAGAGGUUAUAGAAACAGCUUACAACUUGGGGAUCAUUUGGAUUGACUUAGUUUUGAGCUUAUGAAAAAUAGCUUAUGCAAUUAAAUAAGCUUUUAUUGUUAAUUCAUAAGUUCUCACUGACGAAAGUUGUAUCUCGACAAGUUGUUUUUUCAUAAAUAAUACGUAAAAACAUAUUUAUUUGCAUAAGCUGUUGUCCAUAAGCUCAAAAAUAAGCCAAUCCAAAUGGGCCUUUGAUCUGUAAAUAGAUAAGCUGUUUUUAGCUUAUUUCUAUAGCUUCCCCCAAACAACUUACAGCUUAUAUUGAAUCUAUUUUAUCUUGUUAUAGAAGUAACUUAUAAACAUAAACACUUACAUACCAUAAGUGCUUAAUUAAGCCGUUUAUCCAAACAAGUUUAGAUGCAAUAAUGCAGUCAAGAGAUUGGUUAGGUACUUGGUUGUGCUGUGCUGCUUUUGUAUAAGUACUUUAAUACUUCAUCUGGUUUAGGACAUUGAGCCAAGAUAGAAGUAAUUUCGGUCUAGAAUGAUUUGGUAGUAUAAAACAAUAAUUAUUAUGCUUGGCCUAGUGGAUUAAUCUAGUAGUGUAAAUAAAGUAAUAGGAAGAAAAAGGUUUUGUCACGCCUUUAUUCCUUUGUUUCUCAUUUUGUUCACUUUCGAGAAACCAUUAGAAGAGAUUUAGAGGUCAAUGAGUUGGAUCCAAAUAUGGUUUUUGAUAGAACACUAUGGCGUCAUUUGAUCUAUGUAGCCGACCCCACUUAGUGGGAUAAGGCUUGGUUGUUGUUGUUGUUGUUGUAAAUGUUCUGGGAAUUUCAUUGAAGGCUUUUAAACGUUCACUCACAUGCAGACAAUUUCUGAUUUUUUUUUUCUUUUAAAAUAACAUUCACAUAGUUCGGUAUUGCUGCUGAUUUGAAUGUAUAAAUUUGUUAAUGUUUGUUCUUUCAGGUUGGUUUGGAUGGACUUCGCAUGCUAGAUCCGAAUACCAGUCGGACAUUGAGAAUAUAUCCUCUUGAGAACAUAACCAGAUGUGAUGUGAGCUUCUUGAUUUCUUUCCUGAUAAUUCAUCGUAUUUGUGAGAUUCAUUUUCCUAUCGAAUUUAAAAAUAACGUUUUGUUAAUUGAAUAAUGCAGAGAUUCGAUUCAUCUACCUUUGCAUUUUGGUCGAAGAGCCCUGUAGACAUCGAGCCAAGACGAAUCAGAUUACAAUCUAAUAGUUACACUACGAACACACUUUUGGAUACUGUGACUGCUGCAACCAUACAGGUUUUCAAAGAAUUUAUUCCUUCUGUUAUGACAAUAGACAGUUCAUAUUUUUUGAUGAAUUGCUACAGCAAGUUCAUUUUAGGAAACAUUUCGGGAAAAAACAUUAGAUUUUUGUAUAUUUGUAAGGUUGCCUUGGGAAAGGAUUAGUUUUAGUUGCUUGACAUGUUUGGGUUGCAAUGUGAUUGAUGACUGGACUGGAACUACACGAAAAUAAAGAAAAAUCUGAAUAUUUUCUCUACUUUACUAAUAUAUGAGAAAAGGCCAGUCACAGCAGGGCUAGUGAGUAGAUAGAUGAGAAAAAUAUGAAAAGUGCAGAUAGCUCUGAAAGUUCUUAAUUACAUUGAUUCGUUUUCCUUAAAAGCCAGUUUCUACCGUUGUCUCGCGAUGAUUAAAAAACUGCCAGUUAACAAUUGCUCUUACAUACUAUUUUCCAUGUUGACAAUUGCUUGUUAUAUAUGUCUUAAUUACUCAUUUUUUAAUGCAGUUCAAGGAAAUGGGUGGAAGCAGGAGGCCUGCUGAAUCAUUUAAAACAAAUGAACAGCCUGCCGAAAGAAAGAAAGGCCUUGGUGAUUGGAUGAAUAUCAUUAAACCUGCCAACGAAGAGAAAGAUCACUGGGUAACAAUAGAUGCAACUUGAGUUUUCUCCCCCUUUCCCUAACUAAACGAUCCUAAGGUUUUAGGCUGUUAGCAUAUAUGUUUUCCUUCAAACCGUUUUCAUUUUAACUAGAAUUGAAUUUGUAAUUUUCUCAUCUUUUGGUGGUUGACUAUAUGAUUGCGUAACACUAACAUUUACAGAUGGGUGGUCUCUAUUAUGGACCCAGUACUCUAUUUUACCCAUUUUCAGCCGUAAUUGGCAUACUUUUGAACAUCUCAAAAAUCAAAAUUAUGUUUUUAUUAAAUCGGAUGUACCCAGUUUUAACUACUAGACCACAUUUGGACCCCUAAAAUAAGGUCCAUAUUAGGGGCCACUAUUAUUCAUAUAAUUUACCAAACGUUAGUCUUCGCCUCUAUAACUCUUGGAAAAUUUCUAAAUGCCACAGUUAUGGUGAAAAUUGAUUGAUCAAUUGCCUUGUCCUAAGUUAGAUUAAACAGGGUCCUUAUUCAUUAGUUCUUGUCACAAUUGGAAUCUUAACCCAGUCCUCUCUGUGUAUAGGUCCCAGAUGAAGCAGUCUCAAAAUGUACAGCAUGUGGUACUGAUUUUGGGGCUUUUAUACGCAAGGUUGAUCUCCCUGUUUCCUUUCUCAUGCUUUGUAUUCUGUUUUUUGUGCUGUCUUUCUAAUGACAGAAUUCUCUGUUUCUACCAGCAUCACUGUAGGAACUGCGGUGAUAUUUUCUGUGACAAAUGUACACAUGGCAGAAUCGCUUUAACAGCUGAGGAGAAUGCUCAGCCAGUACGAGUUUGCGACCGAUGCAUGGUAUGUGUGGCAUUUUAUUUUGGUUUUUGAUAUGAAGAAGAAAUCAGAAUAGAAGAAAACUAAGAAAAAUGCAUUGGUAACUCUAUUAAUAGAAGAUAAAUCCUUGCAAGAUGAUCAAUAACAACAUUAGAAGAUAAAAGCUAAUUCUGAGAGGGAACCAGCCUCUCUCUCAGACCAAACCACCCAAAGCCAAUUCUUAAUUUUCAGAUAUCCUCUUCGGUGCCCACCCAUUCCUUCAAAUUGUUCUCUCUCUCUCUCUCCUUCACCAUGCAAUCUUCCUACAGUGUUAUACUCUCAUGGGAGACCCAUCGUUUGUCUCUAGAUCUCUUUAGAAAUAAUGGAAAAGAGGAUAAUUUUUCGAAAUGUAUUUGCGUUUUGUAAUUGCUGAGGUAGUUAUGCUAUUUAACUGUGACAUGCCAGUUAGGAUUUUUUUUUGUCAAAGGGCAUCUUCCAUCUCCCCCAUUUCUGUUACUUAUUUUUAAAUAUUUUAGUAUGUCAGUUGUAAAAAAUUGUAGAGGCCAUGUUCUAAGUUUCUUAUUAUCCCACUGUACAGGCAGAAGUGACUCAAAGGCUGAGUAGCGCUAAAGAGUCAUCAAAUAAACCUCUGUUGCAGAGCCAUGAGGAUAUGGCUCGGAAACUUCAGGUGACUAUUUGGAGCAUGUUGUACUAUCCGUGUGUUGGUUUUUCUUGCCCUUGGGAAGCUUUUAAAUUUGUGAAUAUAAUUUCUUGGUUAAUCUUACUUUCUUUGUGUAAGCGUGCUUCAAAUGCUGAUUUGUUUUGUUGGUGAAUGUCUUGGCAGGAGGAGUUGGAAAGAAAUCGGAAGACAUCAGGUAAUGUAAUUUGGGUAAAUUUUGGGAGUCUUUUUUGUAAUAUUGCUGAAGAACUUUUUUAUCCAUAUCUUUUCAAAUGAUACAGGUUUCAAGUAAUCUGUUGUGUGGGUAAUUUAGUUCAAAAGGGUGGAUUUUUUUUUAUUAAGAUUUGGAAAUUAAUAGUUGUGGCUCAGUUAAGUGUUCUUAUUUGCAGGUUCAAAGUCUGACGGAUCUGGAAAACGGAUGAAGGAAGUUGCAUGUCCUAUUUGCACUGUCCAUCUGCAGGUCUGAAUAUUUUGCUUAAUUUUCCUGCUGCUACCCUGUAUUAGUAAAACAUGGUAAUAUGGUAUGCAUCACUACGUCAUCUUCGUCUUCCUUUUUGACUUUGUUUUGGAAUACUUGCAGGUUCAGGUACCUAGCUCAGGUUCAGAGACCAUUGAGUGUGGAGUUUGCCAGCACCCAUUUCUUGUGAGUUCUUAUUGAGAAUUCAGAUGACAUGGAUACGGAUGAAGGUGUCUUGUGUGUCAAGUUUAUAAUUCAAUUAUUUUACCGAUCUAUUACUGCUUGUUUGCACAUUAAUGAUUGGGAUUGCCUUGUGUUUACUUUUAUCUUUGGGCUUGUUUCGUGACCAUUCUUCACCUGCAUGUUGUAUUUUUGCCCAUUGAGCUCGUGUUUAUACUUUUUUAACUUUUCGUCUUCAUUUGUCCUCUUGUAUAAAAUAGAUGCCGAACUUUCAUGUAUAUCUAUGUGAAAUUCACUCUAGUUUGAGUCGCAAGUGUUUUUCUUUUAAGGAUGAGUCACUAGUGUUGAAUAUAUUUGUUUAGGAUGAAAAUUACUGAACUUCUUAUCUAUGUUAAGGUCAACUGGUCUGCAAUAUAUUUAAUUACCAAAUUUGGCUUUUUGAGAAGUAUAAUUUGCUUUUAGAAGUUUUAAUUCAAUGUAGAUCUUCAAAAAUUGGGUUAAAUAGUGCCCCCCUAACAUUUAAGUGAGUUUUGGUUCACCCUUGUAAAAAAAAUAGAUUCCCCUUGCCUGUUCAAAAUUAUUUGAUUUUGGACUUUCGUGCUUCUGAUUGUGGAAAAUUGACCGCUAACUUGGAUAUGACUGUAAAAUUGUGACACGCUUAUUUGGCUUUUUACCUUCUUUUUUUUUCCUUUUUUUCAGAUGCCUUUUUUAAUCAACAAUUAUUUUUAAAAAGUUGCAUAUUUAAUUUAAAUUAAAAAAGGAAAAUUGUAUUCAAUUCCCCAUUCUUCUCUUCUUCCUCUUGAUCGUAGCAACAAUAUCUUGUCCAUCCUCAAAAGCCAUAUCUCUAAAUCAACAACUCAAUCCCUCUCUACCAUCCUCAACAACUGUAUCUCUUUCACCACCAUCGACAAUAAUAGAUUAUGAAAAAAUGUUGGUUUCAACUCGAUCUAAAAUCACCUUUGAAAAUUAUUUAAAUCCACACCAUGGACUUAGAAAAACCCAAAACCAUCACACCCUUUUUUACAAACAAAACAAUGAUUUUUAGAUUGAAAAUUUUCAAUUUCUGGAUUGAUUUGAUUUCUAUUCAGCGAUUCACAUUCAUUCGAUUAUUUCCUCUCCAUCUCUGAUCUAUUUUGUCCUCUCCAUCUCCGAUUGAUUUUCCUCCCUUUCCUUGAUCUCAUUUGAUUUUUGGAGGUUGAGAUUGUUUGUUUUGUGGAAUAAACGUGAGUACUACAACAAUAACCACCAAGCCUCAUCUCACUAAGUGAGACCGGCUACAUGGAUCAAGUGUCAUAUGGAAACGAGAGAUGGUUUAUGAUAGAAUGUUAUGGUGUAAUUUAAUCCAUGUAGCCGAUCUCACUUAGUGAGAUAAGGGUUGGUGGUUAUUGUUGUCGUAGUAGUACUCAAAAUUUUAUUCCACAAAGCAAACGAUCUCAACGAGUAACGCGAGAAAAAGGAGGAUUAAGCGAGAUAUGAAAAGUUUGAUGUUGCUUUCCUUGUUCAUGCUUUUCUGGAAAGGACAAUGUUGUUGUUCUAAAAUUGUGAAGCUUGUUGUUGAUGGUUUGGGUUUGAGAUUAAAGGGGCAAUGAAAGUGGGGGAGUGUGGUCACGGAGGUUGAAAAAUUAUUGUUAUUGUUCAAGUUGGGUGGAGGUGGAGGAGGGUGAGGGUGUUGGGGAUUUCUUAAAUAAAAUUGGAUUUUGGUUUUAGUGGGAUUGUUUUGGGAAAAUAAUGUGAGAUUUGAUUUUGGAAAGAUUAGUGAUAACAUUUUGAGAUUUAUGACCGUUUAAAAAAAUAAAAACAUUUUGAGAUUUUAUGUUGUAGGAAAAGAAGGUGAAGUUUCUGGGUUGAGUUUAUGGAUAAUAUACUCAUAUUGAUACAGCACACCCCUAAGGCUGAGAUAUUGUCCUUUGUACUCGCUCUUAAUGGCAUCCACGUUUUAGUUCAACCGUACCUCCUCCAUUUUAAAAACUUCACAUGCACAAUUUUGUAAUGUUAAAUCAGUUCUUAAGUUCAUUCGAAGUAAAAAUUUAUUAAAAGUAGGUGUUUUUCAAACAAGCGUACAAAGGUACAUGUGACUUGUCUUCAUAAAAUUAAAUUGUAUAUAUGCUGUCAUUAUCAACAACGAAAAACUAAUUUUCAUGAAUAAACGUCUACCCAAUAAUAUUAAUAUGGUUAUUGUUACAGGCUUACAGGUAGAUUUAAAUAUUGAUAAGCAACAAAAUAUCAUGAUCUUUCAUGUAGGUGCCAUAAAUAGUCAUUACCUACUUCCUUCCAUUGAACACAUUAUAAAUUUGAUAUGAUGCUCACUAGACACGUAAACAUAUUUAUUUGAUCCAAUCGUUGAGUUUGUUAUUUCAGUUCUAAUUUAAUCGAAGAUUUUUCUAAACACAUUUGUUGCUAUACUAUCUGAUCCUUUGGUUCACUGCAUUUGUGGCCUCCAAGAAUAUUGAUCACUAGGCUUCACUAAGCUUCGGAGUUCAUUGUUUAAACCUUGUGGAUAUGGCUUUGUUGGUAAGAAAAUUUUCUUGGUAAAACACUAAACGUAGAUAAGACUUGCAUUUUUUUUUUAAUCCCACACUAAACAUAGAUAAGACUUAAAGAAAAAAAAAAUUCCUCGGGUCUCAUUUUAAGAAAAAAAAUCAUUUUUUUAAUUAAUUAAAUAAUUUUAAAAAUACCAUAUACAAGUUAUUCAAUAAAUUUAUAAAACUUUUGUUUAUUUUUAUAAUUAAGGAUCAGAUGGAGUAUAAUGAUUUGUCUAAAUCGUUUUUUGGUAUUUGUAGAAAACUCCAAAAACUAAAAAAAAAAACACGAUUGUACUUUCCAUAAACAAAUAAAACAAUGUCAUGUGAAAAUUUUGAGAACAUGUAGACUUUGCUCAACACCCCAUGGUUGUUUGUUGUACAUUGUACUCCAAAUUAAAUACUUAAACUCUGCAGGUGUGUGUUCACAUGGGAAAGGAGAAUCUUUUCCUACCAUGGAUCACUUAGAUGUUCAUCAUUUGAUCAAAAGAAGACCACGAUAUUAAUAUGUUCCCUCAACACUAUAUUUUUUCACAAUAUCUUCUUCAACCAUUCUACCUCCUCUCUCUCACCCAACACUUGCAGCAACUCACCCACCACCACCACCAACCUCACUAUCACCAUAACAUUUACCAAUGGCUUCUAAUUUAAACCCAAAAAAUAAAUAUAAACAUUAAUCAUCAUCAAGCUCAAAUAUCCAAAUCAGAAAACCUAUAACAAUUUCAUUUCACUCAAAGAUCCAAAUGUUGCUCUAGAUCUAACAAGUUGAAAUGCUUUUUCGUCAAAAAAAAAAAAAAAAACAAGUUGAUAGAAAAUUGAUUUUGCAAAUUUCUUAAAAUAAAAUUAUUCAUCAACACUCACUUUUGAUACCAGUGCCAUUCACGUUCAGGAAAUUUCCCGUCAAUAUCAUGAUGUUUACCAUAAUUUGAAAUCAAUUAAUAUAUGGGGUUUUUUUUACGGUAAUUAAUUAAUGAAAUUAGUAUGGGGUUGUUAAUUAAUCCCAUGAAAUUUUCGGUCAAUAUCAUGCCAACAUUUCAAUAAAUAAACAUUAAUUAUUUUUUUGAUUAAUAUUAUGGGUUAUAUAGAUUUUCUAUUUAUCUUUAAUUGAUUUUCUGGGCUACGUUACUCUCUGAUAGAGUGGGGUUGGUGGUAGUAGACUGAAGGUGAGUUGCUGGUAAAAACAUGAAGAAGAGAUAGUGAUUGGGGAAGAUAUUGUGAAAAAUAUAGUGUUCAAGGAACAUGAUAAUAUUGUGGUCUCAUUUUGAUCAAAUGGUAAAAAUUAAGUGUUCCAUGGUGGGAAAGGAUUAACCUUUCCCAUGUGAAAUGUCACCUAAACUACAUCUUAUAACGACGAACUAAAACUUUAUAGUUUUGAUUGAAAUGUCUCUCCAUUUUCAUUUAUCACAGUGAAGAAUGUGAAGUGUUAAAAUCACAUUUUUUUUAAUAUUCAAUUUUUUAUUUAGCGAAAUCGAAGUGAAUUCUAAACUUUAAAAACGAAUCUCUCAUAUAGUGGUGAGAUCCAUAUGGAUUAUAUCCAAUAAAUGAAUGAGCGUUAGAAAAUGUUUUAAAAAAUUAUUUGUAGCAUUUUUUGUUGAGAAAUAUAAAACAUUUUUCAAAAUGUUUCACACAGCCUCAACAAAAUGAUGAAUCAAUAAAAGAAAGUUAAAUAUUCAGCAUAGAGUACAUAAAUAAACAGAGGAGGAAGAAUACAUUCUUUACAAUUAUAAUAACAUAUGAAGGAAGUUUUACCUUAUACCCCUACAUCAGCAUAGAGUACAUAAAUAAACAGAGGACGAAGAUAUAGAUGUAGGGGUAUAGGGUAAAAUUUCCAUGUAUGAAUAAGUUUAAUUUAUUUCCUUGUGUUUGAUUUCAAAAGAAUUUAAUGAUUGACUGAUGGGCCAAAGUCAUUUAGGUUCGGUGAUUAUCGGCUGCAACAUAAAGACUUCAUCAGAAAUUUGUUGAAAUGUGUUGGUUUUUAAAGGCAUGAAGUAAUAAUAUUAUUCCGUCUCAUAAUAUAAGUAAAAGAUAUUCAUUUUCUUUAUUCCAAAAUAUAAGCAAAAAAAAUAAAUUUUUAUUCUAUUUAAUUUUGUUUUUAAAAAAAAAUCUCUUUUUUAAGAAUUUUUUUUUGUUUAUUCUCAUAAAAUUAAAUACAAAUUACAUUCAAUUUUCUUUCUCUCUUUCAUUUUUUCCAUAACCAAUAGGCAAUGAAAAUUAUUUUUUCAUCUUUCUAUGAAACUUUUUUCAAAGAAAACACAAAAAACUAUACUCCAAAUUCUUAUGUUUAAUUUUCUUAAUGAGUGUGAUUUUUUUAUUUUUUUUUGCUUAUAAUUUGAGACGGAGGGAGUAUGUUGGAAGAAAAAAGAUAGCUGAUUUAAUUAAGAGGGUGUAAGGCUAUCGGAUGAGAGAUUAAAUAUGCUUAGGUGAUGUACAUUAAAUCAUACAUCUCUUUUGCAAAAUAAAGAGAGCCUUGUUUUCUAAAAAUAAUAUAUAGAUCAAGGUGGUUGUGGGUAGCAGAAUUUAAUUCAAAAUUAUUCUACUAGCUAGUAUUAAAGCUAGAAGCCUAGAAGGAGAUGUAAUCAAAUUUCAAUCUUGCUAGAGUGAGACCUAGAGAUGUCGGUGAAGGAAGUUGUGGUUCAUAGGAAUUUCAUAAGAAACUCUUUUAUGCAUCAUUUUUCAUAAGCUCAUAAUUACUAUUAUGGAACAUUAUUAGAAGGGGUACUCUUUAUACUACUCUUUCCUACAUUUCUAGUAGUUUCAAAAUAUGAAAUUCCACAAAGAUUGUAGCCAAUGUUUGGGGAAGCCAUAAAAACCACAAUAGACGCUUUCAACUUUUACGAAAAAAAAUAAAAAAAAAUUGAUUGAGAAUAAAUGUUAUGAAUUAAUUUUUUUCUCAUUUAUUAUCAUAUUUGAAGUUAGGACCUCUAACUCUUUGUCUCUUAUUUCAAACUAAAUGAACUACUAACCCUCCUCCGGUGGUAACAAAUCAUCAUUUAAAUUUAAGAGAUCCGAAAUUCGAGUCAUGUUUGUAGUUUUAAAAAGAGAUAAAUGUAAAUAUAUUUACAAAUAUUCUUUGAGCCAUAAGAUCUUCACUACCUUAAUUGGACUAGAGCACCAUCCCUUCGUCCUAAUUUAUUCUACAUAAAAAACUAAGAAACUCGGAGUAAAUGUUUAGAUUGGUAGUGAUUUUGACAAAAUGACAGUUACACAUAAUUUUAUUAGAUCAUACUAUCUAUUUAGUUUGAACACUUAAUAGUCAUAAUAGACUGACUUUCCAUCAAAUUAAUCUCUAAAUUAUCAUCAUAUCUCCUACUUUUAAAUUCGAAUAUUUUAUAGAUGAUAAAUGUUAUUAGUUGGUUGUUACAUUAAUAUUUACUUUUUGUAUAAGUUUAAAAUCAAGACUUCCAACUCUUAAUUUUUAUUUUAUAUCACUUAAACUCCUUCCCUCCAAUUACUAUUAUAAGCAACUUUUUAAGCUCAUUCAAUAAACAAUACUCUCUCUGUCCUUAAUUAUAAGACCUUUUUGAGAAUUUUUUUGUCGCUUUUUAUAAGAUCCCUUUGUUAUUUCCAAUUACAUUAAUUAUUUCUUUACAUACAUGCCCCUAUUUAUUAUACAUCUUUUUCUUCAAUCAGCAAUAAGUAACAUAUGGAAAACAUAAACUAACUCCCUCUCUUAAGGAUAAAAUUGUAAAAACAAUGUGAUUACAAACAACUUUAAUACAAAUAUCCGCUUUCUUAAUUCCCAUAAUUUUAGCAAAAAAGUCUUAUAAUUAGGGACGGAGGGAGUAUAUUUUAUCUAUAUUAUUAUCCAAAUAUAUCAUUUACUAAAUGAAUCUAAAAAAUUGAUUUUAUUUAUAAUAGUGAUCGAAGAGAGUAUUAAACUUCCUUUAAAUCGGAAGAGUUAAUUUGAUGAAUUAAUAAAAACGAGCAUGCAACAAAUUGAAGAGAGUAAUAAUGGUACAUUCAGCAUUAAAUGUAGUAUCUGAUUGUACGUUGUAAAGCUGUAGUAUCUUAUAAAUAUGCAUGUCAGCUGUUAUUUACUAUUUUUAAAUAGAAUUCGCAGUUCAUCUCCAGGCAGCGACAGAGACUUGACAAAAUCGGGAUGAUUCAAGAUUAAAAACUUUAACUCAUCAAGUCCCAGACAGAGAGAGCAAUGGAAUUUUCGAUUUUCCUUUACUAGCUAAAAGAAAGAUAAUAAUAUCACAUAUGGCAAUGGCAUGCACCGUUUCCUCACUUUAUGCGGCAGAAAUCAUUGUUGCUAUAUCUAGCCAAAGUUUUUCCCCAAAUUUAUCAUGAAACCUUACGUGUCUUUUUCUUAAAGGAAGUCAAAAUUUUAACUCUAGAGUUGAUGGAAAAGACGUAGUGGUACGAAUUUUAGAAAAUUGUUAUUGACACAUAUGAUAAGAUUGAGAAACACCGAUAAAAAACGUAAAUGCUUCUGUGGCAGUUAACUGUCAAAGAAUUAAAAAUACGGCUGCAGUUAACUGCUGAGAAAAACUUCUCAUUGGAACGAAAAAAAUAAUAGAAUAUUCAAGAUUACUCAUCUUAAUAUGAUAGAUCUUGCAGGAAGGUUAACUAUAAUUUAUUGUGGUGGCUGAAAGCUAACAAUGCCAACUUUGUUUAUGGCACGAGUAGAUGGUGGUCGGACACAUUACUUUAUUUGAGUAUCGACUAACUUGUUUUUGUAAUUAUUCAGUGACUGCUUGUUAUUAGGGGUGGCCUCUUUAGUACACCUUGUGUUAUAGAGAAGUCACCGCCGUUGUUAAUAUAUUGCAUUUUUGAUUCUUCAAAAAAGAAAAACAUUAUUCAAAACUAAUUUUAAAAAUGUACCGCGGUAGUCACAAUUAAAAUUUUCAAAUUAAAUAUAUUAAUUGAAUUUAUUAUUUUGUUAUUUCAAUUUAUGUUACAAUUAUACAUUAUUCAAAACUUUUCUUUCAAAAAAAAGACAUCAUUAAAAAAAACUUAUAAAAAUGUAUCGUGGCAGUUACAAUUAGACUUUUCAAAUUAAAUAUAUUAAUUGAGUUUAUUAUUUUGUUAUUUCAAUUUAUUGUUACAAUUAAACAUGUAAUUAAUGUUCAAUUUUUGCGGCAGUCAGAAGUCCGCCUCGGUAAUUAACUGUCGAAGUUUCCUCGGCAGUUAACUGCAGUCGGUUUUAAAUUUUUUGACAAUUAACUGCCGAAGAAGCAUUUCCGUCUUUUACUGAUGUUUUUCAAUCUUCUCAUAUGUGUCAACAGCAUUUUCCAUUUAUUUAUGCACCAAAUUGAAAACCAAAUUUUUUUUAUUAUGAAUUUGUGUGCAAAUUGAGGAUGUGUAAGUGUAUAGCUGCACAUAUUCGUCAUACUAUAAAUUAAUUUGACAGUAACCCCUCUUUUUCACCUAGGUAUCUACGCUCAAAUACUUAUAAGCAUAAUCGUCGUCAAUGUUCGUUUUAACUAUAACAGAAGUUUUCGUUGAAAAGUCUUGGUAGUAAUUUUUAUAAGUAUACAUAAAUUUAAAAUAAGAGUGAUGAUACAUGUACCAUCCCAUGUGGCAAUACACCUACACAAAAUUCUGAUACGUGGUAACCUGGAUCCCACAUAAAUAAAAGAUAAAGUAUGGUUGUGAGAUGAACUUACCAAAAUAUCCCUAAUACAUGGGAUGUACAAUGAGGUAUAGGAAUAAAUGAUGUUCAUAUAACAUUUUCCUUAAAAUAAUGAGUAUAAAUCAAAUGACCCGCCGUGCCCUACGGUGGAGGUUUAUGUUUGCUUAAACAAUUGCCUCAAGAUAAACGUUUGGUUAAAUCAAUACUAGUACUAUAAAUUUGCUGAUAUAUUAUUUGAGAGGUUAUAAAAUUGAAUGUUGACAAAAAAAUGUUAGAAUUAAAUACUACUAUGAAAAAACAGACAAAAUAGUUCGUGCAGUCAGAAGUUAGAUGAAGGCAUUUCUUGCAAGCAAUAAAUGAGUGAAAAAAUUCAGCUGAAAAGGGAGGGAAGAAAGAGUGAGCAUUUGCAAGAAGUAGCUAGACUUAUUCUUCAAUGUGUACCUUAAUGAUUUAUUUCUUCAUAUUAUUGGGAGUUGUUUCUUACACAACUAAGGCUAGUUUGGCAACAAUAGAGCUUCCACCAAAUGUUUCAUUUCCAGCAGUAUUUGUGUUUGGAGAUUCAAUCAUGGAUACGGGCAACAACAAUAAUAACAUGAAAACAUAUGCUAGGUGCAAUUUUCUUCCAUAUGGUAAAGAUUUCAAUGGAGGCAUCCCUACUGGUCGGUUUUGCAAUGGAAAAGUUCCAUCAGACUAUAUAGGUACAUAUUAUAUUAUCUUCAGAUAGCAUAUACUAGCCAUAUGUCUUAAUUACGAAUAUAUUCCUUCGUGUAUAACCAGGUUCUUUUACAUCUUCAACACAUAGACAUCUUAAAUGGUUGCGACCGCAAUUGCGAUCAUUCUAAAAUUAUGAUUCGUAUUACAUUAAUACAUUUUCACAUGGACAAUCUAAGAGCGGUGAGUGAAAUCUAAAACAAAUUUAAGUUUAUGAGUUUUAAGUUUUCUAUUUAAUUUAUUUUUAAUCUAAUAGGCACCAACCAUACUAUAUAUAUAUAUAUAUAUAUAUAUAUAUAUAUAUAUAUAUAUUUAAUACUUAGAACAUCUUCAAUGAUGUAACUCGUCAUGACUCAUGACAACUAGUUUAAAUAAAUUCUAGCGUCACAUCGUUUUAAAGUACCCCCUCCGUCCCUUAAUAAGUGAUCUAGUUGACCCAAUUACGCAUACCAAUGCGUAAUUUUGAGUUUAAAUAUCUUGAAUAAUAUAUUGGAAAAAAUUAUGAAAAUUUGAUAUUUUGAAAAUACUUAUCGAUAAGAAUCUAACAACAUCUUAUAUGAUAUUAUUUAUCUUUGUAUAUUAGUAGAAAAAUAUGAUCAAAAUAAGUUAGGUCAAAAUUGCACAUUUUCAAAUAGGUCAUUUAUUGCGGGACGGAAGGAGUAACUCAUUUAUUUUUUGUUAUAAUAAUACAACCCCUAAAUAAUGGAUCCACAAAAUUCCCUCUGAAAGCCACUUUUUUAUUGCUUUUACAUGCUCAUGCUCUUAAAAAUCAAAAGACUAUAAUGACUUGUAGGGCAGGUAAAACCCUACAUGAUUGGUUCAUUUCGAUUAUAUAAUGUCAACAUAGAAAACCAAUCAUCAUAUCGAAGAGUGGAUCCUAAUAUAAAUAGAAUUAUAUUAUAUACUCCCUUUGGUAUUAUUUAUAAAAGAUAUUUGGGUCAACAAAAAUUGAUGUAUUUAAUCCAAAUUCUUAAUUAGAUACAUCAUAUUUUGUUGACCUUAAUAUUUCUUAUAAAUAGAAUCGGAAGAAAUAUUUUGAUAAACAAUAUAUGAUAAUUGGAUUAAUCCCAAUUAGAACUAUUCUAUAUACACGAAGACUGAGAACUAAAGGAUACAAUUUUGCCCAAUAUAAGCCUAAUUAGAAUAUUAGUUAUAUAGUUUUAGAAAAAUAUAUCAUACUAACAAGUGUCCGUAGGAAAAAAGAACACUUGUUAAAAAAGUUAAAAAUAGUUGGUUUAUAUUGAAAAUUACAACUUUUAAUUUUAAAAAUUUAAAUUCAUAACUUUUCACCACUUAUUAUUAAUAUAAUGUUUCCAUUUUUGUUUUCUUAAUCAAUAUUUAAAGACACUUUUAACACUUUUCAAAAUAUAUUAGUUAUAUAGUCAAUCCAUAUGGUUGAAACCGUAAGAUAUAUCUUUCAUGAACUCUCACUUAGGUAGUCAAUCCAUAUGCUUGAAACUAAAUGGAUAUAUCUUUGAUUUUUUUCAAGGAAUGGAUAUAUCUUUGAUGAAAUCACUUAGAUGUCAAAGACCAUAAUUACAGUCAGUCACGAAAAAAAAUUUAGUUCGAGGAUAAUAGGAUAUGAUUGAUAAUAAUUCUUGGUAAAAUCCUUAAGAAAAAAGUUUUUUUUGUUGUAAUUUUUUUUUUCUGCACAAUCAUUCACACAAUCAGUGUUUAGAUGUUUGUUGGAUAAAGAUCGAACAGUCCAAUUUUAAUCUCAGCAUUUCAUAAUUUUUUAAAUCAAAAUCUACAAUAAAUUUUAAACCGUUCCAUUUCGAUCAUGCAUCGAAUGCGUGGAAACAAAGACGGCAGGGACUAGGAAAUCUGAAUUCAAAAGGAAUCAAAAUUUACUUCCUUUUCUAUUGGUGUGAUAUAUCAGUUGAAGCAUUGGGCAUUAAGGAAUUUCUGCCGGCGUAUUUGGAUCCAAAUAUCCAACCUAGCGAUCUCGUCACGGGUGUUUGCUUUGCAUCCGGUGGUUCUGGGUAUGAUCCACUCACAUCCAAAAGUGCGGUAAGCAUGCAUCCUGCAUACCUUCCGAUCUUAUUUAUAAAAGACACGUUGAUCAACAAAAAUUAAUGAAUCUAGUUUAAAAUUUAAUCUAGAUACAUUAAUCUAAAUGUUUAUUAUAAAUAGGAUCGAAAAUAGUAUUUUGAUUUUCAUUAAUUAAUUUAUCUUCUAACUAUAUUAAUUUUUUUUUUUUUUCAUUUUUCUUAUUCCUUUCUAACUUGGUCACUGUAUCAUAUUAUUAACCAGUCAGCUAUAUCGUUGUCCGGUCAAAUAAUUUUGUUCAAAGAAUACAUAGGAAAGCUAAAAGGAAUUGUUGGAGAGGGUAGAAAAAAUUUCAUCCUAGCCAACAGUGUUUUCCUUGUGGUUCAAGGAAGUAACGACAUUUCCAAUACAUAUUUUUUGAGUCAUCUCAGAGAACUACAAUAUGAUGUUCCUUCUUACACUGACCUCAUGCUCGCCUCUGCUUCCAAUUUCUUAAAGGUAUACUCCUAAUAACAUUGUUUCAAUGAAGUGAUUGAAAAUCCUAAAGAAUUUAAAAGUUCAGCAAUGCAAAUGCUUUAUUUGAAUUUUUUUCAUUUAUACUUUUUUUUUAUUUGAAUAGAGUAAUUGCUUAUUUAAGGAUGGGUGAUAAAUUUUAAAAACUUCAUAGGUUUUGGGGUAAGAAUAUAGGGUUAAAUAUGUUUUUAAUCCCUAUAAAUAUAUUAACUUUUCGUUUUAGUCCCUCUAAAUUUUUCCUUCAACUUUUAGUCCCUAUAAAAUUUUCAAUCACUACUUUUAGUCCCUAUUUUUAAAUUAAUUUUAGUAUUUUUUAGUGAAAUUAUGCAGAAAUGUGUAAAAUACUUCCCAAAAAAAAUUAGAAUUUUUUAACAAAACAUAAAUUUAAUAUGAAUUUUUAACCAUAAAAAAUAGAAAAAUUCAUAUUAAAUUCAUGUUUUGUUAAAAAAUUCUAAAUUUUUUUAGGAGAGAUUCUUAUAAUAUUAUGAAUUUUUCUGCAAACUUUUAUUCAAAAAUGUGAAUUCUACAUAUGAGUUUACUUUAAAAGAGAGACCAAAAGUGAAGAUGGAAAAUUUUUGGAAGACUAAAAGUUGAAGGAAAAUUUUAGAGGGACUAAAACGAAAAGUUCGUAUAUUUAUAGGGACUAAAAACAUAUUUAACCCAAUAAUAUAAACAUCAAAAUAAAAUUGCUACAAAAUCCCAAUGUUAAAAUUUUUGACCAACUAAAAGGGUCAACUUUAGGGGAAAGGUAUAGAUCCUCAUAAUACGGUGAACCAAUGUUCAAAUUCUGAUUGAAAGAGGUAUUCACAUUUAUUGUCUAACACUCCUCAAGAUUAUGUCAUGUGAAGGAACCUAUGGAAGACAAAAAAAAAAGUGGGUCAAAUUUGAAAUUUUUGAAAAACUGAACAAAUUUAUUUUCAAAAUUAUAGAGGCCGGACGCCAUGAUCGGGGUUCGAACCCCAAUACCUCCACUUUGUAGUUUAUGAUGACUUUGCCAUCUCUUCUAUCUACCAAAGAGAAGCAAAAAGUUGAAAAGUUAUAGAGUAAUUUCAAAAUUUGAAACAUAUAAAUUUUGAAAAGAAAAAAAGUACGGGAUCAUUUUAAGAUUCAUAUAUUUUUUUUUAGGGAAAGAUUCAUAUAUUUGAAAAGGUGGUGAGAGGAUUUCAAAUUUUUUAUUCUUAGGCGGUAUUUGAAAUUUUUAAAUUUAGUUUCAACAAAAUUUUCAUAUAUUGAAUACUCUGAUAUUUGAAUGACCUCAUCCAGGAGUUAAAGAAUGUGUAAGUGCAUGUACUCAUGUUUGUUUAUAUUUUGUCUAAAUUCAAUUAAAAGGAAAUAUAUCAACUGGGUGCAAGGAGGAUAGGAGUAUUAAGCAUUCCCCCAAUUGGGUGUGUGCCAUUUCAGAGAACGGUUGUUGGAGGAAUUGAGAGAAAAUGUGCAGAAAAAAUCAACGACGCAUGCAAGUUAUUCAACACUAAAUUAUCAAAGGAGUUGUCUUCUCUUAACCGGAACUUGCCCAAUACAAGGAUGGUUUACCUUGAUGUUUAUUAUCCUCUUCUUGACAUCAUUCUAAAUUACCAAAAUUAUGGUAUGUAUAAUCCGACACUUCUUUUUAUUACCAAUUCAUAGUUGGAUUGAAAACUUAUAUCAUAUAGAUCAUUCAUCUAAAAUGUUACGCAAAUAUAAAAUCACUUAAUAUGUUAUUGAACUUGAUGAGUCUCAUACCAUAUCAAAUGAUUAUAGAAUUGUAUAUAAUUUUACAUGAAAUAUUUAUAUGAUGAGGGGGUUCAACCGAACUCAUUGAACUUAAAAAAUAUAUUUUAUAUUUUGAACCCUUUGAUAUUUUUUUACAUCAAUAGCUCAAAAGGCUCUACAAUGAAAAUAUUGAACUUCUGGGUUAUAGGAUUCUAGAUAAUAUAACUUAAACUCUUAAUCCAAUGACAAUUUCUAUAAAACUAUUAUUCACUAACGUUAUUGAGUUAUUGAGUAGUGUUGAAAAGAGAGUCUCACUAGCAUUAAAUCCAAAAUUAUGGUAUUAUAUUAUUCUUGGAAAGUUUGUUGAGAAACUAUUUGUUUUCAUUAGGUAUAAAAUUGAUCUGAAAUAUAAAUUAGUUUUGGUUUUAUAAUGGCAGGUUAUAAAGUCGUUGACAAAGGAUGUUGUGGCACAGGAGCAGUAGAGGUAGCAGUGUUAUGCAACCAAUUUGCUACCCAAUGUGAAGAUGUUAGGGACUACGUUUUCUGGGACAGUUUUCAUCCCUCAGAGAGUGUUUACAGCAAGCUCUUAAAUCCUCUUCUUCGAAAAUAUAUACACCAGUUCUUCUAGUUUCCUUUUGGUUAGUUUUAUAUAAACAACUUAAUUACAUGUAGGACUUACCGAUUUCUUCCAAAACAAAUUUAUUUGUUUUUAAAAUUUCUUUCAAAAGUGUAUGGUUGAUGAGGUACAUUAAAUAAAUUAUUUUGUGUUUUAAGGGGAUAUCAUCUACAUCGAUUUAACAUUUGAAAAGUGUUUGGUAAUUUAAAAGAAAAUGUUUUUUCUUAUUGAACUGAUAAAAAGAUUACGAAGAUAACAGUAUCGUCAUUUCGAUUCAAUGAAAAAUAACAAUAAGGUCAUUUAUUAUGAUUUUUCAAAUGUUCAUGGUAAACAACACCAAAAACAAUAUGUUUGGUUUAGAGGGAUGUUUUCAUUGGUUUGGAUGGUUUUUUUUUGGGGUGAGUAGCUUGUGUGUGGAUUUCAUUUUCAAUGGUGUUCACAUUUGGGUGGUGAAGUUGGUCUUGAAGGUUAUUUUCUUAUGAGUGUUGAAGGUAGAUCUUGGUUAGGUGGUGUGUGUUUUAGUGUUUUUUAUGAUGUUUCUUUUAACUAUUUCUUUUAUAUAAGACAUCUUUGUUUUAUAGUUUUUAGAUUGUCGAUCUCUGUUCAUCUUGUACAAAGACAUGGUGUUUAAUAAAUUUUCCAUUUAAAUGAAAACUUUGAUUGAUUUUUUUUUUGAGAGAAAACUUUGAUUGAUAUUAUUUGCUAAACUUUUAUUAAAAUAUAUCUUGACCAACCGAUAUUUAAAACUAAGUAGCAGGCACGACAACAAUAGUUUAAUAAACUUUAAAAUCUAUUAUUGAAAGAUGCAACUUUAGUGUAGGUUUAAAUAAUAAAAUUCAAUGUAAUACAACAAUUAUUGCAUUACGUGUACUGUGCUUUAGCAAGAUAGUAAGCUAACUAUUGUAAAAAUAAUAAUUGAGUCGUAAAAAAAUACUGCAAAAUGAAAGAGUCCUGCACAAUCACGACUCCAUAUUUUCAACGGAUUAAAUAGAAAGAUGUAACUUAAGUGUAGGUUUAAAAUCUCCAACUAAAAUUACUACUUGACUACCCUAGGUGAUCAUAACCCAACUUCCGGAAUUAUAUAUAUAUAUAGAUGAAUAUCUUAAAAGUCACGUAGAUUGAAAACAAUUUUAUAUAUUUUUUUAAGGAAAAUGUUAACGAGCAUUCCGGGCUCGUUAACAAGACACUUUUUAAAAUAAGAGUUGGAUGAGGAUUCACUAUUUACUUCAGAGAGCAUACCUAAUAUCUAUACCUACCAGCUAAAAUAAAAAGUGCAAGCAAUAUGAGCUACUAAGGAUCAUCACUCCUUUAAUUUUGUGAUAUUUUACCUCACAACCGAUCAAAACCGCACCACGAACACCCUAAUACCUACUGGCUAAAAUAAAAUAAAAAUAAAAAGUGCAAGCAAUAUGAGCUGCUAAGGAUCAUCACUCCUUUAAUUUUGGGUUUGGCAAAUAGUAUUAAGUAGAAGCCAGCGAAGAAGAAGGUAGGAUCAGUGGUAUAUGUGGCUAAGAGAUGUCAUUUACGAUUUUAAGUCUGCUAGCUAGCAGUUGAGGUGUGGAGGUCCACCACAUUUUCUGGCUCCUACCUAAUUAGCACCCAACUGGCUUUUUAUUUAUUAUAUCAAGAGUGUCCCAAAUAAAGUUAAAAUAAUGAACAAUGUUUCAAUCCAGUCAUUUCUGGAGAUUAAUAAAUCUGUUUGGUGUUGAACUUUUCUAUUUUUGGAGGAAGAAGUUAGUGUGUUUCAUAUGAGUAGGGAGAUUAAAGUUUUGGUGAUAAUUGGACGGCUAUCAUCAUAGAGCACUGAUAGGCACACCACCUUACCUGGACAAACACCUUCUACCACUUUUAGCUGGUCAAUUAUAUAAUAAUAAAAAAACUUGUAUAAUCCAUGUCAUACAAUAAAGAAAAAAGAAAAGAUAUUAAUUAAAUGUUCUGUCUCUCUCUUGCUCCUGUUCUGUUUUUAACGGACCGCUCCGGUAAGACCUUGCAACACCAUAUUCAUCGUCGCCGUGCUUAGAGGUUGUCCAAAAUUUCUCAUUAACAUUCACAAUCAAACUUCAUCAUCAACGUUCAUCGUCGACCUUAACCCUCGCCAUAGUUGAAACCCUUUUUCAUCAAUCCUUUCUCGCCAUUCUCUGCGGAACUCUCACCGAAACCUUUCAUUCUCCAUCGCUGAUCCCGCGUAACUCAGACGAGAAAGAGAGAGGAGGACCAACGGUCAGCCAUCAAAGGGAGAGGUGGGGCGAAGGGCAAGGAUGCGGCGGUGGCCGGUGGUGGUGGCGGGUGAGUGAGAGGCAUAGUGAGAAGGAGAAGAAACGUAGAUCUAAGAGAGAGAAGAGGGUGAGAAAGAGAAAGCUGUGUGAAAUUUCCAAAAUACCCAUGCCACAUAAGGGGGUGUAUAUGGGGGUGUAGAUGAAAGUGUGUCUACCAAUCAUUUUCCAUCAUCAUAUAACUGUGUAGUUGUCAUUUUAUAAUUUAUACUGUUUUCAAGGUGAAUUGUUAUUUUAUACCGUCAUACGUACUUUUAGCAUACUAAUAAUUAUACUGUACUCCGUGUAUCUAUUUAUAAGAUUCAUUUUACUUCUUUUGUCAAUUAAUAUUAGAAAAAGUUACCUUUUAAAGGUCUGAAAGAGUACCCAGAGGCGGUCGUUAACAUUUUCCAUUGAAAAAAAGAUAAUAAAAAGAGACGAGACACCAACUAAAAUAGUAAAAUGAAUUUACUAAAAAAAAUAGUAAAAUGAAUAAAAAAUAAAUACUCCUUCCGUUCCUUUUUAAGGGUCACUUUUGGAGAAAUUCUUUGCUCCUAUUUGAGUAUCACUUUCAAGGUUCAAUGCAGCAAUAAAUGUUGUUUUACCAACAUUACCCUUAAUUAUUUAUUACGGAGAGAGAAAUAUAUGAAAUAAGAUAUUAAAUGACUAAGACUAUUAUAGUAAAAAUAUAAAGGGAGCUUCUAUGAAGAAGUCAGAAAAAUGACUUCUUCGGUGAAGUCGUUUGAAUGGGCCAAUCAGAUUUCAAGUGAUGACACGUCAGAUACCCUGCAUUAUGUUAUUGUGCAGGCGGUCUACAGUACCGUAAGUAAAAGGAAAACUUUAUUUCAUUAUCUUAAUGGUUAGAUUUACUUAGUCUCUAUGUUAUUGUGGUAUACUGUCUACACAUGAUUAGUAUCAAUUCUCUCCUCUUUAUUUCCCUUUCUUUAUUUAUUCAUAUUCUCUCUUUCAGAUUUUUAUUAAAUUAAUAUCUUAAUCUUUCCUUCACCAUAUUCAUCUUUCCUUCAUCAUCUUCAUCAUAUCUUCAUCAACUUAUUCAUCAUCUUCAUAAGAGGAAAAAAAAAACCAGAAAAAAAUGAAAUUAUAUAAUUUUAAAAAAAAAACAUUACAAUUAAUUACAUUUCGAUAAAAACACUUCCAAUUUCAAUUUCUCAUUAUUUACAUCACAAAUCAUCAUAAAAGAUUCAAUUUCUCAAACCUUAAAAAAAAACUACAUGAAAUAAAUCUAAACUGUUACAUGAAAGUAAUUACGUAAUUCUUUAGUAUAUCUUCUACAUGAAAUUGUAAGAUUAAUUACGUAAGAUUAAUCUAAACAUUCUUUUAUUACGUUUCUUCUAUCUUCAUUGUUUACAUUACAAUUAAUUACGUUUCUUCUAUCACAGAUCUUGUACCCACUAAAAGAAUGAGAAAGGAAGAUAGAUUAUAAACAGUUUAUUAUGUAAAAUUCACAUGGCUUCAAUUCUUAUAUUGUGGUUGUCAAAUUCUGAAGCAACUUCGGUUUAAGUGAGAUUUCUCGUGUUUAUACGUUGAAUCAAAACCUGAAAUUACUCUGAAUUUUAUAAAUUCCGUGAGAAUUUUUUUUUUGAUAGUUUUUGUUGUUGUAAGAACCUUAAAAAAAUCAUCAUCAAUUGGCUUAUGGAUUAGCAAAAGAAGCAUGUGUUUUCUUCUUGACUUUCAAUUCCGAUCAGAACUAGUUAAAAAUCGUUGAAUUUCAUUGUGUAUAAAGGGAGAUCCGUUCGGAUCGAAACGUGGGUCAAAAUAACCCGUUUUAUAGUUACGGGCGAUGAAGAUGAGCAUAAAUAAAAAAUAUCAGCAUCGCAUGACACAUGACUCAAACCUGCGACCUCUAUCACACAGUUAAGUGAAAACAUACAUUUAUUCUCAUAAUUAGUCAUUAAUACCGAUUAAUGCUCCAUUUAUUUAUAUACUAAUUAAUAUCGAUUAAUGCUUCAACAACCUGAUUUUUUGUAGAAAAAUUCGAAAUAUGAAAAAGCUGGGAACAAUAGGAAUCGAACCAAAGAUUAAACACAGUUUUUACAUACUCUUGUUCAAUGGAAAUGAUUUUCCUUUCACAAGAUUUUAAUUAAUUUUUAACUUGCUUGAUUUGUAAACAUGAAAACGGGCCAUUUUGUAAAGAUUAAAAAAAAUAGGGCGUUCUUUCUUCCGGUGUUUUGAUCCGAGUAGAGGUGUCAUGGAACUCUUUUCUUGGUUAAUAAAUAAUCUGAAACUUGGAUCUGGAUUUCCAGCGCAGGAAAUUGUGUAGCCCAUUGUCAGCCAAUGUGUGUUUGUUCGUGUGCUGUAAAUUCUGGAUUUUUGGAACGUACAUACAUAUACAUCUGUUUGAUGGAUAACACCAACUCACCUGAUAACCUAUAAAACUUUCAUACAUUUGUUUGGUGGUUUCUAACCUCCCACUUGUUUGUUAACUUGUCAUCCGGUAGGUUAGCACGACCCUUUGAGUAUGGGACUACCGAGAGCAGCGGCGGUGGUGGAGGGUACAGCGGAGGCGGCGACCGCCGUGGAGAUGGUGGUGGAUAUGGUGGACGUUCAUGAAAGAAUAAUCAAAAUUAAUUAGUUAGGAUCUAAAACAAUAAAUAAAUUGGAAUAAAUGUGUUGUUGAAAUAGAAGGAAGAAAAAGUCAAAAAGGAGAAAGAAAAUAAAUAUAGUGUGAAAAUCAAGACAAUAACACUAGUAAGGUGCUUAAUCUGAUAGUUCAAAAAACCUAAUAAAACUAAUCUACACUGGAACAUAUCGACUAGAUGCACAUCACAUACUAUGCAACAAUCAGCACACAUGACAUGUGGCGCAUUAUUAUUAGAUGUAGAAUUUCCCAAAUAUAAAUUACUCCUUCUGGUCCUUAUUAUAAGAAAAAGUUGAUUUUUUAGUUUCAUAAAAUAAUUAAUGUAUCUUAUUGUAAAUGUAGACUAGAUACAUCACUUAUACAAUAAACCAAAAAAAUCAAUUGUUUCUUAUAAUAAGGACCGGAGGAAGUAUUGUAUAAGAAAAAGUAAUAUUUAUUGAAUAUUUUGGUUUGUGUAAAAUGUCAAAAGGUGACACGUAAAAAGAAAGGGAAGUAGUAAUAAAAGUUGGGGUAUUUUGGACAUUUUAAACAAAACACUUAUUUUCUCAUGCUUUCCGUCCAAAUGUGGGUCCGGCGUAUGUUAUUUCUUUCUUCCUCGCCAUCGAUUUGAAUCUGUAAAUUUAUCGAAUAACCUAGAAUUUGUUUUUUACUAGAUUUCUUCAAUCAUGGCUUCCAUUUCGCAAAAGGAUUUUCCUGCUGGUACGUAUCUAUAAUCGAUCAUGAUGAUUAUGAUUGCAGAUGAUCAGCAGAGAACAAAAAUUCCAAAUAAGAAUUGUAAAAGAAAAAAUAAAAAAUCCAAAAUUAAAUCAUUCUCCACAGCAACUCGUGGACGUGGGACUGGUUUUCCAAUCAACCCUUUUAAUUUCUCAUCUCUUCUCUAUGUAAGCUAUUCUCUCUCUUCUUGUGUUAUUUGCAUUAUAUGUGUUGGUUUGUGCUGUAUUUUUUGAUAAUCAGCCUGUGUAAUUAAUUGAAGAGUUUAAGUUAUGUGAAACAAUUAUUUGAUAACUUUUGAACUCUGAAUUACUAAUGUAUAUGAUAUUAGUAAUAGUAUUUCAUCAUGGAGACUUAAAAUCUCAAUAUGUCAUAGGAUACAAAUAUCAAGAAAUUGGCUGAACAAGCAGAAAAAUAUCCAUCAUUCAAUCAGAUGGCUCAACAGGAUGGUCUCCUUAAAUCUCAUAAACGGAAGACUUUUUCAAUCAUGAGAAGGAUCAUAUUUAGUGAUGAUUUAUGGACCUUGGCUGAGCGCCUGAGUGAUGCAUUGGUGCAGGUAUCUAUAAAAUUUCUUCGUUAUGUUUGUAAGUUUGUAACUCAUCUGCUGGUUGUUUGAUUAGAAUGUAUAUGAUGUCUAUGACAGGACCCAUCAACGUCUUCCAUGCUUGAAAUUUACGUCAAACUAUCAUUUGAAGGCAAACGUAAACGGGGAACAGCACAAGUCGACAGAGAUCCAUGUUUGAAACUUAUUUUAGAUGAGAUAGAGAGUGGUGGUCCUGCUGUACUGAUGAGGUUUAAAUACUAUUUUUAAAGUCAUAUUUUAUUGUUUUGGCAUUUCCAUAUUUUCACCAUAAAUUGUUGUGGUGUAAAUUGGUAAAUAAUUUCUGAAGUGAUUCUUUCCAUGCAGAUACUGGAAUGAUGAGAGGGUUUUGAAGAUGUUUGGACUAGUCAUGGGCAUUUCUCUAGGUCCUGGAGAUGCAGUUUAUUCUGAAAAUUUUGGGUCAUUUGUUCAUCAUACUGCUAUUAUUGGCAACGUCAAGGUAUGGCAUAGUAGCUAUUCACUUUAUUGUUGAAUCCAUUCAAAUGAAAUGGUAAAAGAUAAAAUUCGUAGUUGUGUCCUCAAGCAUGAAACUUUUUGGGGUAGAUGGUGCAGAUGUAGAACCUCUGUUGUCAAUGCGGAAAUGCAGCCCGGCAGCCCCUAAAAUUGACGCGGCGCGGGAUGCGGACGCGUAGCGGGCGCUAUUUCGGUUGCGCGGACACUAAUAUAUUUAAUAUUAAAAUACUUUACUGUUGAAAAAAAAAAUACUAAAAUACCUUAAACAUUACUCAAAAUUCAUUAAGUAUUCUUAAUUUGAAAUAAAAAUCACAAGUCUUAAGCAAAACAUAAAACAUACUUGCAAAAAAUACUAAUAAAAUUCAAGGAAACCAACACUUUAAGCCUCUAAAGCUUAAAGUAACAAAAGUGCAAAACAUUAACAAGGUCAUCCUCCCAAUUAACAAAUUAACAAAUUCUACAAUCAAGAGAUGAAGAGAGGAACAAAGGUCGUUUUUGCGAUCAAGAGAUGAUGAGAUGAGAAGAGGAGAGAUGGGUUCUGCUGUCAAGAGAUGAUGAGAUGAAAAGAGGAGAUGGAUUUUUUUUUGUUUGUACGAUGAAGAAGUUGCGUUUGCAGCUGUGUAUUUGGUUCUGAUGGAGAAGAGUAAUAGUUAGGUUUUGAAAAUUACAAAAAUGGCCUAAAAACGGUUUUAAGUGAAAAGCGUCCGCUUUGACCCGAUCGAGCAAGCUUUAUACCCGCAAUGGCGCCCGCUUCAGCCGCUUUCUCCAAACGCUCCGCCUUGGAGCGCUGUGUCAUGUUUUACUGGUUUUGGUCGCUCCGCGCCGCGAUAGCGCUGUUAGCGGCCGCUAUUGACAACAGUGUAGAACACAUAAGUUAAGGUUAAGUUCACACUGAAUUUUAAGAAAUUAAAAUAGGCUUCGAGUGUAAUAAAUUGCCUUGCUAUUGGAAUUGAAACUCCUGGUUUCUGCAUAAGUUGUAUAAGGAAUGACAAGAUGAAUCGCAGUCAAGUAAACUAGAUAUUAGCUUUCCAGUUGAUCCUUUAGAAUAUCUACCACUUUAGCUUCUAGAGUAUGUGUUUCCUCAAAUGUCAAACUGAUUACAUCGUCAAUUAAAUUGUAUAAGAGUUUUAUUCUUUCAUACUAGUUGUGCUGUCAGAAUUUGAAGGAACUUCCCAGCAACCGAGUGUCUCCCCAAUCGUCAUCAAAGUACAAAUGCAAACAAACAGGUAACUCAAAUCAUCUCUUUUUAAUUUCAACCAAUUGUAUGUACGUUUUUAUUCUAGAUUCUAUAUUGUCUUUGUUUAAGAUUAGGCAACUUUAAAGUGAAAGUAAGUUUGCUCAAUGUUGAACUAUUAAUAUACUGUAUUUUCUGCAGUUGGUUGAAUUAUUUUGGGUUAACAUGCACUCCAUCUAUCAUCUUUCAUGAUUUAGAUUUUGACUUUAACACCACUUGAGGUUUCAAUCUUUCUUUGUUUCUUUCUUUCUUUCUUGGGAUAUUGAGCCCUUUUUUGUGAUUUGUAUCUAUCUAUCUAUCUAUCUAUCUAUCAAUUAUUAUUUUAGUAUAGGGAAAUGUUAACUUGUGCCCUUAAGCCACAAGUUAAUGAUUCAAAUAUAGAAAUCAUUUAUUGGAAUGUGUGCAUUGCAUUUAAUUUGUAACUUUUCAAUGAAUUGAAUGCACAAAAUUUUAGAGAAUAUUUCUUCUUUUGGAUUUCUUAACAUGUGCCUUAAGGUCACAGGUUAACACUACCCUUUAGUAUAUUGAUGUAUUGAUAUCGUCCUAUAGUGAUUUCUGAUUUCAUUCUUUCUUAUUUUUACUAGAAAGAACACAGGAAACACAGGAAGAGCAUUCUUUGGCUGUAUUGAUGCUCAAACUCAAUCUAGUGGACCUUCUCUUUAGACGUGCACCUUGUAACCCUCUUCCUUAUUAUUGGUGCGGCUAUGUGAGGACUCAGUCUGGUGGCUGUUCAAGGGUUAAAUCUUCAGCUUCUACCCACAACCUACCUGAUCAAGAAACCCAGGCAAGUUUUUUCUGCAAAUGUUACCAAAGUUUAUGGGGCCGUUAGCAAUGCUUUUGAUUCUAGUUUCACAAUUCUCGUUUCUUUGUGCAUAUUUCAAAUCUUUAAUAACAAUUUCUAAACAGCUGGGGGCUGGGAAAGAAGGGUUGCUUACUAUCCUGGCUAGAGUUACCAGUGAGACUCCUUCCGCUCGAUUCGCACAAGAAUUUGUUCUAGUUCUCUUUUUGUAUCAUUGCCUUUGCACCAUGCCUUGUGUCCAGUGUGAUGAAGUAGUCAAGGCAAGUUUUGUUCUGAAAAUCUUAACAAAGUUUAUGUAGCCUUUAGCAAAUGCUUUUGAUUCAAGUUCCAAUUGUUUUUUUCUUUCUCGAUUCAUAUUUGAAUUCUUUAAUAUCAGCAGGCGGUCGAGGCAGCGGUCGAGGCAGCGAAAUACCGGAUAAUCCACAAUUUGUAUAGAGAAAGUUCAGAGGUUGAGUGAGAUCAAGGGUGUCAGAACUCAGAAUAGUCAAUUGAUGGGUCAUUUUGCCAAUGCUCUUUACAUUGGAGCCCCCACCUUGAACCCCGUCAAUACAUUUUUAAAAAUUUACAUUGAUAAGUUGUUGAAAAAUUAUUAGAAAGACGUAUUUAAAUAUGUGAACUUAAAAAGAUAGAGACAAUUGUAUGCAUAAACAAAUGGUCAAGAAGUUAUUUAUUUUAUAAUCUAUUUUGAAAUGUUGAACAGAUAAUGUUUUUGUUAGUAAGAUUGCAAUUUUUUUUUUAUAGAUAUUGAUUUUUGUGAUAGAUAUUUUGCAUGAUGUUGAUUUAAUAUAUUUUUGUGAGUUGUGUCUUUUCGUUUAUAUUUGUGGGUCAUGCUAACCAGUGAUUUUUUUUAUUUUAUUUUUUAAAACUUGGUAACCGAUCCAAUAAUCGACUAAUUCGAGGGGACUAAUCUCACCGUCCGUUUGCGGGGCCCCGUUUAAAGCCAAAGCAAGCUUUGUAUGGACUUAGUCCACCGAAAUUGGCACCAGAGGGAAUCGAGCCUGAGACCUUUGGAGGAGCAAACUCUAAUAUCCCAAACCAACCACUUGGCCAACGCAAAAUGGAUUCUAACCAAUGACCCUUGACACGUUAAAGAAAUAAAAUAAAACAUUUACAUUGAAAACAUCAUCUUUUACACUUAUAAGACUUUGACCAUAUAAAUUUUAAGAUAUUCAUACUAUAUUUGUUUCUUUAACUGGUGUUCAGACAUUUUCCUAUCUUUUUUGGUGUAUGAGAAAAGAGAAUAACUUUGUUUUUUUAAGAAGAAAGAAUAACUGUUAUUUAAACUGUAUAUAAGGAAAAUAAUAUUACCUAUGUCUCUAAAUAUAAGACCCUUUGACAAAAUCAUGGGAAUUAAGAAAGUUGAUUAACAUUAUAUAAUGGGAACUUCUACGGUACACUCACAAAAUGAGGUGUACCGGUACUCCUGCUUCUUAAUUUUAUAAAUGAACGAUCAUUUUUGAUGUAGUAAAUAACUAUUUGUCAAUAUUUAUAUUUUAUAGAACAACAUUUCAUAAGAAAAAACAUUAUUUAAUUGUUUAUAAGAAUCAUAGUAACUUUUUUUUACAUAUUAUCGUAAAAAAUAAUGAAUGUUCUCAAUUAUGAGUGAUAAAAAUUUUAAAAAAUAAAAAAUUAUUUCGUUGACACUUUUGAUAAUAAGAUUUAGUUAUUAUAAUUAUAAAAGAUAAAAAAAAUAAUAUUUUUCUUUAAAAAACAACUCAUUUAACUAUAAAUUUAAAGAGUGAGUGUACAGGUACACUCAAAUAUAGUGGGUGUACCAUAGAAUUUGUCUUAUAUAAUUAUUAAGAGUAUGUAAUCCAAUAAAGGUCCAAGUAUUUAAAAUAAUGUAACAAACUCCCACUAACCUAAAAUAUCAUAGACUUAAUAAAAUCAUUAUGAGUUACAAUACUCAUGUAUAUAAGUCUGUGGUUAGUCGUUCCGCCAAUGAGUUAAUCAUAAUGAUUUUGGUGUAGGUUUAAAUAAUAAAAUUCAAUGUAAUACAACAAUUAUUGCCCUACGUGUACUGUGCUUUAGCAAGAAAGUAAGCUAAUUAUUGUAAAAAUAAUAAUUGAGUCGUAAAAAAAUACUGCAAAAUGAAAGAGUCCUGCACAAUCACGACUCCAUUUUUUCAACGGAUUAAAUAGAAAGAUGUAACUUAAGUGUAGGUUUAAAAUCUCCAACUAAAAUUACUACUUGACUACCUAUGUGAUCAUAACCCAACUUCCGGAAUUAUAUAUAUACAUAUAGAUGAAUAUCUUAAAAGUCACGUAGAUUGAAAAUAAUUUUAUAUUUUUUUUAAGGAAAAUGUUAACGAGCCCUUUCUGGACUCGUUAACGAGACACUUUUUAAAAUAAGAGUUGGAUGAGAAUUCACUAUUCACUUCCGAGAGCAUACCUAAUAUCUAUACCUACUAGCUAAAAUAAAAAGUGCAAGCAAUAUGAGCUAAGGAUCAUCACUCCUUUAAUUUUGGGUUUGGCAAAUAGUAUUAAGUAGAAGCCAGCGAAGAAGAAGGUAGGAUCAGUGGUAUAUGUGGCUAAGAGAUGUCAUUUACGAUUUUAAGUCUGCUAGCUAGCAGUUGAGGUGUGGAGGUCCACCACAUUUUCUGGCUCCUACCUAAUCAACUGGCUUUUUAUUUAUUAUAUCAAGAGUGUCCCAAAUAAAGUUAAAAUAAUGAACAAUGUUCCAAUCCAGUCAUUUCUGGAGAUUAAUAAAUCUGUUUGGUGUUAAACUUUUCUAUUUUUGGAGGAAGAAGUUAGUGUGUUUCAUAUGAGUAGAGAUUAAAGUUUUGGUGAUAAUUGGACAGCUAUCAUAUAAUUGUGUUUCAUAUAACUGUGUAGUUGUCAUUUUAUAAUUUAUUUUUAAGGUGAAUUGUCAUUUUAUACUGUUAUACGCACUUUAUCAUACUUCCUCCGUUCCUUUUUAAUUGUCAUAUUUUGAUUUUUUACACAAACCAUGACACUAAAUGUAUUUCACUACUUUUGAUACAAUAACUUAUGGUUCGUCUAUAAUAUCCUUAAUUAUUUAAUAUCAUAUUUCUUAUAUUUCUCUCUCUGCAAUAAAUUAUUAAGGGCAUUAUAGAAAAAAUAACAUUUAAUGUUACAUUGAACUUUGAAAGUGACACUUAAUUAAAAACAAAAAAAUUAUGUAAGAGUGACAGUUAUAAAGGAACGGAGGGAGUAGUUGUAACGCCCCAAUUUGAAACGGGGUGUUAUAGUACUAAUCAUUAUACUGUACUUCCUGUGUCUAUUAAUAUUAGAUCCCUUAUAAAUCCGUUUGUAGUUGGUUAGUGGUUGACUUGAGAAAUGACUCGAUUGGAACAUUGUUAAUCCAUUUGUACUUCUCCUUCAUGUCAAUUUCUACAAUUUACUCUAACUUUAAAUGAGACCCACAAGUGGGCAGUGAAAUUGAUCUUCUUAGAUUAGCCAAUCCUUAUAUAUGAUACCAAAUUUUCAAAAAAAAUAAAUUAGAUACUUUACAAAAUUUCGUAUGUAUUAAUGAUUUUUUUUACAAAAAUAUAGUUAUAUUUUUCUCUCUUAUGAUAUUAAUAAUUACUACAUACUCCUAGUAUAUUUAUCUCUCUAGUAUAUAAAUUUAUUACUUCAAUACAUUUUUACAAAUAUAGUUUUCUCUAUAUUUCUAAAAAAAAUAAAAAAUUCUCUCUAGUAUAGAAAUUUAUUACUUCAAUAAAUUUUUCAAGAUCCAUGAGUUUUGUUAAUGGUUUCUAUAUUUUUUUUUGGUAUAAGCAUAAUAGCAUUUCACUAUUAAAAUAUAUUCAAUACAACUUGGUAUAUCAACCAACUAAUAGCACAAUACCUUUGUUAAAUCAUAAACAACCUCAUUUGCUUGUCUUUUGCAUAAACUCCACACCAAAGUUUACCUUAAAUUGUGAAAAUGGGCUAUACAAUUAUCAAUAAUCAAUAAUAGCCCCAAACUUAGUUGCAUCAAGUCGUGGUGAAAGAAAACUAUCCACUGCUUUUUUGAAUCAAACUCAAAAUCAACUAGCCCCAAGUUUAACCCACUAAUUGAGGGACGAAAGGAGCCCUUGUGCUUCAUCAAUAUGGCACCUCACAUUUUGUUUUAAACCAUUAUGUUUUUAUCCAACUCUGAUAGACGAUGCAGGAUCCAUUAUUUUUAUUAUCUUCCUAUGUUUAGCGCAGUUAAUAAAUACAACGGCGUUAAAAUCCAACAAUGUGUGCUUGUAAACCUAGCUUGAUGUUUUGCAACUAGCUUCCACAAAUGAUCAUACCCAUGUCCCAUUUAGAGGAAGUCAACGUCUAGCACUUCCUAAGUCUAAAUAUCAUUUUCGGUUUGUACAUCGAAAAAAACAUUAAGUGCGGGAAUAAAAUAUCGAUAUAAUGAAAUAUAUAUAUAUAUAUAUAUAUAUAUAUAUAUAUAUAUAUAAAACGAACUUUAGGUAUGUGACGAAAUCUCUCUCAAAAAGAAGUGAAGACCUCUAUUUAUAGAAGUUGAUAAGUUGAUUUUCGCUUAAAGAAUUUGGCUUGCCCAGAGAACCUGAACUUUCUUCAGAUGGAGAAAAAUAACAACUUAUCCAACUAGUCGCUAAAACAACCUUGAUUCUCUAGUCGAUGUGUUGUCCGCUUAGCGAAUAUGCUCUUCAUAUUCUCGUAAACUAUAUGGGGUCUCUCGCUCCAGCUCCCCUAACGACUUUUCUUGUCAUACAACUUUGAAAUUUUCUAUUAUGAUUCGCUUCUCACUCGCUUUGGCUCGCCUAGCUGAUGUACUCCGACUUAGAAUCCUUGUUUUUUUUGUUAUUUCUUGGUCAUUAAGCUCAAAAACUUACAUAAUUGAAGGGAAAUAUGUAAAAGUAGCUUAACUAUAGUUAUAAAUAUACGAACUUUAUAUUUGCAUGAUUUUUGGGGGUUUGCUUGAUAACUUUUGAAAUAUUGUUAAAAUUGAUUACAAAAACGACAACUGAAAAUGGACAUAUGAAAGUAGCAUUCAAGUGUUUUACGUACUACUUAUUCUAGUUAUUGCCAUGCUUAGAAUAUACUUAAAUCACGUCCAACCCACUGUGGAAGCUAUAAUGUGUGGCUUCUUCAACGUUAACUUUCAAUGCGGGUCCAGACACUAGUAUGGUAAGUUGGAGGUCCCGAAUUCGAUUUCAGAAAACUAACAUUUCCGCCUUUUCUGCUAACAAUUAUUAACACUUAGCAUCUAUCUUUAAGAUAAAAAAAAAAAAUAGAGUUUUGCUAUUAACAUUAUUUCUCUUUAAAAGGAGUGAUUUUUGAUCCGAAAUCAUCACUCCAAAUUGUUUUUCCUUCUUUUUUAGUUAAGUAAGUGAUUUUCACGUAUUUUUCAUCUUCUUUCAUUUGUUUUGUUCCGUUUGGUUUGAUUUUCCGUCUGUGUGGUGUGUUCUCGAUUUCUCGUAUUAGUGUAGUGUUUAUUUUAUUCAACUUGAAAGAUUAGUUAGUUUUGAUCAAGUGCAUAUUCAAUCAAUGAUUUUGACGUCGUCAACGUUGCUGACCCGAAGACACGAGUAUUCUGAUGACUUGAAUCUAGUCAUAUUUGUUGGCAUAAAUAAUAUGUUAUUUUGUGCUAUUAACAUAAUGUUAUUUCUUUAAAAAAAAAAUCUUGGAUGUUGUUAGUUUGUUCAUAAAUUCAUCCUUUCGUUUGUAGUGACAUUAAAUUUAUAUUGUAUCGAUACCUCUAUUAAUUUGAAUGAAUAUAACUUGUUUUUGUAAAAACAAAAACAUUUAUUUCUCUAAACCUAACUCAUCCAAUACGAAACAUAAUUCAUAUUUGCCCGUGACUUAGAUAAUAUAGAUAGGAGUGAACCUAACUCUUCCAACACGAAACAUAAACUGUUGAUCCUACCAAUAAAAGAAGGGAGAGACUUAGAUGUAAGGGUUUGAGUUAAGCAUACCGUUGCAAGGGAAAGAUUCAAAUCAGAACGUAUCAAUGUAUGAUGCGCUAACGAACAUGGUACAACUUUACAACAUUUUAGUACUACUUCCUUCAAAAUAAUAAAAAUCAGUGCUACUUCGAAAAAAAAACUUUACAACAUUUUUUUUUGACAAACUUUACAAAAUCUUAGUACUAAUUUAGAAUUUAAUUAUUUUAUUUUAUUUUUAUAGUAAACACUGUUUGUUAAAAAAAUGUUAAAGUUUACAAAAGUAUUUCUUAAGUAGUAAUAACGAAGCAAUUAAACUCAAAAUACUACUCCCUCCAUCCCACAAUAUAACUCAUUUUAACAAGUAACACAUGAAUUAAGAAAUAUAAUUAAUUGCCUAAAAACUAAAUUUAUUAAUUUUUCUAAAAAUGAUUUUUUAUUAUUCUUUUUAUUUUAUUUUUUUACAAACUGAUGGGUCAACCCCGAUAAUGUGGUAACUAAACCCCCACCCCCCAAUCCCAAAAUUAAUCAUGCAUGUACGUACGUAGUGAUAAAGAUAUAGAAGCCCCCUGUAUAUAAAUAAAUAAAUUAAUAUAAUAAUUCAACCGUUUUGUCGGAUCUAGUUCGCUAAUUACUUUUCUUUUAGGUACAGUCAUAUCAUAUAAAAAUAAAAUAAAAACCGUUGGAUUCAAUUAUUAUUCUCAUGCAUUAAAUAAUGGACUAAAGACGUGCUAGCUAUAAAUUGACGCAAAGUACGUACCAAAAGAGAUGAAAAAGCUAUCCCUUGCUUGAUGAGAAAAUAUACACAGUAGAUAGCUAUCUAUAUGGCUGUGUUAAUUAUGAUGAAGCUGCCUGGCACUUAUUCACCAAAUAGCUUAAUAUUAUUACGUUUCAUGUUGUUGUUAGUUUUAUCGUAUAGAACGAACGCAUUGGUUAAACUACCACCAAAUGUUACAAUUCCUGCACUCAUAGCUUUUGGAGAUUCUAUCAUGGAUACAGGAAAUAACAAUAACAUCAAAACAAUCGUCAAGUGCAAUUUCCCUCCUUAUGGUCAAGAUUUUGAGGGAGGGAUUCCAACUGGUCGAUUUUGCAACGGAAAAAAUCCCUCUGACUUGAUCGGUAUAUCAUGCUUAAACCCUUUUUAAUUUUCUUUAUUGCUAUAUAUAUUAAUACAUUAAUACAUUUUGCUAUAGUUUAGUUCCUUGUUUUACAACCCUAAUUAACAUUUUAAAUCAAGCUUUGAGUGUUAAGCAUUGAUGAUAAAGUGGUUGCGAAUUUAUUUUAUCAUCACACAUGAUACAAUUUUAUCGAAUUUGUAGUGUCUUCUUCUUCUUUCGUCAUUGUCAUAUGGCUGUGACUUGUGAGGCAUUCAUUCAUGGAGAGAAAAAAAUAAUUGAGAUGACAUAUAUAAUGGCCCCCAAAACCUUGAAAUUUUUGUUUGUGUGUAACUUUUUAAUUUCACACCUUCUGGAGAAAAAACUAAUCAAGCAUUCUUGUCCUAAUUAUAUAAAUAAUAAUUGUAACUUUUUUUGAUGUAAGAAUAUUGAUUAACGCAACAUUUAUUUUUCUAUUUGUUUGAAUGUUUUUCUAUGAUGGUAUAAUUUUUUGUUGUCAAAAGAUCAGUAAGGUGUGUGUGUAGUAGUAUUACUAUUAUUGUAUCGAAAUUUUAUAUUCAAUCAUUGGAUAUUUCUAACCAAUCAAACCUUUGUGAUUUAAAUUGUCACAUACUUGCUUGGUUGAUACGAAAUGAAAACGACGGCUUGGUUACAAGAAUUAAUUGAGCCUCAUUAGAAGGUGACGCUCACGUAUUGCUUUUAAGAAAAAGUUGACUUUUUAUCAGCUUAAGUGAUACUUACCUCAAUGUUUUUUGAAUGAGUGAUACGUCAAUAUAAAGAAUAGAGCUAGGUAUUUUUAUCAUGAACAUUAUGUGACUAGACAGUUCCAAGUAAUUACCAUGAGCUAGACAUGAGCAUGUGUCCAGGCUUGUGUUUUUAACUUUUUUUUCUCAACAAAAUCAACGUUACAUGAUCUAAAACUUUUUGACAUGAAAGAAAAAAAGUAGUUGAAAACGGUAUUGUUAGUAGAGAAUAAUGUGGUAUGUUUUUUUUACUAAUAACGUGGUAUGCUUUAGUAGAGUUUUUUUUUUUUUUUUUUUUUGAAAUUACACGUGUUUAAAAAAAACUAAAAUUAACCUUUAGUUAAUCCUAGUUCAAAAUAGUAGAAAAUCAUUUUUUAUCAAAAGAAAAUACUAGAAUCUAAUAUAUAUAUAUAUAUAUAUAUAUAUAUAUAUAUAAGAAAUCAUUUUAUUUGUUUGUACAUAGAAUCUAAUAUCUCAUGAAAUACUAUUUGGUUUGAAUACACCGUUAGAGUAAACAUACCCUAUUUCACCAAAAGAAAGAAAAAAAAAAUAGUACACAUGAUCUUCCACAUUUAAUGAAUAUUACAAAAUUAAGUAUUUUUAAAUAGUGAACACUCUCAUACAUUAAAGUUUUGUUGAAUAUAAUAUCUAACAUCUAAUUAUCAACGUCUCAUAAUUUUUUAUAUUAACUUAAUUUUUUUUGUUUAAUUUUUUGAAUUAACUUUGUCAUUGUGGGUAUCUAUAAUCAACUUUUUUCAUAGUUAAAACCAAAAUAUAAAAAAAAAAUGCAUGUGAAAAUACUUUUUGACUAAAUGUUUUGUUUAGAAUAAAUGUUUAUAAAAAUGAAAUCAUACAGUAAUUAAUUUACUUGGUUGUUCUCAGUUGAAGAGUUAGGUAUUAAAGAGCUUUUACCAGCUUAUUUGGAUCCAAAUCUCAAACCAAGCGACCUUUCUACCGGAGUAUGCUUUGCUUCUGGUGCAUCCGGAUAUGAUCCUUUAACGCCUAAAAUAGUGGUAUGGAUCAAUAAUUAAUUAUUAUCAUAAACUAACUAUAUUCUUAUAUAUAUUUUUUUCUAACCAACUUUGAUAUAUAAUUAUAUAUAUAUAAUUUUUUUUUACAAAUCAGUCGGUGAUUUCAAUGGGCGAUCAACUUAAGAUGUUCAAAGAAUACAUAGUGAAGCUUAAAGGUGUGGUUGGAGAGAAUAGGGCAAACUUCAUCCUAGCAAAUACUCUUUUCCUUAUAGUAGCUGGAAGUGAUGACCUUGCCAACACCUAUUUUACUAUUCGCACCAGACAACUACACUAUGAUGUUCCUGCUUAUGCUGACCUUAUGGUCAAAGGAGCCUCUGAUUUUAUUAAGGAAAUAUAUAAACUUGGAGCACGCAGAAUUGGAGUGUUUAGUGCAGCACCUAUUGGGUACUUACCAUCACAGAAGACUCUAGGUGGGGGUGUAUUUAGAAAGACCAAUGAGAAGUACAAUGAAGCAGCCAAGUUAUUCAAUUCCAAACUCUCCAAGGAGUUGGAUUAUCUUCACUCUAACUUGCCCAAUAGUAACGUCAUUUAUAUUGAUAUUUACAGUCCCUUACUUGAUAUCAUUCUCAAGCCACAAAAAUAUGGUAAGUAAAUUAAUUGCUAUAAAAUCUAAUCAUUGAUGAUUAAAUUAAUUAAGUAGUUAGUUAAUUCCUAACUUCAUUAAAUGCAUGCAGGAUAUAAAGUUGCGGAUAAAGGUUGUUGUGGCACAGGAAAGCUAGAGGUUUCAGUGCUAUGCAACCCAUUGAGUGCCACUUGUCCUGAUAAUUCAGAAUACAUAUUUUGGGACAGUUAUCAUCCAACCGAAAGUGUAUACAGAAAGCUUGUGGCUGUAGUUCUUCCAAAAUAUGUGGGUCGAUUAACUGCAUGAUAUCUCAAGAAGAAAGUGGAUGGAUAUGUUUGAUCAAAUUCAUUCAUCUGUUCACAAUUGUAAUUUCACAACAGUGGCUUUGAGUAUGUUUGGAGUGUGAAACUGCAUAUGGCCAUGUUUUGUUUUUAGAGAACAUCAAAAUAAAUCUAUAUGUUGAAAUUUGAGGGGUUGAACUUACUACAAGGGUUAAGUAUUUGAAAUUUUUAAAAUAUAAAUGCUAUUAUUAUUAUUAUUGAAUUACUAAUUGAGGAAAAAGAGAUUGAGUGCUAAUUUGUUUUUUUUUUUAAAAAAAAAAAAAAUAUCAAAUUCAUAUAAAAACUAAUGAUGAAAAUCUCUUGGGAUAUACACAACCAAAUAUUGAGCCUACAAAGAUGAUAUUAUUAUUUUAUACAUUGUAGAUCAAUAAAUUUUAUUUUAAAUAUUUUCGAUGACCAUAUUUCAGUUGAUAAAGACAUUAUAUUAUAUAUGUGGUGAUCAAAGUUCGAAUUUCGAAUUCUUCACUUAGUUUAACGUGAAUUUUAGCUACGAGACUAAUUGACAAAAAAAAACUAAAUAGAAGAUUUGAAUAGUAUCAAACAUAUGUUAUAAGGAUUUGAAAUGUUGCUACAAUCAUCUUUAAACUUAUUUGAAAUAUGAUGAUUCAUAUUAUAUUGAUUAUAAAAUUCUAUUUGAAGCAUUGUUAGAAGAGAGAUUUAAAGCUAGUUAAUUGUUUUUCUAAUGCGCAACUUGUAAAAUCUACACCAUCGUCGUCAAUAUCAUUUAGGCUAUUUAAGCAAUAAGGAAUAAUCUCUCAUUUAGGUUAUGGAGGUCUUGUACACAAGUUAAUCAAAUUUAAACAUACUUUGGCUAUCUAAUCGAUAAAGGAUGAGAGGAUAGUCUCGAAUUCGGUCAUGGAGGAUAAAUCUCAUGAACCAUUUCUAAAGUCAUUAAGGUCCUAAUUUUAACCAUAUUUUGGGGGAUUUUUUUUCCCUUGUUUAUUCCGUUUUAAAUAGGCUUUGAGUUGUAAAUGGGUUGAGUACCUCACGUAAUCUUAUUUCUAAUUGAAAUAUCUUUGCAGUGAUAAAAAUUAAUAAAUCAAAUAAAUAUUCAUUAGUACCCACCCACCAUUUGAAAAACAUGAGAUUUUUUUACUUUUAUUUAAAGCUUGUUGUGGGGUGUGCAUUUUAGGUCAAUGUAGUGCUCAUUUAAUUUCGAAAUAUUUCUUCGCUGUCGUGUUGGCUCAAGUUUGCAAGAACACUACUAAUCAUUAUCCCAGUAUAUUUCAUCAAUGUAAGCAACAUACUGGUAUCUCAUUGAUCCUAGCUGGGGUCAUAUAUUGAUAUUGUUGCAGACAAUUGAUACAACUAAUUAAUGAUUUGAGAUAUAUUUGGAAGUGGAGAUUACGAAUUCAGAUUUGUGUAUGCUCUGUUAAUUUAAAGAAGUCAUGGAAUUCGCUUAAAAAUAGCAUUUCAUGGCAUUAAAAAAAGGUAAAGGUCGUGCUUUGUUUGUCUGACCAAUAAAUGACUUGAACUAGAUAAUGAAAUAUAAUAAUCAAGCCUCCAUUAUAAGAAUAAUAUAAUAAGGAUAUACACAUCACCUAAACCAAAUCAAAAAAAUAAUAAUAAGGAUAUACACAUAAAACAUUGCAGAUAAGUUAUCUCAAUUUUAUGGUGUAAAAUGUGAGUUAGAAAGUGUCACAUUGUAUUGAAAAAAUAAUAUUAAAUAACAUAUCCCUAUUAAAUUAGAUGAUUUAUAUAUUUAAUAAUGUUUAGAGUGAAUAUGUAUGUUCAACUCAUUUAUAUAAUUGUUUAUAGUCAAAUGUGUUUAUCCAUCGAAUUCUCCUCACGUUCCAACUAUUUAUUUGAAUAGAAGAGGAGUUAAAUCCAAACAACGAAAAACAUACUACGCAAUUAAACAAUGAUUAGAAAUUUCACAGAUGUCAAAUAGUGUUAUGACAGAUAAUUAAUUCAGUUUUUUUCUUUCUUUCAUGUCUUGUGUAUAGGUAUGUGUUGCACUCACCAUAAGAAAAAGAAAGAUACAUUUUUCCGCGGUUAUUUAUUAAAGCGAAGACUGUUUUAACCACCGUUAUUUUGUAUCUACAACGAUUGGGUAUCAAUAAAUACUUUAUCCACUUACCACUCACUUUAGACUAUACAUUUAAAAAACAUUAGAUCAAAGAAAGCUUGUACUUACUUCUCCCACCUAUAUAUUGGAAGCAAUGUGAUGAGAGUGUUUAGGCAACAAAGAAAAAUCAGGGCUUAUCGCGCACUAUGGUGACAUUGGGGUGUCAAUGUCACAUGACAUUGGCCAACCACAAUGUCACAGGUGUACAUAGGAACAAAAAAUCAUAACUUUCUUCUCUUUUACUUAUAAGGAUUUUUUGUCUUUUUGUACACUUGUGACAUUGUGGUUGGCCAAUGUCACGUGACAUUGACACCCCCAAUGUCACCAAAGUGCUACCUGUAGGUUCAACCAUUUGUAAAGGGACUGACUCAUCUUCAUUACGAGUCUAUUGCCUCGUCCCCGUCUAGGAGGUGGAUUAGUUGAAUCACGCUAUUUGCGUAAGAAGAUAUGGUGGGCCAUCCUAUCAAGUCUGAGUGUAUCAAAGUGGUCAACCAUAUCUACACAACAACCAAUAGAAAAAUAUGAACUAAAUAUUAUUUGAAACAUUUCAUCAAACACCUAAAGCAUAAAAUAAACAUACAACUUUCGUUGUGGUUUGUUAAUUCUUAAACUACCCCAUUACAUUAAUGCAUAAUUAACUUACAACUAAAAACAACAUAAUAUGGUUUGUGUUUGUUUGAAUUUGAAAGUGAAUGCUUUGAUUUGUUUAUGUUCGUGUAUAUGUCCACUACGAAACAUAUCGUAAUUACCGUUCAAUUAUGAAAAAAAAAGGUUAACCAUUUCGCUCUUGAAUGAUAGUUAAGCAUAUUACUAUUAGGUAGUGUAACGCCCUCUUUGAAUUAUUUGUUUUAUUUAUUUGAGUUUAGAGUCUGUUCUUCUAGAAUUUAAUUAACUUAUUUGAUAAGUGAUAUUUUGUUAUGUGUUGAUAUAUAUAUUAGUAGUCUAUAUUUGUUUAUUUAAUUAUUUUAAUGAGAUAGAGUCGAAUUAUAUGGUUUAUUUGAUUAUGUGGUAUGUUGAUAUUUUAUUAAGUGAUUUUAUUUUAUUAUUUAUUAGAAUAUGAUUAAAUAAUAGAAUAAGUAGACUUGGGGGGCUGAAUUAGAAAUUAAAGAAGUUUAGUGGGCUUAAGUAGAAUUAAGAAAAGUGGUUAGUGAUAUAAAAUAUUAUAAAUAGAAGAGACCUAGUUUAGAAAAACAGAACGUACGAUCAAUUUUGGAGAAAAUGCCAAGAGAAUGGAGAAAGACCUAGGAAGCUGCGAUUUUGAUUGUUAAGGUAAGAGUGAGACUAGCAUUCAAUUCUAUUAAGUCUGUAAUUCUGAUGAUUGUAUUUAGAAAAUAAAAGAUUGAAUUAGAAAGGUUGGAAAAUUAGGGUUAAGAGUGAUGAUUGUGAUGAUUUUGAAUAAAAGUGAAGUUGAAUAAUAUAGGUUGCUUUUUCUGAUUUUUCUUUUCAUCUUUGCCCCGAAUUUGAAAUAAAAACAAGUAUUGAUCGGUACAUAAUUGGUCUUAGGUGUAAACACGAAAGUUGUAGGUAUGUAUGUUAGCUUUCUAAUGUCGUUGGUCUGACGUCAAAACGAUUUAUAGAACUUGAGUUAUGGUCAAAUUACUGCACAUAGGUCACAGUGAAUUUUUAUGAAUUUCAGCACAACUUUGACCGAAUUUGAAAUAAAAACUGGUAUUGAUUGGUACAGAAUUGGUCUUAGGUGUAAACACGAAAGUUGUAGGUAUGGAUAUUAGCUUUCUAAUGCCGUUGGUUUGACUUCAAAAGGAUUUAUAGAAUUUGAGUUAUGGUCAAAUUACUGAACGUAGGUCACAGUGAAUAAUUGAUUAUGAUUGAUGAAUUAGUAUAUGUAUGUAUAUGUUUGUGAAUACGAUAUUGUACAUGAUUGAUGAAGUGUUAUAUGUAUAUAUGAUGUUUUAAGAUGUUGAUUACCAUUUUAUGUUGUUUAUAUUGUGAUAUAAUUGUAUACGUAAUACUUGAAUUAUAUAUGAAUAUUUGAGAUAUUGAAUGACUUGCAUUUGAUAUUGUUAUAUCAUGUUGUUUUGCAUACUGUCUAUGUUGCUGUUUGUUAUUUAACUAAGUUGUAUGAGUCGGUCUAAGUUGAUUAAGAUGAUGAGGUUCCAAAUUAUUGGAUUAUAUAAGAGGUUGUUGAUUUAAGAUGUUUAAGAAGUCGAGUCCAUGCAUUAGCAUUUCAGCGACAGGGGCUUGAUGCUCUGGAAUAUAUUAAUACUCAAAUAGCGAUAGGGGCUUGAUGCUCUGAAGUAUAUUAAUACUCAAAUAGCGAUGGGGGCUUGAUGCUCUGUAUUGGUACCACAUGCAUAUAAGAGGUUUAAGUUGCAUAGUCGAGUUGGAGUCGCAUUUGUCGAGUCAAAAGUGUUAAGUUGUCAAGUUGUUUAAGUUGUGAUUCUUUAUUUGAACUAUUAAUGAUGUGAUAUAUGAUAUAUUAUUAUCUAUGAUGAAUAUUAUGAUGUUUUCAUGUUGUUAAAUAUAAUUUAUUGAAUUAUAUGUUUAAUAUUAUUGUUUUGUGAAAUCUCAGCCCUUCUAAAUGUUGCCCACCAUGGGUAACUUGCAGGUAACCAAGAAUAGUUGAUGUCGUGUGAGGUUUCCCUCUCGUGUGUCUUAGGUGCUCUGAUACGUAACGGGAUGAGAUUUUGUUGUGUGGCUAUUUUCUAUUCCUUUACGUAUUGCUUAUGUUUUUACAUGACUAUGAUUUAAUUUGGAUUUUUAAGAGAUAUUUUAAUGAGGCCUUUGUGCCAAAGACUAUUUUAGAUGUUGAAUAAAUUCCGCUGCGAAGUAUUAAAUAUUAUGUUAUUGAUUUAUGAAGGAUAAAUAGUUAUUUAUUCCAUUUACGAUUUUUGAAGAGAAGUGUGACAUUCCGUUUAUGUUGAGAACUCUGAUUAUUUAAAUGAAAUUUUUACGUUGGGAAAACGGGGUGUUACAGGUAGAGCUGUCAAAAAUGGGUUGACCCGGGCCUAAAAAACUAGCCCAAAAAGCACUUGGGUUUUUUUGGCCCAAGCUCAGUUGGGCCAUACGAAAGUUCGACCGGGCCGGGCUGGCCCACUGGGCUUUGGGCCGGCCCAUUGGCCCAUAUUUCAUUUGAUUUUUGUUAAAAAAACAAUAUUUUUUUUAAAAAAAAUUAUCAACUAAUUUAAAAUUUAUUAAUAAAAAAAUAUUAAAUAAAUAAACUUAAUAAAUAUGAAUGAAUUUAGCUUAAAGUUUUAAAAUUUUAAAGUUUAUAAAUUAUUAAUUUGAUUUAAUUGAAGGAAAAAUAUAUAGUUUAACUAUUAUUCAACGUUAAUGUAAAAAUUAUUUACAUUUUGAUCUCCAUCCAAUUAUAUUUUAAGAAAAAAAUAAUAAUGCGUAAUUAAUACAUAAAAAAUACAUAUAAAAGAGGAAUAUUGCUUUUUAGGCCCCCCCAAUAUCUCUUUAGGCCCCCUAAAAAUACAAAAAUAACCUUUAUAAUACAUCCGGUAGUUACAUACCGGUAGUGCAUUUUAAAUUUUCACAUUUUACACCUUCGGUAUGUACAUACCGGAGGCACAUUUACAAAUUUUCGCGUUUAUCACAUUCGGUACUUAUGUUCUGGAGGAACAUUCAUUUUGCGAUUUCUCAAUUACACCUCCGGUAUAUAUAUACCGUACUCCACCCACGUUGUUAUCUGUAUAUAAUGGUGCAGUUUUUUAAGAGUUAUUUUCUAAGCUUCAAUAUUGUUCCAUACCUUGCGUUUUUUGGCCAAUUUUUGUUGUGUUUUCAUCACAAUUAAUAUAACAAAUAGUGUCAAUCUUCAUUCAAUUGCAAUCAUUUAGAAGGUAAACCUUGCUUCUUCCUCUCUCGUAUUGUUUCUGCAUAAUUUUUUUAGAGUUCUGUCAGAUUCAAUGAAAAGUUUGAUCCUUUUAUUUCUGUAAAUUUUAUGCACCCUACCAAAAGUUUGUGAAUUUUCCAACAUAACAGAGCAUGUACAUUUGAAUAACAUAAUGCGAUAAAUGCGAAAAUUUGUAAAUGUGCCCCUGGUAUGUACAUACCGAAGGUGUAAAAUGUGAAAAUUUAAAAUGCACUACCGGUAUGUAACUACCGGAUGUGUUAUAAAGGUUAUUUUUGUAUUUUUAGGGGGCCUAAAGAGAUAUUGGGUUGACCCGGGCCUAAAAAACUAGCCCAAAAAGCACUUGGGUUUUUUUGGCCCAAGCUCAGUUGGGCCAUACGAAAGUUCGACCGGGCCGGGCUGGCCCACUGGGCUUUGGGCCGGCCCAUUGGCCCAUAUUUCAUUUGAUUUUUGUUAAAAAAACAAUAUUUUUUUUAAAAAAAAUUAUCAACUAAUUUAAAAUUUAUUAAUAAAAAAAUAUUAAAUAAAUAAACUUAAUAAAUAUGAAUGAAUUUAGCUUAAAGUUUUAAAAUUUUAAAGUUUAUAAAUUAUUAAUUUGAUUUAAUUGAAGGAAAAAUAUAUAGUUUAACUAUUAUUCAACGUUAAUGUAAAAAUUAUUUACAUUUUGAUCUCCAUCCAAUUAUAUUUUAAGAAAAAAAUAAUAAUGCGUAAUUAAUACAUAAAAAAUACAUAUAAAAGAGUGAUUAAGUUUAAAAAAUAAAACUAAAAUGGGCCGGCCCGGCUCUAGAAUUUUCGGCCCAGGGCAAAUCCAGUGUUCCCUUCCUUCUUCUUCGUUUACUUCUUCUCUUCUCACGUUUUCUGCUUCAUCAGCCAUCGCGAAGGCCAAUAAUUCCGCUGCGAGUCGCCAACACUUUAUCGUUAUUCUUAUUGAUUACAUUACAUCACUUCUGCUUCAAACUGUGAUGCAACCAACGAAGAAGUAAUGGAGCCUCUAUUCGACCAAUUCAAAGCUUUUGCUGAAUCCAGCCAUGACUUUUUCGACUCCAUUUUUGGUCGCCGCAAAUCGGUAUUCUUUCUACUUUUCUCUGUAUUGCUCGUAUGUGUUUUCUAUUAUUAUCACCAACAGUUAAAAAUUUCAAAGUGUUGUGCUAUUUAACAUUGAAUUGAAUGUGCAAAGAAAUGAGAAAAAUCGAAACAUUGUUGAGAAAGAAAAGAGUAAUAUGGGGACAAUUUAGUCUCUUGAUCGUGCGAAAUGACAAUUUAGUCACUGAAAUUAGAAUAUUUCUUUAGAAAACAUUGAUCAAACCAUGAAAGACAUACAUAUUUCAAGGGCAUCAAAACAAACAUAGAAUCUUUACCAAGAAUGUAUGUUUGUGUACUUGUCAAAGGAUACAUGGUUCUUUAGUUUUCCUCUAUGAUGUGGUUUUGACAGCCGUGUCUGCAAUCAUAAUUUCAGACUGAAAUACUUAAACGUCUACAAAGAGAAUCCUUCUCAGAUCUUAUGAAACUCAGAGACAGACAAGAUAAGGUUGAGAGGAUGAUUUCCUUCUAUAAAUCAUCCAAAGGAGGUCCUUUUCAGGAAGCCAGCACCCAUGUAAGGGGACAUAUGGAUUUUACAGGGGCUUUACUUAUCAAGGGAGAUUUUAAUCAGCAGAACUUAGAUAUCAUAAGCAGGUCUGGAAUAAAAACAGGCAUUGAUUCAAGGUUCGUUUUUCAAACCGCUAUUGGUGAGGAGAAUGCUCUUGCUGCAGAGUUUGUGGCUACUCAGAAAGGAAAGGAACAUCACAGUGAUGCCCUUGAAAUGCCACUUUCUCUUGCAAAACUCAGCUAUAAAGCAAAUGUAAAUGAUUCGUUAUCUCUUAUGGCUGUCCCAGUGGGAGCCCAGUGCAGAGAUGUUGCGGUUGGUUCAAAUUCUUUUGAUCAGGUACUAUUUAUUUUGUUUUCAAUGCUUAUCUGAUGAAUUUAAUAAUGUUUACUGUUACAAUUUUUGGCAACCAUCUUUCCAUUUGGUAUUCAAUAUUCCCUUAAAAAUGGAGAUGGAAAAUUUACGUGCCAGUUUUUCUCAAACCUUUUCAUAUAAGACCCUUCCCUGAAAACUCACCAUAGGGCACCAAGAGUGAAAACUUCAACAAGCAUACAAAAUCAAGCGUUUAGUAAUUCAUUAUUAUCUGCCAUAAUUGGAUAAAAGGUAUUUGAAAGCAUUAGUUAGAACAGCUCUCUAGUUGUUAAAAUCACAAGAACCUAGCCUUUAAAGUUUUGCUACAAAUGUGUCCUUGGAUGGGGGAUGUUAUUUUCCCCAAGAGCAUGAAGCUUACUAUUGUAAUCAAGUCGAGGAAUGUAUUGACCGAGUACCUAGUUGCAAUGGUUUACCUCAAUUUUCUUGUUUUAUUCAUGAAUUUCUUAGCUAUAAAUGGAACAUUAGGUUUGAUCACUUAAAUGUUGGCUUAUUAAAACCAGUUUAGAUAAAAAAAUUAUGGCCAUGGAUUUUAAUUAAUUGCAAGGGGCAUAUCCAUUGUCAUGCGGAGACAUCAGUAUAGCUUAGAGUAAAAGUAAAAAGAAAAUUAGACUGGGAUUUAAUUUAUUUAUAAAAACUACUGUGUUUUUUCCUUGUUUUGUUCCUCAAACUUUUGCUAAUCAGGCCUCUGAAAUAUUAAUUUUGUGUUGUGAUCAUUUUAGCAGGAAAAAGGCCUCACAGAUUUCUCCUCUUUUGGACCGCCCCUUCUGAAAUUACACAAUGGCAGUGCCUUUGGCAUAGCUAUGAGAAAGUCAUGUUUUAUUGCUUCAUUGGCUCAAUUUGUAGCUGGACUUGGAACACCUUCUGGUUCUAAUACAGCAGAUAAUAGAUACAGCACAUUCCUACAACUUGCCUGUCAAUUUCCUAGAGGAACAAAGCUGUCUGUUCUCAGUAGUCACCAACUACCUUUUGUAUCAAAGCAGCUUAGAAAAUUUGGAGCUUUAACAAUUCCGUUAGUCUUGUCCAACCAACAUGAAGUGUCUGAGACAGAACCUGAAGCAUCAACCUUCAGAGGAACAAGGACACAGGUCUCAGGUGGUUCUGCUGCUAUAAUGCUGGAGUCUGAACUUGAUGGCUUUACAAAACUUGGAGGUUGGGUUGAGAUGAACACACUAGAUCCCAAAUCUGCACAAUGGGCCGUAACAUUGACCGAUGUUUCUGAAGGUUCAUCUGGCUGGGGAAUGAGUCUUGGGGGAAUAGGGGCGAAACAUUUUCAAGCUGAAUCCUAUCUAAAAUUCAACAUGGGUGAUAAAUUUUGCUUGAAGCCAGGUCUUGUAUACGCCACAGAUGGAGAUUCCAAAAUAGCUUCUUUAAUGCUUCGAUCUGAUUGGUCUUUGUGAUGAUUUUUUUUUUUCUUUUCUGUUUGCUAUUAUUAGCCUGUUUGAUUUUUCCUUUGGAAAGCUUGAAACCAUGAUUUUGGAUUCUGAAGAGAAAUCUCAACAUGCACUAUGUACUUUUAAGUUUGUUCAUAUUCUAAUUAUUUCCCUCAGGCCUCAAGGUGUAUAGAACUAAUCAUUUUUUGUCACUGGAACCGCUUGAUUCAAUACAUAUUUGGUUUUCAAUUCUCCUGUAUUUUGUUGUGGUGAUUUCAUUUUUUCCCUUGUUUGACUCGAUGCAUGUUUGGUUCUCAUUAGUUAAUGCAUUCUGCAUGACUAUGAUGUAUUAUGGAUUUGAUAAUUUCUUUCGGUCCCAGGCAGGAGUUUAAAAAAUCAUAUGAAUUAACUAAUUUUGAUGUGUAAGUUGGAACAAAUUCGAAGAAUAAGUAAGUAGAAAGUAAUUCAAUAUUAAAAAAAGAAAUGAAUUUAGCGAAGUUAAAAUUAUAAUAAAAAUUAAGAAGGGUAAACAUCAUACACAACACAAGAGCAGGAAUUUACAAGAACUAAACUUGUAUUUAUUUAUUUAUCGUUUCUUUUCAUUUAAUUACACGGUUAAUACAAAAGGACUCCGAACAUUAUAUUUCCCAUUACUCCAUGGAUCCAAACAAAUCUUCUUUUAGAGAGGGUAAAGUACACGAGAAAAUAAUUUGGCAGCUUAGAUAUUUUUUGUAAACUCUAAUUUCUCUGGAAUCAAUUGGAUUUUCACCCCAUUGGGAGCAUCGACGAUGGCCAUGUAGACUAUUUCAUCCUCUUCACCGACUUUUGUGACAAUUCUGCUCACAUUCUUUGUUUCUUUACCAAUGAAGUUGGAGAUUGCUAUGGAAGGGUAGUUGAUGUUCGAGACAUGAUCAAUAGUUGAAUCCUUGGGGCAGUUGAAACUAUCAGGGGCGGUUUUAGAGAUAAUCUUCACCGUGGUUGUAUUCAAUCCUAUGUAACACAAGUAGUUUAGGUAGUCAAUGGUGCUAGUUUCAUAAACUAGCCCGGGUUGGAAUGGUUCAGUUGUUGUUAUUUCUCCUGCUCCAUAGUCAUAAGGUGUGGCAAUUGACCCCAAAUUCGUGGUAAUGGGAGCCUUCAUAUUGUUAAUUUGAGCUGCUGCAUUUAUAAAAAUAGAAGAUGGUGAUUGCUAGAUAGAUAUGAUUGCAAUACUCGAGGACAUUGAUUUGAGUGAAAUAACGCCAAUUUGAACGGUUUGGAUUAUAUAGUUUGAUUUCUGAAAGUAACAAAAUUCAAAAUGAUUUAUAAAAUUGAUUUUUUUUUUUAUCACAUUAGCUUUUAAAUAUGAGACAAAUUUUAGAAGGACUAUACUAGUUAAUAAUUAGAUGUAGUGCCAUUCGUACUAUCCUUACCGUUUCUCUUGCAUAGAGAUAAAACAAAUUCAAGGGGAAAAUUAGAAACUAUAUAAAUUGUUGGUGAAAUUUAUACUAUCUUUUUCGUUGUGAAAAGUCUAACCAGAGGCCGAUCUGAUUGCAGAGGCACUCCAAAUAGGGUUUUUAAAUUUAAUUCUGCCUGCAACGCCUGAAACAUGAGGGCAUGACAUAGAAGUCCCCGAUUUAAAGUUAUAUGGUGAGGGCUUUUUCCCUUUUGGAACAUCAGUUACAUCAUUACCAAUCCAUGAUGCAAGAAUGGCAACACCUGGUGCUGCAAUAUCAGGCUACAAAAGAAAGAAUUGUUGAUCAUAUUUAGUAUUGAGUACAAUAAUAUAGUUAUUUAAUUCUAUACUAUAUCUUUACACACACACACACACAAACACUUACUUUUAGAAUAUUCCUUGAAAGCGCCGAAGGCCCUCUACUUGAAAAGGUUGCCACCAUAGGUGCAGGCUUAUAAUCUAUGAUUGUAACUGUUGGUAGAAUUGUUGCCACCGGAUUGCUUCAAAAUAAUUAAAUGCAAAAAUACAAUGAAAUUAACUAGUCAUCAGCUGGCACCCGUUGAUUUCAAACGGAAACAGGAUUCAAAAAUAAACACUUCACUUAAAACUGUGAGCUUUUUUACCAAGUUAUUAUGUCCUUAGAGAUGAGAAAAGUUGGACAUAUACAUGUAGUGUAAAAUUAUUUAUUUUACGCUGACAAUCAAACACAACUAGCGAACACUAUAAAAAAUAUUUGUAUGCAUCAUUAUAUUAUAACAAUGUUUGUCUAAUAAUGAUAAACUUUAUAAUGCUUACCUUGUUGAAUUGACAUAUUGGAGUAUUGCAGAGUCAGCGUUAUAAAUUGUACCUCAAUAACUUUGCCACUACCUAAAACAACGUUGGACUGCAUAUCACAAUCGAUGGUAGUGGCUACAACAGUUAAUAUCCAAGGAGCGUCAUUAACAACUGUACUUUGUGUUGGUCCAUCAUUCCCAGCAGAGCAAACAACCACUAUGCCAUGCUCCACAGCAUGGAAUGCUCCGAUCACAAUUGGGUCUGUCGUCAAGUCUGGUCGGAAAAAUGAAUGUGCUCCAAGCGAGAUUGCAAGCACAUCUACUCCAUCGAAAAUGGCAUUGUCGAACGCUGCAAGGAUCCCAGAGCCAUAACAGGAAGGAAAUCACACUUUGUAAAUCGCUAACCUCGACUCAGAGGACCCACCUUUUGCUGUCCCUUCUGCAAGACCAUAGUAUGAUGCACCACUCACGACAUUCCCUGCUGCUGUCGAUGCUGUAUGGGUACCAUGUCCAUAUGUAUCCCUUACCGUGUUUGUUGUGGUAGCAUUUGCAUCAGGGUUAGGGUAAUACCUUGCUCCGAUUAUCUUCCUAAAAAUGAAAAUAAAAAUCAUGGAAACUGUUACAGUAAUGGACCAAACAAAUAAAGUAAACAUAGAUAGACAGAAGGUCAUGAUCUAAUAUGUAGGUUUCAUUUGGUUUGUAUUUUGCAAUAUUUUAUUACAAAAUGAACCAAAUUGAUGAAGAACAUCCUAAUUUGUACAGUAAUUAAUCGGAUUGACACUUUUAAAAUUAAAUACUUUUUUUUUUGAACAAUUUAAAAUUAAAUACUUAAUUUAUAAAAGCCAAAAAAAGUUCCAGUGAUUCUUUUCAAACAUUGUAGGUUUUUACGAGUAAACAUUCAUUUUAGUCCUUAAGAAUUUCAAACACGGUUAUUAAAGUCUUUGAGUGAUUCAAAAUUAGGAAAAUCUUUAUGGAUGUGUCUUUUCUUUACGAGUUUUGCCUUUUUUUUUAAGGCUAAAUUGCAUAACAAGAAUCCCAUAAAAAUUCCAGAAGAAAAUGAAGAAAAUUAACGUUUUUGAAUUAAAAUUAACGGCAAAAAUGUGUAAUGGAGAGAAGUUAAGGGACCAAAAUAAAUCAAAUUUUAAUUAAGAGACCAAAGUGAUACUACCUAAAUAAUUAGGAGACUAAAAAUGCAAUUUAGUCUUUUUUUAAACUAACGAGUUUUGUCUUCAAAUAUAUCUUUCAUUAGUUGAAAAAUGUAUGUUUUUUUUUAAAAAAAUAUAUGGAAAGGAGAAUUAUUUAAAUAUAGGGAAAAGCUUGUUAGUGCGAUAGCUUAACCCACGAAAAACAACGAAUUGACGUAAACCGUAGGAUAGGCUUUAGAUUAAAAUUUGUUUUGACUUUUGUUAUCUUAAAAAUAUAAAACCACCCUUCCCAUGUAUCGUGUGCCACUCGUACUUUGUUUUAUCGCACUAUAUAGCAUUCCUGUUAAAUAUAUGAUGAAUGAUGAUUAAAAAUAUGCAUAGUAUUUUUGAAAGAUAAAACUAUUAAUAUAUAUAUAUAUAUAUAUAUAUAUAUAUAUAUAUAUAUAUAUAUAUAUAUAUAUAUAUAUAUAACCAAAUACAAGAAAUAAUAAAAUGUAGCCUUGAAAAAGAAUAUAAUAAAAUGUAAUUGUUUGAUUUGCUUCAGUGUGAACCCAAAACAUAAAAUUCAAUUUAAUUAUUGUGUAUCAUAUUUCUGGAAUUUUUUUGCUGUUGAAAGGAUCAGAUUUCUGGACUUGUUUAGUCAUUGUCUUUUGUUCUUACAUGAUGAAUAUGAUUAUGUGAUUAGUUUUCUUUACCUAUUACAGUUGGAUGAAUUGAAGUCAUUUGAUUAGAUUUCUGGAGAAUGUGUUUUCAAUUUUGGCGUAAGUUUGCAUUUCGAGGAAAUCCCAAGAACGUGUUGUAUGAAGCUUUAGAAUGGGAUCGAGGAAGACAGCCACAACUCCAUGUUGAUGAGCAAUUGAGUUUGCUUCAUUUUUUAAUAACCUGAGAAUCCGUGUUUGUAAUUGUGUACGAGAGCCUUUUCAUUCCUUAUAAAUAAUUCAUAUGAUCAAUAAUUAAUAAUCACAUUUCAAAAUACUAGCUAAUUGAUCAUGUUAUAUAUAUAUUCAACUGAUUAAUUAGUUAGUUAACUUCUUAACACCGUGUUUAAAACAUGGAUAUAUAUGAUAUUUUGGAAGGGUACUAUUAGUUGAAUCUGCAGCUCCCAUGUACACAAUAUAAACUUGUUUGUCAUUCUCCGAUUGAGUGAUGGUUGGAAUUAUUCCUCAUGCGUAUUGUACUUGCACAUAGAGAGAGUAAGAAUAAAAUAAAUGUAUGAAAAAAAUAGAUGUCACAAAUUAUAAUAUAAAAUCGAAGACAAGCCUAUACAAACCAGUAAUAAUGCUUUUGAAGAUAUCAAGCAUUAUACAUCAUCCUUCAAAUCCCCCAUCGUAUUCAGCCGCAUGUGUGUUGUUUCAUGACUCCGUCCCAACAUAGAUGGUAGUGUGUUCCUAGAAAAUCUAAUUUGGAUGAUUUUGGCGGUAUCAUCUAUGAUCAUACAAGAUCUUUUUAACAUGGGUUCCUCAACAACAUUAAUAGCCCUUGCAUUGUAUUGUAUGUCAAGAACUUGGGGUUCCUCCAUUUUUUUUAAUUAUAUCACAAUCAAAUUAAGACUUAACUUAUAUUGUUCUUAUUCUAGCGAGAAUUAUAAUAAAACUUAGCUGAUUUAUUUAAUUUAGGGUUAAUUGUUGAAAUUAUCCUCUAAUAUACAAACUUAGACAUGUUAGGACGUUAAAAUACGAUUUUACACAAAUAUAUAUAUAUUUUACUAGGGAUGAAUUUUUAAAGUGUCAAAACCUCAAAAAACAAAACAAUAGAAAUCUCAAUCUUGAAAUCGAAUUUUGAGCUGAUUGUUUAUAUAGACAUCUAUAAAAACAACACAUAAAACAGAUAAGCAAAGUUUCAUAACAUUUCAAAGAUGUUUUGAUUUUUUUAUUUUUCAACCAAAAUGUGAAAAAUUGCAAUUUGUUCCGAGUAAUCGUAUACUUGCGGGUCAAAUUUUGUAGGCAUGCUUAGAACAUCGUAAGAACUUUCACCAUGAAAUUUUAAUGUUUUUAAACAAGAAAUGAAUUAACUAUGAAUUGUUAAGAAAUUCAUAAUUAGGGAAUAAAAUUUCGUAAAUAAUCCAUCCCUAAUCGAAAAAAUCUUAUUAUUUCGUAAAUAAUAUUAUUUUGGAAGGUAAAAACCAGCCCAAAAUAUGUAUUAACUUUAUAUAUAGAUAAAAUUGCAAUUAAAUUAGUUUUUAAAUGAAUGGUAUAAUUUGAAUAGCUUGGGUCCCAAGUCUUAGUCAUCUUACUUUAUCUAUCUAUCUAUAUAGUAAUUUCUACAAUCUUUUCACCUAAAUAUUGCCCACUUUACUACGACAGCGAAAUUGAGGGUUUGAUAUAUAUAGCGUGGGUUAUGAGACUUGGGUCACCGUGGGAGCGAGCUUCGAAACAAACCCUCUACUCUGUUCUGUUCUGUUCUGCUCUUCAGCUACUUUUCAACUUCUCUUUCUUCUUCCUGCCUUGCUCUACGACAACAACACAUUGGUCAGUCUUUUCUUCUCUUCUUUCUCUCUUCGUUUCCAAUUUUUUCCGAAUAGGCUUGCUUUGUCGUGUCACUCAAGAAAUAGGGUUAUGUUGCGACAUAGAUAGAUAACUUUCCUCCCUCACUCUCGUCGUUGCUAUGCUAACCCUAUUUCUGCAUUUUGUUUCCGUUUUGCAUGAAAAUUUCCUAUGUUAUUCUUCUUCAUAUAUACCUACCUUCAUAGUUAUAUUUUUGUUUCUAAAAUUCAUCUUAUUUACCUAAUUUUUAAAUUUAUAGCUAUGAGAAUGCUUCAUAAUUAGUAGGUAUAAUUAACAUCAUAAUCAGAAUUGCUACAACGGCACUAUAGUCUCUGUUAUGUAGAAUUUGUAAUUUGUCACUCUAGUCAUUGAAGCUUGCUAUGUGAUUUUAGCCUAGUAAUUAAUUGCCUUUAAUUUACAACUUCUUGCUUUUCCCUUCAGAAAUUGUAUUAAAAGCACCAUGGCUGUGGAGGCUUCUGGUAAGUUAAAUACGUCGCACAAAUUUAUAAGAAGCUCAGAGAGUAAUCAAUUGCAUUCAAAUACGAGGAAGUCAACUUCUCAUAGUCAUGAUGGACGGUCAUAUAAAAAUACCUCUAACGUACUUUCUUCAAAUGACCAAAGUUCUAGCUCACAAAAUGGUAAGGUUAUCCGAUCCGCUAUGGCCUCUGCCGUGGAAUCUUCUGUGGGUAUAUCAAAUGCAUCAACAUCAAAUCUCAAAACUUAUACAAGGUCCCCAUCUACAAAACAUCUUAAAGAAGACAGAAGGGAAGAUUCUGCGGACGAGGAGGAUAGUAUGCCAUUGAGUGUUAUUAGGAUGAAGAUGAACAAUGCCAAUGUUAAGAAAGCAACUCCUAAUGUUCUCAAGAAAUCAUAUGAAGACUUUGAUGAUGAUAUUCCUUUAUCAGCAAGGUUGUCACAGAUUACUAACUAUGAUGACUCUGAUAAACAGGAAAAAGCAUCUACACUGUCUGUUAAGAGACCACUAGACGAAUUUGAAUCAUUACAUUCUUCAGGUAAGAAGUCAAAACUCUCACAUCCAGCUUCAUCAAUUAAUGCUAAACAAACAACGAUGAAAUGUGAUGUGAAGGCUGAGGAGGAAGAGGAGGAUGAUGAUAUUCCUAUUUCUCGAAGAAUGAACAAAUUGGCCAAUAAAUCAUCUUACUCGAAGAAGUUGACGAAUGACACUAAAGUCAAUAAGGUUGAUGCUCCAUCUUUUAAGAAAAAGGCAAGGUUAAAAAAAUCAGGCAAUAAAUCAAAACAUGUCAAAUCUACGAAACAUCAAUUGAGCUCUGGUGAUGGGCAGAAAAAAUGGACUACUUUGGUUCACAAUGGUGUCAUCUUCCCACCUCCUUACAAGCCUCAUGGGGUAAAGAUUCUCUAUAAAGGGAAGCCAGUAACUUUGACCCCAGAACAAGAGGAGGUAGGAUUUUGCUUAUGAAUAAUGUUUUCAUGUUUCUGGGUGAUUGUCUGCUCUUGCUUUUUAGUUUUGUAUUUAUUGAUCGUUUCACAUUGGAUGUGAUGUUGUUUGGAAAUUGUGUUUAUAAGUGAUAGAUAUUCCUCAUUUUACAAGCUUAUUUUGUGUGGUUGAGUUAGGCUCUGUCCAAAUUUUUAGUAUCAGAGCCUACUAUUUUUUUUUUUGUUGAAGAAAUAUCAGAGCCUACGAUUGAUCCCUAUUGAAACCCGUUAUUGGGCUACUUGGCCAUGCUCCAUAUGUUCAAUCAUGAUCGUGAGGGAGGUAUUGAGGGUCUCACAUUGGAGGUGAUAUAGCGUGAUAUCGAGUUUAUAAGUGAUAGAUAUUUCUUGCCUUACAAGUCGGUUUUGUGUGGUUGAGUUAGGCCCUAACAAAAUCAUAAGAGUUUUAUUUUUUUAUAUUGUUUUUAAUUUUUGAGAAAUUGAGGUGAGUCAAGUAUUUCUAUGUGAGAGUUCUCAUAUUAAAAAGUAGAGUUUCUGAUAAUACUAAGGACGUGGAAUGUACAUGCAGGUUGCCACAAUGUUUGCAGUCACCGAUACAAAAUACAGUCAAAACGAAAUAUUCAAGGUUAAUUUUUGGAAUGACUGGCGGAAGUUGCUAGGAGAAAAUCACAUGAUUCAGAAUUUAAAAGAUUGUGACAUUACACCGAUUUACGAUUGGUGCCAGAUUGAAAAGGAUAAGAAGAAACAAAUGAGUUCAGCGGUAAGUUGUUUCAUAUGAUUUCAUUUGAAAAUGAUAGAAUAGAAAUUAAUGUUCAAAGCAUUAUUUGUAUUUUCAGUAAACAUUGUGUGUGCUUCCAGCAUCACAUGCAGAUAUUUGUUGCUUUGAGAAUAAAUUUUCUAUUUAGCUGGUUUAGUUCUGUAGUCACCAAAUCAUGGUUUUCAAAUUUGUAGAUUCUACAUUGGAUUGGACAGGAUAUCAGGCAUGUAAAACAUGUGACAGGCAAAAUAGGUUGUAACACCUAACUUUAACUAAAUUAGCAUUCAAAUUAAAAUUAUAUAACAUGUUUCAGUUCAUGAGAAGUUUGAAGGUGGUGAUUAGAAGUAAAUGACAAAAAUAAUGAAAAGAGAGUUGUGAUCAUUAGUGUCUUUUAUUCAUGUAUUGUGCUUAUGCGUUGACCCUCUUUUGUCUUACUUUUAUCAGGAGAAGAAGGCCCUAAAGGAGGAAAAAAUGAAACAAGAAGAGAAAUACAUGUGGGCUAUUGUUGAUGGCGUUAAAGAGAAGGUUUAUUCUUCUCUCCCUCUUUCUCUGCCCAACCAAACACUCUCCCCCGUAUUUCUUGAAAAAAGUUGCCUGUUUUUUCCAUAGAAUUUGCCAGGCUUUGUGAAUAUACUUUACCUUAUCUUGAAUUAGCCUGUUACAUGAUUUAUUUGAAUCAUGUUUUUCUUAAAUUAAAAGAAUCUGUUUUUCUCUUGUUUAGCUUUAUCUAAGCUUUUACUUUUGAAAUGUCCUAAUGAGACUGCCAGUUCAAAAUUUUUCUCUGGGAUUCUUUUUAUGACUAAUUGUUCGUUUAAUCUUUUAGGUUGGAAGUUUUAGAGUUGAACCUCCAGGAUUGUUCAUUGGACGUGGAGAGCAUCCCAAGGUUGUUACAAUAAUUGCUUUUGAAAAUAAAAACAUGUAAACUGACUUCAGAGAGAAUGAUUUUCAUACAUCUAUGUUUCUUAAGAUUUUUUGCAAGUAUCUGACAAGUUUUUGGCACUUAACAACAUAUAUUUGAUAUUAUUAGAUUGGAAAAGUGAAAAGACGCAUCCUUCCACAUGAUGUCACAAUUAAUAUUGGAAAGUAUGCACCAAUUCCCGAAUGUCCUAUUCCUGGUGAAAGGUAUCAUUGUUCAAAAACUUCUUGAUGAACAAGUCUGAAAAUAAAACUAAUACCAUGAAUUGAAAGUCAUUGUUAUCAUCUGAAACCAUUGAUUUGUGUCCCCUUGGCAGUUGGAAGAUAACACAUGAAGAUACAGUUACCUGGCUAGCAAAGUGGUGUGACCCAAUCGACCCAAAGUUAAUCAAAUAUGUGUGGCUGGGAGCUAGUAGUUCCUUGAAAGGGAAGAGCGACAAAGAAAAGUAUGAGAAAGCAAGGAUGUUGAAGGUGCGUUCCACUUUGUUUUAUUAAUUCUUGCAUUUUCACAUCAUAUUAUGUAUGAUAUUUAAAAGAGCCUGUUUAAUUAUGGAAUACCUUACAUAUGUGUGCAGAGUUAUAUAGGGAACAUCAGGGCUGCUGCAUAUACAAAAGGUUUCAAGAGCAAAUAUAUUACUAAGCAGCAAAUAGCCGUUGCUACUUAUUUUAUUGACAAACUAGCUUUGAGGGCCGGCAAUGAGAAGGUACAAAUAUAAUAUCUGCAUAUGUAAUUGCUUAUUUGUUCACUACAAAUCACCCCUCCUCGGUAAUAUAUGGAUGUGCUAAAAGAGGAUAAGUUAAAUUGUCGAUAGUUUAAAAGAGCUGUGAAAAGUAGGAAGGCAGUAUAUUUUUCAUUUUUUGUGAAUGUACUUGAGGGGUUUUCACUCAGUUAAUCUUCUAUGGUACACUCUUAGAAAUAACUACAAUUUACAUUUAAAAGGAGAUUAAUAAAAUUUUUCUUUAUGAAAGGAGAUUAACAACUUCGCUACUUCCUAAGUGCAUGUAUGAGAUUCUCUAGUCUAGAUAAUUGGCUAACUAUGUACAUGAACUCAUGAAGUCUUGAACCUACAACUCUCAAUACUAAUAUGAGAUCCAACACUCUUUACCAACCCUAUUUGGAAGGUGGAAUAAUGUGGUACUUUCUCCAUUGAGAGAAAAUAAAAUUAUUUAUUGCAUAUAACAUUGUCAUACUCCGGUGGCUUGUAUCUGUUACGGUCUAGCUGUUUAAUUUCUGUUUGAUCAAAUGUAUGUAAUUCAGAACAUGAAUGAGGAAAAUAUAGCACAAUCUGCAGUUACAAUUAUAUCUAUUAAAAGAAAUUUUGUCACAUAGUUGAAUUAUUGUUUUAUGAAUCUCUCGAGGUAUGUCAGUCUGAUCAAAUCUGUUCAGUAGUUUAGCUUUCUGGUCUUGCUAUUUUACCGAAGCAAUUUUCUCAACCAGUUACAAUGGCUAGUAUGUUUCUGUUUAUUUAUUUAUUGUAUUUAAAACUCACCUCACCUAGUGGAAAAGGCUUUUGUUUGUUGUUGAUUAUUCUACCAUGUGAAAAACCUGCCACUGAAGUAAGAGGUUUGGACAAUUGAACUGGAUUAACAUGGAUGUUGCUAAACUAAAUUAUUCUUUGAAUUUGAGAAACAACUGGAUCCAAGCAUGCACCUUUCAUAUUUCUUUUCAUUGUCUUUAUUGUCCAAAAAGAUUCGACAUUUGCAAAUCAAAUAUAGUUGUUUCUCAUUUACAUUUCCUCAGGAUGAUGAAGAAGCGGACACAGUUGGAUGUUGCACGUUAAAAGUAGAAAAUGUAACUGCACAGGGCCACAACAAAUUGAAGGUAAUUGAACUUACAUAUCUUUCUACUUUUUUGUCUGUUUUUUAGUUUAGGAGGAGAAAUUGCAGUACCUUACAUGUGAUUUUUCUUUAUGUUUUGGUUGCCUAGUUUUAACUGCUAAUACUUGGGGUUAUAAUGAUCAUGCUUCAUUUUUGGUUUAAUGCAGUUUGAAUUUCUUGGUAAAGAUUCAAUCAAGUAUGAAAAUACAGUUGAGGUGGAGCUUCCUGUUUAUAAUGCCAUUUUGAAGUUCCAAAAAGGUGGGAAACUGCUUCUACUUUUUGAUAUAUUUUGUAUGAGACGGAUGUGAGGCUAAUAAGUAUCUGCUUUUCUCUCUUAUCAGACAAACACCCUGGAGACGAUCUUUUUGACAAGCUGGAUACAAGUAAAUUAAAUGCUCAUCUUAAGGAACUCAUGCCCAACCUGACAGCAAAAGUCUUCUGUACAUUCAAUGCAUCAUUCACUUUGGAUGAUAUGGUAAAAAGUUCUUUGAGAAGAGAUUAUUAUGUUUUCAAAUUAAAGGUUUAUUCUUGAUUUUUCUGUCUUGUAAUUUUAGAAUUCCUAUAUUUAGUUUUCCUUGAAUUAUGUGACAACAGUUGAAUAAGGAAACUAAAGAUGGAGAUGUUGCAGAAAAAGUUUAUGUCCAUCGGCAGGCAAAUAAACAGGUAGUUUUCGAAAUUCCUUUUUGAUUCCUUCAUCAACAUGCACAGAUUGUUGUGUGUUUUCCUGAUUUUCUAAGUAGCAUUGAUGUGUCUUUUGCAUAACAGGUUGCAAUCAUUUGUAAUCAUCAACGUAGUGUUUCAAAAUCUCACAGUGAACAAAUUUCGAAGUUGAACGAAAAGAUCGACGAACUUCAGGUGAUAAUGAAUUUGGAAACCUGGGUGUGAAUGGAUUUCUCGUCACUGGCUUGUAUUAUUUGAAAUUUAGAGGGAAAAAACCAUAUACUUAGAGCUAGCUGUCUUACUUUUUAAUUGUAGGCAAAUUAGAAGGAGCUGAAAAUAGAUUUAGAAAGGGCAAAAAAACAAAAGCCACCUCUAAAGUGUUCGGACAGGAAGGACAGGAGGAACUUUAAUCCUGAAGCGUAAUAUACAGCUUCCUUAGUAUCUUUAUCUUUACACAUUAAAAUUAUCAAGUCUGUAACGUUCUUUCUUUUUCCAUUCAUCCUUUUACAUGAAAAAUAAGUUUUGUUUCCUUAUUUUACAAGUCCAGAGGAAAUUUUUGUUGCAAAGUCUUCAUCUAAUCUAAUUUCGGUAAGUUGUCCCAGUCCCUUUUCUUCAUGGACUAUGUCAUGAUUUAUAUUUAUGAUUUAAUGUGAUGCCCAUUGUUAAAUGAGGCAGAGUUUUGUUUGUUUCAUUCUUGUUUAUUUUAUUUGUAUUGCUAUUGUCAUCUGUGAUUGCUUACAUCAAGGUUGGGGAUAAAAUAAGAUAUGCUAUCUGUUAAUGUUCAACGAAUCAACAAUGAAUUUCGAAUGACUAAUCGACGUAGAAUAAAUAACACGCCAAAGAGGUUCAUCCUCCACCAGAGUUGGGAAAGAUUCAUCCACAAAACCAAACUUUGUUCUUUCCAAUGAGUGCCAUCUUCACGUGUUCAACAAAUAUACACAUACUCAAUAAUCAUCCAAACUAUGUUCUAAUAUACAAGAUUUUUCAGGAGUUCAAAUUUCUUUUUUAAUGGCAAGAGUUCAAAUAUAUAUACAUAAUAUUCAUUGACCAUGUUUUUCAAAUAUAUACUUGAAAAUUAUGGUUCAUUACGUUUAAAAUUCCGGCUAAGUAUGCUCAAUGAACUCAGACACUUUCAUUAAACAUCAAAUAAACUUUAUUUUUUGUGUGAAUAUAUCAACCCAAACUUUAUUUUCUGUUAACCACGUAUUUAAAUUAUUAUAAAAAAGGGUAAAUAACAUAAACAACAUACUUGUAGGCAUCUACAAGAACUCAACUUGUAUUUAUUUAUUGUUUCUUUUCAUUUAUCUACACAGCUAAUACAAAAGGACUUCGAACAGUAUAUUUACCAUUACUCCAUGUAAUGGAUCCAAACAAAUCUUCCUUCAUUGAGGUUAAAGUGUGGAGGAGAAAAUAAUUUGGUAGCUUAGUGUUUUGCUAUUUUCUGUAAAUUGAAGUUUAUCUGGAAUCAAGUCGACUUUCACCCCGUUGGGAGCAUCAAUAAUGGAGGAGUAAAUGGAGCAUCAAUAAUGGAUUGUGGCAGCAUGUUUGUUGUUGCGAUUGUUUUUGGGAAGUCUCCAUAAUUAUCAGCAUCUGCUCCUUCUUGGUCAGAAAUAUAAACAAAACCAAUCACACCUGACUCUUGCAAUGUGGCAAUUUUCAAAUCAGUUCCAUACUCUUCUUCUGUGCUGCCAACACAGACGAUAAUCUUUCCUUUGACUUUUUUCUUAUCUAGUGAAUUUGGAUUGCCUUUCCUGUAUUUCACAAAAAUAAUUUGACCUUGCUUCUGAUUAUUAUGCCUAACAAGUUUAAGUAUAUCUUAGGAUUAAUUGUGAGUUUGAAAAAAUCAUGGUAACACGUAAGUUCACCGUGAUUUCAUCAAACGCAUGCAAUGUUUUUUUCAUUCAUUGCUAAGUAGAUUUUGCAUCCAUACCUUGUUUCAUCCAAGUCCCUGGCAGAGCCACAGUAUACCAAUGGAUAAUCUGGAGAUUUUGAAAGUGGAGAGAAAUUUAUGGAUCGGCCCUGAAACUUAGCAUGCAUGAAGAGAUACCAUAACUCAUGUAUCAAUCCUAAAACAAUUUGUAUUUCUAAAAAUAAGUUUUUUGAAAACUUUGAAAAAAUAGUACUAUAUGUUAAUUCAAACUUGUCAUAAGUUAAAAGAAAUUUUUUAGGAUUCACUAACUUAAAUAUUCAUUGUUAAAGAUUUUAAAUAAUUAAUAUCACAUUUUUUUUUCUUUUCAAAAACAAUUUUUCAUAAAUAGCUAUUUGAUAUAGCUUCUUGUUUUAAAGAUUUUUUUAAAUUUUUAUUUUCCGCAAAAAGUUGCAGCAGAAGGAUGGAAUAAUUGAAAUGACUUUUUAAUAUAAGUUGUUUAAACCAAUUUUUCAUUUAAAGAUUUAUUUAAACAAAAUAUUAAAAGUAUUAUAACAAAAAUAUGAAACACUAUACAAAUUUAUUAAAAAAAAAAAAACUAUAACAAACAUCCUUAAAUUUCUUCUUUGAAAGCUUGAAUAGAUUGCCUCUUGUUAUGGCUUCAACUAGUCCAGUUAAGAAAAUAAUAAUCUAACGUCAAGCCCGUGUUAAAAAUGUUAGCACUAUUUUUUUUCCUCAAAAUUAAAAAGUAAAAAGUGGAAUGUUGUAGAGUGAACUUUGUAUAGUUUGUACCUUGAUCACUUUGCCAUUACCCAAGACAACAUUAGACUGGAGAUCACGGUCAAUUGUUGUGGCUCCAACGGUUAAUAUCCAGGGAGCAUCAUUAGAAACUGUACUCGGCUUCCGUCCAGAAUUCCUAGCAGAGCAAACCACCACGAUGCCUCGCUCCAUGGCAUGGAAAGCUCCAAUUGCAGUUGAGUCAGUUUUCAAGUCAGGUUUGGAACUAGGAUCAUCCGGACCAAAUGACAGGGAAAGCACAUCAACUCCAUCGGCGAUGGCAUCAUCGAAUGCUGCAAGGACAGUGGAGUCGUCACAGUAACCACCAGAGCACACUUUGUAAAUCGCCAACCUUGAUUGAGGAGACCCCCCUUUUGAUGUCCCUUUUGCAAGACCGUAGUAUGAUGCACCACUCGAUCACGACAUUUCCUGCUGCCGUCGAAGCUGUGUGGCUUCCAUAUGCCCGUACAAAUCCCUUGGAGUGCUUUCGUCUCCACCAAGGUAAUACCUUGCUCCUAUAAUUUUCCUAAAGAACGUUAAAAUCAAAAUCAUGUCAGUUGAUGUUAUUCACAUUCGUAUUUCAAACAAGUAAUUAUUAGGGGGUGUGUUUCCAAAACAAAAAAUGUGUGAUGUUAUUUGCUGGUGAUUUUCUUUUCUUCUCUCAUUUGGUGGGGUGACAGUAAAUUUUUUAUUUACCUGUUUCAAUUAGAUGAGUUGAAGUCAUUUGAUAUCAUUCAUACAGACACCUUUCCAACCAGGUGGAAUAGGAUCCAUUCCCUUGUCUGAAAAACUUUGUGCUUUUGGCCAUAUACCUGAAUACAAUCUUUGGUUAAUUAAUUAACUAAUUAUUAAAAUAUACUUUAAUCCAUGAUAAAGACAGGGCAACUAUAUAGCUUGUGAAUGUAUCAUUUCCUUUCUCUAUAAAUCAUUAAAAAAACAUAACCAACCUGUGUCUAAGACGCCAAUGACAAUGUUUGACGAGGAAGAAGAAUUGGAGGGCGUGUUGGCUUGAGUUUGUAUUUUGAGAAAAUCCCAAGAACGUGUUGUGUGGAGUUUCAGGAUGGAAUUGGGAAACACGGACACAACUCCAGGUUGUUGAGCUAUUGAGUUUGCUUCAUGUUUUGAUAGAAGAGCUGCAAAACCUGAGAAUCCAUGUUUGUAGUUGUGUAUUAAAGCCCUCUCGUUCCUAAAUAAUUCACAUCAUCAAUGGUAAUAAUAAUAAGGGAAAUGCUGGAGUGCACGACAUAACAGAGUCGUGUAAAUCACACGAGUGAUGACAUGACAACAAAUUAAUGUUUGAUUUUUUUAACUAAAAAAAAAAAGAAAAUUAUUGUCAGACUUUUUAACUUUAAGAAAGAAAAAAAAAACAACAUUUCCCAAUCCAAACUUUAAUCCACCAAACACUGUGUUUAGGAUCGCAGCAGAUGAAAUCAAGAAAAAGGGUUAUAAUUUUUCUCAAUCCAAACUCAUCUUUCUCAAUUCAAGAAUGGAAUUGAUGAAGGGAAAAUUUUAAGGUUUGCUUAAAAUCCACGUUUAUUCUAUUGCAAUUACUACAUACAAAAAUUUGAGUAUUGAUUUCUUGUUCUAUUCACUACCUUCCUAGUACUCCAUCGGUCUCUCUCUCUCUCUCUCUCUGAUUUUCUAUGUGUUUUCUGAGUUUUUGCAUUGUAUUUGAUUUUAAACGGUGUUGAAUUUGUUGUUGGUUAUAGAUGUGGCCAAACCUCAUUCAAAAAUAUAUAGAUGGAGGAUUUUAUGUCAUCCAAACUAUGUUUCUGGAACUUACAUAAACCAGUUAAAGGUUAGGUUCUGUUCUUACCAUUUUCUUUUAUAUUCCUAAGCCUUUCAGCAUUGCAUUGGUAAUGUGUGAAGGAGAAGUUUGCAUUGCUUGCAGCUUUAAUUAGUAGUUAUAAGAAAAGAAAACAAGUGUGUAUUUAAUCUGAAUUGCUAAUUGUUGAAAGCACUUAUAUGCUAUAAGCACUUAAAUAGAAAUAGCUUAUUUUUCUGGGGUCUUCAUUUCUAAUUGAGGGCUUUAACUUCUUAAGAUUGGUUAACCUCUUUGUAUUCACUUCAUUCCAGGGAUUAAGUUCCAAAUCGACAAUGAACCAUUUAAGGUAAGGUAACCUUCACCCCCGCUGCCUCAUGCUUUUGUCCUUAAGGUAAGGUGUUCUGAAUUUGAAUUCUAAGUUUCGUUAUCUUGGAAUUAUCGUGCAUUGACAAUGUACAUUUGAAUUGUUAUUGAACUACUAUUAGAACCUUGCAAAGACAUAUUGUUUAUUUGUCUAGAAACUAAUGGUAAUUGUUACAAGUUUGUUCAUUUUGUGCCAAAUAGGUAUUUACUGAGUGGUGUCUUUUGCUCAUAUAUUUAGAGAGGCGAAUUCCAAUGCAAACAAAGUAGUCAAAUAGGGAUAAAAAAUGGAGGGCAUGUGGAUGAUGUGGUUCUAAUGUGGAUCCUCUUACGGCUGAAACGUUGGGGGUUAGAUGGGCCAUCCAAGUUGCUAGUGAACAAGGCAUUACCUCUGCCUCCUUUUUCUCUGAUGCAAGCAAUGUUGUCAACUCUAUCAAUGGAAUAUCAACUUUUGCAGCUAUUAAUUUCAUAGUCUAUUGCAUUAUAGGGACCUUAUGUCUACUAUGUUAGAUGCUUAUGUUAUGUUUGUUUGUAGGAAUCACAACUGUGAUGCCCAUAAUUUGGCUUCUUUGGCUAGGAUGGUGGGUGAUAGAACCUGGUAUGGAGUAGCUCCUAAUAGCUCUAUGUUCUCUGUUAAUUCGGCUGCUAAUGUCGUGCCUUGUACUCAUGAUGGUUGUGUUCAGCUUUUGUUUAAUGAAAGUUGUUUUCACUUCAAAAAAAAAGUUGGUAAUGUAAAGACAUAUUGUUAAUAGACUCAUGUGAGUGGCCGUAUCAAAUUAUAAUGGUACACAAACCAAUACUAUGAAUUAAGUACUACUAUUAUUUAAGUCACCAAAAUAUGAAUGAUGGAUUCAGUUUGAUGGAUGUAAAUGGCUGCUACUUAAUCAGUGAACAAAGGUAUAUAAUGAAAAGAAAAGGAAAAAAAAAUCAGAGAACUCAUUUAUGACAGUCACACAGGACUUGUUUUUGGCCGUUAUCAAAGGUGUCGUGAUCUCUAAAUUGCAAGACAUGUUUUUGUACUGCUAAAGUAUAUAACAAAUACAUAACACCACUCUAGGCAGCUAGCUAGCACAUAACACAAUCAAGAGCCUCAUCAGAGUAACAACAUGUCCACUGAAAGAGACAUAAAUAUAAACCUCCAAAAUGUGCAAAGAACAAAAGUGACACUGAAGCUAAAUUGUUUCAACACCAAUAACAUAAAAAUCAUCCAAAUCAAAAUAUUAUAAUUCUAACGUACUUAUAAAGCUAAACAGUUGCUUCAACAUUCAAUAACAGUACAAGGUGUAGAUUCCAAUUGCCAUCCUAAUAUGUAAAAUCCAGCGUCAUGAUCAAUUAACACAAAAUAUAUUUAAAUAGUUUCUGAAAGUCUGCAACAAUCAUCUUCAACUCUCGUCUUCCAAAGAAGUGGUUCAUUCAUGUCCUCAUUAUGAUGGUUUAUCAAUCAUAUGGUGUUGUGCCUACAAAAAACACAAAUGUAAGAAUUGGUGAUUUAUAUUACAUCUUGACUAUAUCAGUAGGAGAGAGAGAGAGAGAAAAAGGAACCAAUACCUCUAAAAGUUCUGAACAUGUAAUAUUAUGAUUUAUGCUUUGAGAAUAAUAUGGAACCUGUUAAACAAAUAUCAUCGAUGGCGAGCUUCCGGAAAGACAACCUCAAUUGCCUUCUUCAUUGCUCUAUCUUGAUCAGUAAUUAUGGCAUUUGGUGCAUGUCCAUGCAUGCAUUCUAACCAUGUUUUGAACAGCCAAGAAAAGGUUUCCGUAUCCUCACUUGACAAUAGAGCACAACCUAACAAAACUGAUUGACCGUGAUGAUUGACUCCAACAAAAAGGACAAAAGGCAUGUCAUAUUUAUUUGUUAAAUAAGUGGUAUCAAAAGUUAUGACUUCACCAAAAUACUCAUAAGCAGUCCUACUUCUCGCAUCUGCCCAGAAUACAUUUCGCAAACGACUUUUGUCAUCCAGAUCCAUCACAUAAUAAAAUUGACUAUUUUUCUUUUUCAUUCUGACAAAAUAGUUUUGAAUAGCUUCAGCAUCUCCUAUCCCAAGUCGAAGCCGUCUUACAUUGUCUAUGUAAUUUCUACAAUCUUUUUCUCCAAAUGUAAGAUUAUCAUAUCCAUUGGCUUAAACAACCAUAGAUCAGAAAUUUCUGCUUACAUUAAUAUCAGCUUGAUCAUUAAUAUCUAACCUCCUUUUUGUAUGAGGGUCCAAAUUCUUAUUGCAUCUAAAAUAUCUAGAUUUUGUUGGGCUUAAUCCAUGAUUAUGCUCAAGAGCAACUUUUGUAAUUGUAAUUUUUCCAUCUAAAGACUGACACAUAUUUACUCUAGCUAUACAUUGUGCUCUUAUGGUAGGAUUUGGUCUCAAAAGGUUCUUUGAGUUACUCACAUAGCUUCUUGCACAAGUACAUCCUAGAGUAAAGUAUUUUUUUUCCAUCCUUUGCAUUUUUUGAAUUGAUUUUAACAGUUCCAAAACCCAUACAUCUAGCAUAACUCUUGUAAUAUUUGGUAAUUUCUUCUUCAGAAUUAAAUGUCAUCCCAAUCCUAGGUUCUUCAUCUGCUUGAACAAUAUUUGCUUCUAAAUUUUUAUCACUAUUUUCAUUUAUGUGAUCAACCUCCUCUUGGACAGAAGAAGUAGAUCCCGUCUCCACUAAAUACAGAAAAUUUUACAAAACACAAACUUAAAUUAAUCAACUAAAUUAACAAGUGGAUAUAACAUGAUUUCUAUAUAUCUAACUAGAUAAAACAAUAAAAAACCAAAUUAUUCUUACUUACUUGUGGAAUUGAAUGUUGAAACAGGGGAAUCAGAGUAAAGUGAUGUUUGAGGAUGGAGAUGCAGCGACGAUAUGCAGUUAUAGUUGUGUGGCGAGAACCGUGGAGGUGAAUACAACAGCGGCGAUGGUAGAGCAGACAACAAUGGCGACGAAACGACAAAGGCUUGUAGAAUUGGUGGUGAGAUCAACCAAUUAGUGGCGGUUAAAUUGCAUUUGGCGCUGUAAACGUGGGAGUGAUUUCAGUUGCUUUUUUUAUUUUAUACAAAAUCAAUGAGAAUAUAAAGUAAAAUAAGAGUGUGCGUGACUUUGUACACUAAGCACGUGAGUCGUGCAUUGUCGUGCGUUUGAAAUGUCGUGUGAAAUAACAAUACUCUAUUAAUUAUAAGUCAUCGAUCAACAUUUUGCACCAAUCAUGAGAUUUUAAUUUUUUACUUAACUUCAACCAAUAAAAUUAUGUCAUGAGUCACUUUUUAAAUUGUAAACCAAUCAAAUUAUAACAUUCGUCAUAGUUUGAUUUGUAAGCCAAUAGUAUUCUAACAUGUGUAAUUUUUUCAUCAUCACAUCACUAUGUAUUAGAGUAUGGGCUUGAAUGUAAUUUGAUAGCUUCUUUUUCUCUAUAUAUAGUUAUUUUUUUUACAUCUUUUUCAUCUGCUUAUGUCAUUCACACAUUCUUACUAAAUUAAAAAAAAAUUACUAUAACACUAAAAUCCGAUAACAUCUCUAAGAAUAUGUUGUUAUUACCAACAAAUAAGUUAUACACAAUCUAUUUCAAAAUUAUAUUAUGCACAUCUUACUUUAAAGUCUUCUACUUCUUUAUUCACCAAAUAUAUGUGUCUUUUGUACGUGUGAUGUGUAUUUAUUUAAAUGGAAGGAAAAGAAUACAACAGCUCAUCUGGUGUACGUCAUUUUUAGAUUAAACUUAUCAUAAGUACACCAAAUAUGAGCAACACGCACUAUCAACUUAUGUAAGUAGAAGACAAAGGGUACAAUUGAACUGCUCAAUGCCCUCUCUCUCAAAAACCAUGCGCAGUUACGCUCAGUAUUGUUGAUGAACGUGUAUUAGUGGUGGAAGAAUCCAUUAUUUUGAAAAAGAGUUUUUGAUAAUGCAUUUAUAUAAUAUUUAGUGUUAAAUAUCAUACUAUGUUACUGUUAGUGGAUUAACUAUAAAUUUAAAUUUAAAUUUUAAAUAGAGUUUUUGAUAUAUAGAACAUGCGUUUACAAUCAAAACACAUCUAAAUUUCAACAUUUAAUGCAUUCUGGAACUUCAUGCAUGAAGAAAUUCAGGAGUAUCAUACCUGACACAGUAGAGAUACAGAACCACAGUAGAUGGGGUUGAUAUGCUAUGCGUAAAGUCAAUGUAUUAAACAUGUAUUGGACAAAAACGUUCUUGGCAAGGGAAUUAUCAUUAUACAAUCUAACUAAGAAACACCACAUCAAUAAUUUGAGAAAAGUGGAGAGAACAAUAACAAAGGGCACUGAUAGACCAAAAACCCCAAACAGCUAAACCCCACAGCCGGCCACCCAAAACAGAAAAAAACACAGCCACAACACAUAGCAGAACCUACAUGACUAACAGGAAACGAAGCCUAAAACAGAAACAGCAGGAGCGCUAAACUUGACAGCUACAAAAACAGAAAAAUGAGGCUGGCAUAUACAUACUUUUGGAAACCAUAACAGUUAGCAAAAACGUUCCAAAACUCCACCCACCGCAAAAGGCACUCCUUUGGGUUCCAACACCAUUCGUAAAAAAGGCAAGCCGAGACAAAAACCACCUCCAAAACAGCAACUUUAUAGCCUCCGAAAUCUCUUCAACCUCGGCGAUUGUAUUAUUUAAAAUACGAUCUGUUCUCGCCCGCCAAAUGUUCUACAUGAAAAUUUUCAAUUGUUUCUAUUUUUAAAUCUUUAACAAGUGUCCUAAUUGUUAGCAAGACCAUCAAAAAAUUAUUGGAUAAAAAGUUAGAAAGAAACGCAUACAUUUUAAUAGAGAUAGGUAAUAGGAAUUUCCAGUUGUUAGAGAAGAGGGUAAGUGGUCAUGGUAGCCUUUUUUGUUUAAUUUUUUUCUUCUUAAAAUGCCACAUCAUUGUUUUUCAACCAAAAUGUAAACGAGAGAUUAUCAAAUACAAAAGGCGAUAAAUUUAAAAUUUAGCCAUUGAAGUUUGAGUGUUUAAAAUCAAACAAUUGUAAAAUCCAAGUAAAAAAAUUACCCAAAAUAACCCCCUCAAUGAAGAAAAUGAAAGAGAGAAUCUAGAAAGAGAAAACUAGGAUGGCUUGUUGGAGAGGGAAAGCCUAGAGAGAGGACCUUUGAUGUAUCAAUUCCGUCCUUCUAUUUUAAAAAGGGUUAAUUAAGUUUUUAGUCCCUAUAAAUAUCUGCAGUUUUGUUUUUAGUCCCUAUAAAAAUAAAUCAUACUUUUUAGACCCUACAAAAUUUUCUGUUAGUGUUUUUAGUCCCUGUUAAAUUAAAAUUUGUUUAAUUAUGCUUAAACUUCUAAAUUUUUUAAAGAUUGUUUACAUACAUGUUCAUAACAUCGUAAGACACUCUUUUAUAAAAAAAAAAAAAAUUAGUUUUUUAACAUGUAAUGAAUUAAAUAUGAAUUUUUCUAAAAGCCAAAAUUUUAAAAUUAUAUUAAUGAAAAUUUGGACCUAAUAAUAAAAUUUUAAGUUACUUUUUUGCGGAGGAACUUUGUAUAAUAUUCUAAGUAAGUAUGUGAAAAAUAUGUUACAAAUUUAAAAUUUUAAGCACAAUUAAGCAAAUUUUAAUUUUACAAGGACUAAAAGUAUGUGUUGGUCCCUAUUAAAUUGAAAUUUCUUUAAUUAUGCUUAAACUUUUAUAUUUUUAAAUGAUUUUUAACAGACAUGUUAAGAACAUUAUCAUAAUCUCUUUUAUAAAAAAAUUAGAAUUUUUUAACAUGUAAUGAAUUAAAUAUAAUUUUUUUAAAACGCCAAAAAUUCAAGAUAAAACUAACGAAAAUUUGGACCUAAAAAUAAAAUUUUGAGCUAAUUUAUUGUGGCGGAACCUUUUAUAAUGUUUUAAACAAGUAUGUAAAAAAUUUAAAAUUUUAAGCAUAAUUAAACAAAUUUUAAUUUAACAGGGACUAAAAACACUAUAGGAAAAAUUUUUAGGAACUAAAAAAUGUGAUUUAUUUUCAUUGGAACUAAAAACAAAACUGCAGAUAUUUAUAGGGACCAAAAACUUAAUUAACCCUUUUAAAAACCGUUUUUUGGAUCCUCCAUUUAUUUUAUUUUCUUCAUAAAUUUGGGUCUUUUUUGAUGAUGUGACAUUUUUUAAGAGGAAAUAAACGCUUAUAGCAUCUUAUUUUUUUAUGAUGUUAACUCGCUUAAAGUAGUCGGCAAUUUUUUCCGAGUUAAAAUAUAAUAAAUAUUGUUUUAAAAAAAAUUAAACUAACUCAUUCAAAUUAAUACUGGAAAAAAUCGAACCUCAUACUUUAAGAAGGGUCACGCUUUAAAGUUCACGACCAACUUAUUGUUAAGUUGGGACAAAAGAAUAUUAUACUUUUAAAAUGGAGACCGAAACUUUUUUUUUUUAAUAGAAAAGACACCGAAACUUGUUUUUAAUAGAAAAGACAAAAUGCAUUUAAUAUUAUUUUCAAAAUAUUAAAUCUUUCUUUUCUUUUUAUACAUUUGUUAACAAUUCACAUUGUCAAUGAAGUAUUAUCCAGAAAACCUUCAUUAUAAAUAUAAGAGUAAAUUACACCCUCUUCCCAUUAAAGAUAUUUGAAUUACAUUUCCCUCCCCUUUUAUAUUAAAAUAUACACUCCCCUCCCUUAAAAAGAAAAAUUUAUACUUGUGAAAUGGUUUAGUUAAUUUUGAUAUGGUUCGAUUCGGUUACUGGUUAAUUUUGCCCACCCCUACACUUGGGUUAAUUCAUGCUUGAUUUAAGUUACGUAGAGAUUAACACUAGAAUUAAAUCACGUUGCGUGAUUUAACACACCUAAAAUAUACACUAGUGUGAUUUAAAUCACAUAAGGACAUUUUAAAUAUUUACUUUGGCAAUGAGCAAAACUGUAAAGAGCAAAAUUCUACACUUAAAUCCCGAAUUGGGCCGAGUAACCAACCCAUUUUGCUAUAUAUAUAUAUAUAUAUAUAUAUAUAUAUAUAUAUAUAUAUAUAUAUAUAGACUUGUCUAUUUCGUUCAAUAGUUUGCCGAUAUCCACUCGCUGAUCGCGUUUGUUUUCAGAGUUCGUUCAUUCGUUUUCUACCUUCUUCAUUGGAUUUGUAUACCUCCCUCAUCUCCAUCAUGUUUGAGGUAUUUUCAUUCCUUUUCAAUUCUGUUUGAUUCGACUCUUCUCAAAUUUGUGAGAUUAGGGUUUGUAACUUUUGAAUUGAUUUUUUUUAUGUGAAAUAGAAUGUUUUGUGAUGGAAUUAAACCUUCCAUUACACUGAUUCUUUGCUCGUAUGUUUCUUUAUCAAUUCAAUCUGUUCUGUGUUGUGUUGUUUGGAGAUAUUCCAAUCUUAUCUUAUUUGCGGGAUUAGGGUUUCAAACCUUUGAAUUGGGGAUUUCAAUUUUGUGUGUGACAAUCUGAUUUUCUUUUUAUUUGCAAGGGUUUUUGUUGAUUGGCUAACAUCUAUGAAGCCCCGAUACCGAUACGAUACGGCCUCGAUAAAUUUAAAAUUAAUAGUAUAAGUGCACAAUGUAUAAACAUAACUAAAAAUGAUAAUAAACAAUGAAAAUGAUCAAAACAAGUGACAAUUACAUAUUUUUUCCGCACAAAUUAGAUAGAAUAUAGCUAAACAUCAUUAGUACCAUCCAAAGAGAACAACAUAAGUACUAUAAAAACAGCAGAAGAAACAUAACAUUAGAGAGAAGAGAAACAGAGUAGAAUUCAAUCAGUGAUAAUGGUUAGAAGAGAGAAUAGCUAUUGCUAUGUGGUGACGAGAAACCCUAUUUUUUUUUUUGUUAGAAGAGACAAUAUGAUUUUGGUAGCGCUUCCAGACUUGAUAGGUGUCCGAGUAUAAGUAAGCUGUGUCGGAGUACAAGUUAGUCGUAUCCGACACGUAUCGGACAUUUUUUUUCCUUCAAAAAAUAAAUAUUAACUGCCCGAUGCUUUUCUGAUACGCGUAUCGGGACGUAUUCGACACGUAUUGGUCAUUGUUUUUCAAAAAAAUAAAUAUUAAUUGUCCGAUACUUUUCCGAUACGCGUAUCGAGGCGUAUCGGUAUCAGAUACAUGUCGGAUACGAUACUUCACCAUUUUUGGAGUAUCGGGGCUUCAGAGGCUAACAUAAAUUAUUCUAUUUGUAACUUAUGGUUUCUUUUUAUUAUUUGUAAGAGAAACUUAUAUGCUACAUAUGUUCCUCAUUUUAUCGUUAUUAUUUUUAUAUUUGUGUUUGCCACUUUUAAUUAAUUAGUUGUUCUCUGUUGGAAUUUAUUCAAAGGAACAUUACCAGCACCCUAGACUCUCCCCAAUGGGCCCUUCACGAUUGCCGCUGCCACCGCAAAUGGGUAAUUCAACCUAAUCCUAUUUUCAUACAAGUAUUAUUUUGCUGUUUGAUUUGAUGAAUCUCAAAUAAUAACUUCACCCUUUGGAUUCUUAUUAUUUCAUCAAUACAAUAGAAAGAAAACUUCUUCAUGAGAAGAAGCGGAAGGAGCAAGAAGUAGAAAGCACAAAGGAGGAUCUUCUCCAUGGGAAGAAGCCAAAGGAGCAAAAAGUAGAAAGUACCGAGGGAGAUCUGCUUUAUGAUGGUGAGAAGCCAAAAGAAUUCGAAUGCCCGGUUUACGCAGAGACAUUGAAAGGUAACUCUCUCUCUCUCUCUGCUUGCAUUUGGUCAAAUAACCUCAGCUUAUGGUUGUUUAUUCUCUUGUUUCAUAUGGAAUAAUAAACAGUCUAUAACAAGCUGAAAGAUAUAGAUACAAUAGACCUCAAGUGGUGUCCAAUUAUACCCGAUAAGGCAAGUUUUUCUCUUAAACUUUCAUAAAUUUAGUUUCUAUGUGCAUAUUUUAAUUCUUUAGGAUUCUCUCUAACAGCAUGCAUACUUGAAGCAUGAGAAAAAGUUUGCUGAACUCUUCAAGAAGCAUGAAGAGAAAAAGAAGCGGUGGAUGCUGAUUGAAGAAGAAAAAGAGCGUCUUGGGAAAGGGAAAAGAGGAGCUGUUACUGAUAAGUUGAAACCAUGUUAUGCUAUGCUCUUGGCCUGAGAAUAGAGGAGCAGUUACUGAUAGGUUGAAACCAUGUUAUGCUAUGCUCUUGGCCUGAGAAUUGUGUCAGUCUUUUGUGCAAGAAUGUAGAAGAAUUAUUAUAAUUCUAAUUGUGUUAUGUUUCUUUGUUUUGUAUUCUGUGUUGGAUUUCAGUUCUGCUAAUCUUUGUGGCACGUACUGCUUCAUUGCCUGAUGUUGCAUAAUACAGAAUAGUGUUGGCAUGUUGAGAUGAUCAAAUUAAUAUUAACAAUAAAAGAAAAAUGACAAGACUGUUUAGUUGGAUUACAAUUGCACAAAACAUGACCUCGUCGCCUCAUUUUUUUUAUUUUUUUUUUGGCUAAGAAUGAAUUAAGCCAAAUUAUGAAAUUAAUAAAGAAAGAAGAGUUCUUUCUACAAACAAGUUUGUCAAUAGGUACAUUCCGUCCUCUGCAAAACCAUGCAAUUAUGCAGAUUCAUCUUUUUUUUACACAAGACAAGGAAAGAAAUUUCUGAACAAAAUAAAAUGAGAAAUUCAUAAAGCAAGGCCAUUUCUUCUGAACUUGAAAAGUUGAUCUAUUAUGAAGAUUGGGGAGAACACAAGAAACGAGACAAAUGUAAGAACCUGUUCAAUUCGGUAACACGGAGCAAGAUGGCUACAAAUAAUAUUUAGGAACUAAAAAAUGUGAUUUAUUUUCAUUGGAACUAAAAACAAAACUGCAGAUAUUUAUAGGGACCAAAAACUUAAUUAACCCUUUUAAAAACCGUUUUUUGGAUCCUCCAUUUAUUUUAUUUUCUUCAUAAAUUUGGGUCUUUUUUGAUGAUGUGACAUUUUUUAAGAGGAAAUAAACGCUUAUAGCAUCUUAUUUUUUUAUGAUGUUAACUCGCUUAAAGUAGUCGGCAAUUUUUUCCGAGUUAAAAUAUAAUAAAUAUUGUUUUAAAAAAAAUUAAACUAACUCAUUCAAAUUAAUACUGGAAAAAAUCGAACCUCAUACUUUAAGAAGGGUCACGCUUUAAAGUUCACGACCAACUUAUUGUUAAGUUGGGACAAAAGAAUAUUAUACUUUUAAAAUGGAGACCGAAACUUUUUUUUUUUAAUAGAAAAGACACCGAAACUUGUUUUUAAUAGAAAAGACAAAAUGCAUUUAAUAUUAUUUUCAAAAUAUUAAAUCUUUCUUUUCUUUUUAUACAUUUGUUAACAAUUCACAUUGUCAAUGAAGUAUUAUCCAGAAAACCUUCAUUAUAAAUAUAAGAGUAAAUUACACCCUCUUCCCAUUAAAGAUAUUUGAAUUACAUUUCCCUCCCCUUUUAUAUUAAAAUAUACACUCCCCUCCCUUAAAAAGAAAAAUUUAUACUUGUGAAAUGGUUUAGUUAAUUUUGAUAUGGUUCGAUUCGGUUACUGGUUAAUUUUGCCCACCCCUACACUUGGGUUAAUUCAUGCUUGAUUUAAGUUACGUAGAGAUUAACACUAGAAUUAAAUCACGUUGCGUGAUUUAACACACCUAAAAUAUACACUAGUGUGAUUUAAAUCACAUAAGGACAUUUUAAAUAUUUACUUUGGCAAUGAGCAAAACUGUAAAGAGCAAAAUUCUACACUUAAAUCCCGAAUUGGGCCGAGUAACCAACCCAUUUUGCUAUAUAUAUAUAUAUAUAUAUAUAUAUAUAUAUAUAUAUAUAUAUAUAUAUAUAUAUAGACUUGUCUAUUUCGUUCAAUAGUUUGCCGAUAUCCACUCGCUGAUCGCGUUUGUUUUCAGAGUUCGUUCAUUCGUUUUCUACCUUCUUCAUUGGAUUUGUAUACCUCCCUCAUCUCCAUCAUGUUUGAGGUAUUUUCAUUCCUUUUCAAUUCUGUUUGAUUCGACUCUUCUCAAAUUUGUGAGAUUAGGGUUUGUAACUUUUGAAUUGAUUUUUUUUAUGUGAAAUAGAAUGUUUUGUGAUGGAAUUAAACCUUCCAUUACACUGAUUCUUUGCUCGUAUGUUUCUUUAUCAAUUCAAUCUGUUCUGUGUUGUGUUGUUUGGAGAUAUUCCAAUCUUAUCUUAUUUGCGGGAUUAGGGUUUCAAACCUUUGAAUUGGGGAUUUCAAUUUUGUGUGUGACAAUCUGAUUUUCUUUUUAUUUGCAAGGGUUUUUGUUGAUUGGCUAACAUCUAUGAAGCCCCGAUACCGAUACGAUACGGCCUCGAUAAAUUUAAAAUUAAUAGUAUAAGUGCACAAUGUAUAAACAUAACUAAAAAUGAUAAUAAACAAUGAAAAUGAUCAAAACAAGUGACAAUUACAUAUUUUUUCCGCACAAAUUAGAUAGAAUAUAGCUAAACAUCAUUAGUACCAUCCAAAGAGAACAACAUAAGUACUAUAAAAACAGCAGAAGAAACAUAACAUUAGAGAGAAGAGAAACAGAGUAGAAUUCAAUCAGUGAUAAUGGUUAGAAGAGAGAAUAGCUAUUGCUAUGUGGUGACGAGAAACCCUAUUUUUUUUUUUGUUAGAAGAGACAAUAUGAUUUUGGUAGCGCUUCCAGACUUGAUAGGUGUCCGAGUAUAAGUAAGCUGUGUCGGAGUACAAGUUAGUCGUAUCCGACACGUAUCGGACAUUUUUUUUCCUUCAAAAAAUAAAUAUUAACUGCCCGAUGCUUUUCUGAUACGCGUAUCGGGACGUAUUCGACACGUAUUGGUCAUUGUUUUUCAAAAAAAUAAAUAUUAAUUGUCCGAUACUUUUCCGAUACGCGUAUCGAGGCGUAUCGGUAUCAGAUACAUGUCGGAUACGAUACUUCACCAUUUUUGGAGUAUCGGGGCUUCAGAGGCUAACAUAAAUUAUUCUAUUUGUAACUUAUGGUUUCUUUUUAUUAUUUGUAAGAGAAACUUAUAUGCUACAUAUGUUCCUCAUUUUAUCGUUAUUAUUUUUAUAUUUGUGUUUGCCACUUUUAAUUAAUUAGUUGUUCUCUGUUGGAAUUUAUUCAAAGGAACAUUACCAGCACCCUAGACUCUCCCCAAUGGGCCCUUCACGAUUGCCGCUGCCACCGCAAAUGGGUAAUUCAACCUAAUCCUAUUUUCAUACAAGUAUUAUUUUGCUGUUUGAUUUGAUGAAUCUCAAAUAAUAACUUCACCCUUUGGAUUCUUAUUAUUUCAUCAAUACAAUAGAAAGAAAACUUCUUCAUGAGAAGAAGCGGAAGGAGCAAGAAGUAGAAAGCACAAAGGAGGAUCUUCUCCAUGGGAAGAAGCCAAAGGAGCAAAAAGUAGAAAGUACCGAGGGAGAUCUGCUUUAUGAUGGUGAGAAGCCAAAAGAAUUCGAAUGCCCGGUUUACGCAGAGACAUUGAAAGGUAACUCUCUCUCUCUCUCUGCUUGCAUUUGGUCAAAUAACCUCAGCUUAUGGUUGUUUAUUCUCUUGUUUCAUAUGGAAUAAUAAACAGUCUAUAACAAGCUGAAAGAUAUAGAUACAAUAGACCUCAAGUGGUGUCCAAUUAUACCCGAUAAGGCAAGUUUUUCUCUUAAACUUUCAUAAAUUUAGUUUCUAUGUGCAUAUUUUAAUUCUUUAGGAUUCUCUCUAACAGCAUGCAUACUUGAAGCAUGAGAAAAAGUUUGCUGAACUCUUCAAGAAGCAUGAAGAGAAAAAGAAGCGGUGGAUGCUGAUUGAAGAAGAAAAAGAGCGUCUUGGGAAAGGGAAAAGAGGAGCUGUUACUGAUAAGUUGAAACCAUGUUAUGCUAUGCUCUUGGCCUGAGAAUAGAGGAGCAGUUACUGAUAGGUUGAAACCAUGUUAUGCUAUGCUCUUGGCCUGAGAAUUGUGUCAGUCUUUUGUGCAAGAAUGUAGAAGAAUUAUUAUAAUUCUAAUUGUGUUAUGUUUCUUUGUUUUGUAUUCUGUGUUGGAUUUCAGUUCUGCUAAUCUUUGUGGCACGUACUGCUUCAUUGCCUGAUGUUGCAUAAUACAGAAUAGUGUUGGCAUGUUGAGAUGAUCAAAUUAAUAUUAACAAUAAAAGAAAAAUGACAAGACUGUUUAGUUGGAUUACAAUUGCACAAAACAUGACCUCGUCGCCUCAUUUUUUUUAUUUUUUUUUUGGCUAAGAAUGAAUUAAGCCAAAUUAUGAAAUUAAUAAAGAAAGAAGAGUUCUUUCUACAAACAAGUUUGUCAAUAGGUACAUUCCGUCCUCUGCAAAACCAUGCAAUUAUGCAGAUUCAUCUUUUUUUUACACAAGACAAGGAAAGAAAUUUCUGAACAAAAUAAAAUGAGAAAUUCAUAAAGCAAGGCCAUUUCUUCUGAACUUGAAAAGUUGAUCUAUUAUGAAGAUUGGGGAGAACACAAGAAACGAGACAAAUGUAAGAACCUGUUCAAUUCGGUAACACGGAGCAAGAUGGCUACAAAUAAUAUUUAGGAACUAAAAAAUGUGAUUUAUUUUCAUUGGAACUAAAAACAAAACUGCAGAUAUUUAUAGGGACCAAAAACUUAAUUAACCCUUUUAAAAACCGUUUUUUGGAUCCUCCAUUUAUUUUAUUUUCUUCAUAAAUUUGGGUCUUUUUUGAUGAUGUGACAUUUUUUAAGAGGAAAUAAACGCUUAUAGCAUCUUAUUUUUUUAUGAUGUUAACUCGCUUAAAGUAGUCGGCAAUUUUUUCCGAGUUAAAAUAUAAUAAAUAUUGUUUUAAAAAAAAUUAAACUAACUCAUUCAAAUUAAUACUGGAAAAAAUCGAACCUCAUACUUUAAGAAGGGUCACGCUUUAAAGUUCACGACCAACUUAUUGUUAAGUUGGGACAAAAGAAUAUUAUACUUUUAAAAUGGAGACCGAAACUUUUUUUUUUUAAUAGAAAAGACACCGAAACUUGUUUUUAAUAGAAAAGACAAAAUGCAUUUAAUAUUAUUUUCAAAAUAUUAAAUCUUUCUUUUCUUUUUAUACAUUUGUUAACAAUUCACAUUGUCAAUGAAGUAUUAUCCAGAAAACCUUCAUUAUAAAUAUAAGAGUAAAUUACACCCUCUUCCCAUUAAAGAUAUUUGAAUUACAUUUCCCUCCCCUUUAUAUUAAAAUAUACACUCCCCUCCCUUAAAAAGAAAAAUUUAUACUUGUGAAAUGGUUUAGUUAAUUUUGAUAUGGUUCGAUUCGGUUACUGGUUAAUUUUGCCCACCCCUACACUUGGGUUAAUUCAUGCUUGAUUUAAGUUACGUAGAGAUUAACACUAGAAUUAAAUCACGUUGCGUGAUUUAACACACCUAAAAUAUACACUAGUGUGAUUUAAAUCACAUAAGGACAUUUUAAAUAUUUACUUUGGCAAUGAGCAAAACUGUAAAGAGCAAAAUUCUACACUUAAAUCCCGAAUUGGGCCGAGUAACCAACCCAUUUUGCUAUAUAUAUAUAUAUAUAUAUAUAUAUAUAUAUAUAUAUAUAUAUAUAUAUAGACUUGUCUAUUUCGUUCAAUAGUUUGCCGAUAUCCACUCGCUGAUCGCGUUUGUUUUCAGAGUUCGUUCAUUCGUUUUCUACCUUCUUCAUUGGAUUUGUAUACCUCCCUCAUCUCCAUCAUGUUUGAGGUAUUUUCAUUCCUUUUCAAUUCUGUUUGAUUCGACUCUUCUCAAAUUUGUGAGAUUAGGGUUUGUAACUUUUGAAUUGAUUUUUUUUAUGUGAAAUAGAAUGUUUUGUGAUGGAAUUAAACCUUCCAUUACACUGAUUCUUUGCUCGUAUGUUUCUUUAUCAAUUCAAUCUGUUCUGUGUUGUGUUGUUUGGAGAUAUUCCAAUCUUAUCUUAUUUGCGGGAUUAGGGUUUCAAACCUUUGAAUUGGGGAUUUCAAUUUUGUGUGUGACAAUCUGAUUUUCUUUUUAUUUGCAAGGGUUUUUGUUGAUUGGCUAACAUCUAUGAAGCCCCGAUACCGAUACGAUACGGCCUCGAUAAAUUUAAAAUUAAUAGUAUAAGUGCACAAUGUAUAAACAUAACUAAAAAUGAUAAUAAACAAUGAAAAUGAUCAAAACAAGUGACAAUUACAUAUUUUUUCCGCACAAAUUAGAUAGAAUAUAGCUAAACAUCAUUAGUACCAUCCAAAGAGAACAACAUAAGUACUAUAAAAACAGCAGAAGAAACAUAACAUUAGAGAGAAGAGAAACAGAGUAGAAUUCAAUCAGUGAUAAUGGUUAGAAGAGAGAAUAGCUAUUGCUAUGUGGUGACGAGAAACCCUAUUUUUUUUUUUGUUAGAAGAGACAAUAUGAUUUUGGUAGCGCUUCCAGACUUGAUAGGUGUCCGAGUAUAAGUAAGCUGUGUCGGAGUACAAGUUAGUCGUAUCCGACACGUAUCGGACAUUUUUUUUCCUUCAAAAAAUAAAUAUUAACUGCCCGAUGCUUUUCUGAUACGCGUAUCGGGACGUAUUCGACACGUAUUGGUCAUUGUUUUUCAAAAAAAUAAAUAUUAAUUGUCCGAUACUUUUCCGAUACGCGUAUCGAGGCGUAUCGGUAUCAGAUACAUGUCGGAUACGAUACUUCACCAUUUUUGGAGUAUCGGGGCUUCAGAGGCUAACAUAAAUUAUUCUAUUUGUAACUUAUGGUUUCUUUUUAUUAUUUGUAAGAGAAACUUAUAUGCUACAUAUGUUCCUCAUUUUAUCGUUAUUAUUUUUAUAUUUGUGUUUGCCACUUUUAAUUAAUUAGUUGUUCUCUGUUGGAAUUUAUUCAAAGGAACAUUACCAGCACCCUAGACUCUCCCCAAUGGGCCCUUCACGAUUGCCGCUGCCACCGCAAAUGGGUAAUUCAACCUAAUCCUAUUUUCAUACAAGUAUUAUUUUGCUGUUUGAUUUGAUGAAUCUCAAAUAAUAACUUCACCCUUUGGAUUCUUAUUAUUUCAUCAAUACAAUAGAAAGAAAACUUCUUCAUGAGAAGAAGCGGAAGGAGCAAGAAGUAGAAAGCACAAAGGAGGAUCUUCUCCAUGGGAAGAAGCCAAAGGAGCAAAAAGUAGAAAGUACCGAGGGAGAUCUGCUUUAUGAUGGUGAGAAGCCAAAAGAAUUCGAAUGCCCGGUUUACGCAGAGACAUUGAAAGGUAACUCUCUCUCUCUCUCUGCUUGCAUUUGGUCAAAUAACCUCAGCUUAUGGUUGUUUAUUCUCUUGUUUCAUAUGGAAUAAUAAACAGUCUAUAACAAGCUGAAAGAUAUAGAUACAAUAGACCUCAAGUGGUGUCCAAUUAUACCCGAUAAGGCAAGUUUUUCUCUUAAACUUUCAUAAAUUUAGUUUCUAUGUGCAUAUUUUAAUUCUUUAGGAUUCUCUCUAACAGCAUGCAUACUUGAAGCAUGAGAAAAAGUUUGCUGAACUCUUCAAGAAGCAUGAAGAGAAAAAGAAGCGGUGGAUGCUGAUUGAAGAAGAAAAAGAGCGUCUUGGGAAAGGGAAAAGAGGAGCUGUUACUGAUAAGUUGAAACCAUGUUAUGCUAUGCUCUUGGCCUGAGAAUAGAGGAGCAGUUACUGAUAGGUUGAAACCAUGUUAUGCUAUGCUCUUGGCCUGAGAAUUGUGUCAGUCUUUUGUGCAAGAAUGUAGAAGAAUUAUUAUAAUUCUAAUUGUGUUAUGUUUCUUUGUUUUGUAUUCUGUGUUGGAUUUCAGUUCUGCUAAUCUUUGUGGCACGUACUGCUUCAUUGCCUGAUGUUGCAUAAUACAGAAUAGUGUUGGCAUGUUGAGAUGAUCAAAUUAAUAUUAACAAUAAAAGAAAAAUGACAAGACUGUUUAGUUGGAUUACAAUUGCACAAAACAUGACCUCGUCGCCUCAUUUUUUUUAUUUUUUUUUUGGCUAAGAAUGAAUUAAGCCAAAUUAUGAAAUUAAUAAAGAAAGAAGAGUUCUUUCUACAAACAAGUUUGUCAAUAGGUACAUUCCGUCCUCUGCAAAACCAUGCAAUUAUGCAGAUUCAUCUUUUUUUUACACAAGACAAGGAAAGAAAUUUCUGAACAAAAUAAAAUGAGAAAUUCAUAAAGCAAGGCCAUUUCUUCUGAACUUGAAAAGUUGAUCUAUUAUGAAGAUUGGGGAGAACACAAGAAACGAGACAAAUGUAAGAACCUGUUCAAUUCGGUAACACGGAGCAAGAUGGCUACAAAUAAUUGCUUCUCUUCAGCUGCUUUACUCCCAAGUCCCGCCAUGCCACCACCCAGAGCUGACAUGUGUAGGUAGGUUUUUUCACAAACUCAAAUAGAGUAAAAUAUAGAACAAGGUAAAAGAGAAAUGUUCAGAAAUCGUGUAGCCAGAAGCAUAAUAAAUCACAAAAUAUCAAAGCUCCUUCCUUGUCCAUGAGAGUCAUACUCCGUCUUUGCUCUGUGAACCAUCCAGUCAAAACAAAGUCAGAAUUGUAAAAUCAAGAAUGCAUAAGGAAGGAAGGAAGCAAAACACUUUUAAGAAAAAGGAAAGAUAACUGUCAAAUGUGCAUUCACAAUGAAGAAAUUCAAUUCGCCUGAUGCAAUGGGAGGUUCUCGUCCAUUUCAUGAUUAUGAGAAUACAGCUCGCUACAACUAAUGACAUUAGACACUGAUUUUGUUCUAUACGUCCACUUUCUUUGACUUAUUCGAUAACACAAUCCCCUCCCAACCCAAGAAGUAUGAUGUAUAACACUACUAAUGUCAAGCCAACACACUUCAUACAUGAGUCAUCGUGUCAGUUGACGAAUACACAAUAGUCUUAAAUCAUAUCUUGAUCUUGUUCUUCAUGUAAAAAAAAAAGAUACAGCUGGAAAAUAUCAAAGUCACAUGAAAUGUUUCGUUACCAUUUAACUCCCAACUAGAAUAAGGCAGAGUUAUUGUCUUUCAAACACCAUCGGCUCACGCUAAAUCUAACAAAAAAAGCUAGACAUAUAUAAUUAUAUAGAUCCUAGCCUCCCCUCGUCAUUCAAAUAUAAGCUUACAUCCCCUUAGACACAAAGACAAUUUCUGUAACAUCUGGUACUUUGCAUUUAAAUAUGUGGAACAGGCACUGUGAAUUGUCAUGUUACUCAAUACAUUUGAACUGCGCAUAACAUAUUCUGCAAUAUGUUGGAAGCUAAUUUCAUGUCGAAAGUAUUAGGAGUUUUAAUUUAAGAACAGUAAACUUCCUACAAGUGAAUAUGUUGGAAGCUAAUUUCAUGUCGAAAGUAUGAAACAACAUGUUAAGUUCAAGGGUUUCAGUUCGUCUUUGUAUGGCUGCAAUAAUAAGUUGGGUGAAAUUGUUGGGUUCGUCCAAUCUAAAACAACAUUUGAGGCGGAAUGAUAGUAUUGGCAGUGUGUUGUCGCACGAUAGCAAGACUGAGUAAAUAUGACUGCAAAUAGUGGUUAUUUCCGUGAAGAUUGUGUGAUCGGUAAAAUCGAGAGUGAGGACUGAGAUACAUAAUGGUUUCCACCUCUUUGAGAGGAUGCUUGUGGCGACGGUGUCUUUGGUUGGGAGAAAGGAGAGAAUGUGACAGAUAAUUGAGUCUGGAAGGGAGCUAACCCUGUCGUACUCACACUCUUCUAUUGGUAUCGAUGAUCGCUGCUUCUUGGACUUUGACAUCGCAGUUGAUUGCAAAACCAGGAUGAUCAAAGCAAAGUGAAUUCUGAUAAUACCUAUAGCCUUUGAACUAAUAGGAUUCAAUAGCUGGCACUGUGGUUUUACAUGGAAGCUUACACUUCCCUUCCCUCCUUCGGUCUCUCUUCAUACGGCCUCUCCAACCUUGAAAAACUAUACGGUAAACCCAUUACACUUGCCGAUAGAGAAAUGGUUGAAGAAAAAGCGGAUGAUAUUCUCUCCCAAGCUCAACUUUCUCAUGCUGAUUUCCUUGUUGUUGGUGAUCCUUUUGAAAUGGCAGCUACUCUCAUAAGCAUAUCUAAUCUAUAUGAUAUGAUUAUGCCCUAACAAUUUUAUUGUUUUGCUUAAAUUAUUGAUUUUGGUGUUUUUCACAGGGGGCUACCACCACUCACACUGACCUUGUUGUUCGAGCUAAGAAGAUGGGAAUCGAAGUCAAAGUUGUGCACAAUGCAUCUGUCAUGAAUGCAAUUGGGAUUUGUAGCUAUAUCGUUAUGGUUUGCAGCUAUAUCGUUAUGGGGGAACUGUUUCAAUACCUUUCUUUACGGAGACGUGGAGACCUGAUAGCUUCUAUAUAUGAAAAGAUUCAACAAAGUCUAUAUUUGGGACUUCACACACUUUGCUUGUUAGAUUAGGUUACUCUCUGUUAUUUUUACUCUCAACUUGUGCUCAAUUGUUUGAAAUUUUUGUGCCUGUAUCAAUGUCGCUUUUAUCAAGAAAAUACAUUCAAUGUGGAAUAAUUAAGUGCUUGUUCCUGUUUGUAUCAGAUCACUUGCCUCAAGAAACCAUGUUGAUACUAGGAUGUAUAGCGAGAUCCUUUACAGUAGAAGCUAGGCAUAAGAUCGAUCACAGUGUUCAAAUUUAUAUUGCUGUUGGACAACUAUGUGAUUGAAAAUGUUUCCCAAUCUAGUAAUUAGAAUGAAGCAAAAUCACAGGUACUGUUUUCUAUGCAACUUCAUUAGGUGUCAUUUACUUUCUUUAAGGGAAGGAAACUCUGCUAGAACCUUCAGGUUUGAUUUAUUUAUAGCGUGUAAUGGAAACAUGGCUACAAUGGUUUUAUUUUGCUCUAUGGCUUCUUCCUUCAAUUUCCAUGUGGCUGUGAUAGGUUCCUAUUUCUAAUUGAAAUCCUGAGAAAUGAACAAGACUUCUUCAUUGUUUUCUAAGAAAAUCCUGAGAAAUUAACGUCUUCCAUUCAAAAAAUUUGUGCCUUUAUAUUAUAUAUAUAUAUAUAUUUCAAAACUAUAAUAAUGGACAUUUGUUUCUUCAAAAAAAUAAUGGACAUUUUUAUUUAUUUUAGAAAAUGAAAAGAAUCUCAACCUAAUAUUUAUAUUGUUGUGCCCAACCAAGCCUAGCUCGUGAGCGAGUGUUUGUUAGUGUGUGUCAAAAUGUUUGACGUCAGUCAUUUUAUGUUAAAUGAAGAUCCAAUUUGAUAUUAGUUAUUUUCUUUCUAUUUGAUUUAGUUUUAUACAAAAUGUAACGCCCAAUUUAUCCUAAUUUUUUUAAAGGCUUAAUACAUGCUUUGGUUCCUUAACUUAUUUUCGGAUUUCAUUUUGGUCCCCUAACUAUAAAGUGUCUCAAUUUGGUCCAUUAUGUCUUUUGUCGUUACCUCUUUUGGUACUAUCCGUUACAUUUUAACUAUUUGAUCUAUAUUUCAAAUAGAAACCGUUGGAUCAUGUAGGUUUAUUGUAGCCUACGGUAAAUGAUUAACACUUGAUUUUUUUAAGCCAAAAUUAUAUAAAAAAAUUCAUAUUUUUUAUAAAAUCAUUUUCAAAAUUAAAAAAAAAUAUUUUUUUACGAAAUUUUUAAAAAAGGUUAGUUUUUUUUUCGAAAAAAGGUUUUUUUAAUUUUUUCCUACAAAAUUCUGGAAAUUUUUUUUUUGAAAAAAAUAUAAAAAAUUGGGUGGAUUCUAGGAUGAACCAUCAAAUAAGUGGUUCAUCGGUGGACCACCUUUAUACACCAUCAGAUUUAAAUUAAAGGUUUAAAUGUGUUAGAGACAAAAGUGAGAACACAAGUAUAUUUUUGCACACUAUCCUUGUUACGUUUGAUUCCGAUGAGUUUUACAACAAUGUUACAACCACAAAAUAUAUUGCCCCUCCACCAUCACCACAACCUCCAUCUUUUCAAAGGAUUUAUUCAAAAUAUAUAAUAAAAAAAUUGCUUCCUUUCCUUUAAAAGAAAGAAACAAAAACUCAUUUUACUUCACCACUCCAAUUCAAAAUUUAUGAAUACGCUUUCUCGGAUUUGGUUUUGAUUCAAAGAGAAAACGUAAUCCAUGGUUUGCAACGGCAGUAAAAGAAAUUGAGUUGAUUCCAUAACUCAGUAACCCUUAUGCAUACAAUAUAUUAAGGAUACAAAAAUUGUUGGAAGGGUGAGUAUGAAUCAAAUUAAUUUGAUAAAUGUGAAAUUAAUUGAAAAAGAAUGAACAGUUUUUUAUUCUUGGGGUCAAAGAAGGAGUUUUUUUUAUCUCUUUACACCGUCAGUUUUUUAUUCUUGGGGGUACCAUUAAUGGAAAAGAGGAAGGAAAAGGAGAGGAAGAAGCAAGAGCGAGAGGGAGGAAGAGAAAGGAAAAUAAAAAGUGAUGUAGUGCAGACAGUGUAUAAUAGGAUCUAUGAGAUUGAUGAAUCUAAUGGCUCUCAACUAUUAUUCAAGAUGGAUCACCGGUGAGGGACUUGUUUGAACCCUCACCCUAGAAUCCACCAAAAAAUUGAGAUUUUAAAAUUAGAAAAAAAAAAAAAAUAUAUUCCAGAAUUUUUAUAAAAUCUUUUCCAAGAUUUAAAAAUUUGAUUUUUUUUCACGAAAUUUCAAAAACAGGUGGAUUCUAGGAUGAGGGAUCAAUCAAGUCCCUCACCGGUGGAGAACGUAAAAAGCGCCGUUAGAUUUAAUGAGCGGAUUAGAUUUGUUGAUAUUAAAAAUGAGAACAUUAACAAAUUUCCACACACAAUUCUGCAUUAUAUCUUCCCUGUCCUCUCCAACCCACCAAAUUUCGUGGAAGAUUCUUGCUGCAAAUCAAAACUUUUCUAACAAAAUAAUCUAUCUUUUAUGUGGGUCGUCUGAUCCUCUCUCAAGUUUAGUGUUUAGAUGAAGGAAACAGAACCAUGGAUGAUGUAAUUUAAUUAUGAAUAUGGCUGCGUUUUACUUAAUUAAGCAUUGGUUGCUUCUUUGUUUUGUUUUUCAUGGUUUUAGUAGAACAGAUCGAUUAGAGGUUAAAAUUGAAUAGAUUUCCUAAACCAUAUUUUCAUCAUCACCACAACCAGAGAAGUAUAUAUAUAUAAAAGCCAAAAGGGCAGAAGAACCAUAUAUGGUCCCAACCAAUAUACAACUUUUGUUCUUCUAAAGUUAAUUGGUUGCAAAAUUAAUUUUUUUUUCUUCAUAUAAUUUAGAUUUUCCUCGAGCAGUUUUGCAAAUUUUAGCAAGUUAGAAAAUAAUCAAAUGAAGAAGACAGAGAGCCAGAAUUGUGUGUGGAGAUGUAUUGUUGUUCUCAUUUAUAAUAUCAACAAAUCUGAACCUCUGAUUUAAUCUGAUGGUAAUUUUUAUGUGCUUCACCGGUGAGGGACUUGAUUGAUCCCUCACCCUAGAAUCCACCUCAAAAACAGGUCAGAUUUUUUUUCCCAAAAAAAAAUGUUUUUUUAAUUUUUUCUACAAAAUUCUGAAAAAUAUUUUAAUUUAAAAAUCAAGAAUUCUGAAUUUAAAAAAGUUAUAAAAAGGUGGAUUCUAAGAUGAGGGUUCAACUAGAUCCCUCACCAGUGGAACAUGAACAUAAUGCCCUUAGAUAUAAUUAACGGUUGAUCUUGAUUGAAAAUAAUAAUGUAAACAUGUAUACAUUGAAGUAACCACACUGUAUCUGUAACUUCUCCAUCGACGACAAACUCAUCGGAAUUGGUAAUUGGAUUAUCAGAGAUUGAUGAAUGAAUUUUUCGGAGAACUAUUCUAUUUUGUUAUUGUUCAGCAGUUAAGUUGCUUUUUGAUUUUGGGAAAUGCUUUUUUUUUUUUUUUUUUUUUUUUUGAAUGAGGGAAAUGCCUUUGUUAUCUUCUCCAUGGUAGUAACUGUCACCUCAUGUCCCAAUCAAAGAGAGAUGUAACAAAAUAGUGGUAUAACAAAGAAGAUAUGUAAUUCCAUAUUUUAGUUGUGCCUUUAAUUAAAUCUUGAAGCCUAUGUUGGGCGUUGGAGUGUGUCUUUGGUUAAAAUAAUCUACCAUGGCUUGUAGUUUGAUGCAUCAAACGAAUUUUUUUUUUUUUUUUUUUGCCCUUAUUUAAUUCCAAAAAUACAAAAAUGCCCUAGUUUUGAAAAAAAUUGCAUAAAUGCCCUACUUUUCAGAAAUUUCUGGUACCUUGCAACCCCCACUUGCGGGGUACCUUAAAAAAAUUUAAAAAAUUAACUACCCCGCAAGUGGGACUUGCGGCCUACAUUUUUUUUUUUUUUUUUAAAUUAAAUAACUACCACUUGCGGCCUAUAUGUUUUUUGUUUUUUUUAAAAAAAAUUAAAUAACUUGCUACCCCAACUUGCGGGGUAUUUAAUUUUUUUAAAAUUUUUUUUAAUACCCCGCAAGCCCCACUUGCGGGUUUGUUUUUUGUUUUUUGUUUUUUAAAUUUUUAAAAUAAAAAAUAAUAAUAAAAAAAAAAGAAGGAAAAAAAAUAAUAAACAUAUUAAAUAUCAUGAUAUCUACAAUUAUUAUAAAUGCCCGGCUGUCCCACACCCUCGUCUUCGACGAUUUCUUCCGCGAUUUACUUGAGGGUCAUGUUGGUCUUCGUCGUUGUUAUCUGCAGCUGAUUGUAUUUGACUACCAUAACCCAAUGACAAUGACACAUCGUGUUCCCUUGUUGGCCAUCCCAUAUCCAGAAAUGAGGUGAUUAAAUUCAACAGUCAUCAUGUCACUCAGUUUGACCGGGAUCGAUAUACCUUUUCCGUCCGUGAAACCAUCGAUCAUAAAGAAGGAUUGCCAAAGGGAGAAUACAAAGUGGACCUGCAAAAUAAAUGGUGUGACUGUGGACGGUUUAGAGCGUUACACCUACCAUGCUCACAUGUCAUUGCCGCAUGUUCUAGCUUUUGUCACGACUACAAGACUUUUCAAAAGUGGGGCAUUUUUGUAUUUUUGGAAUUAAAUAAGGGCAGAAAAAAAAAAUUCGCAUCAAACAUUAUUUUGUACAGGCAACCAUCUUGUUUUGAUUUUUGUUGGAGAAAAAACCAGACAAAGAAGAUGAUAAGAGGAUUGUGUAUGGAAAUGAACACAUAUUCUUAAUUUUAUUUUCAACUAAUCUAAACCUUUGAUUAAAUCCAACAUUAUUUUUCUAAUGGACCACCGGUGAGGGACUUAAUUGAACCCUCACUGUAGAAUUCACCUUAUAAAAAAGGUCAUAUUUUGUUUUUAAUUUUUUCUACAAAACUUUGGAAAAUAUUUUCAUUUUGAAAAAUAUAUAAAAAAAUUCAGAUUUUUAUGAAAUAUGAAAAAAAAAAUUAUUCCUGAAUUUUAUAAAAUCUUUUUCAAAAUUUGGAAAAAAAUAUUUUUUUUGCGAAAUUAAAAAAAAGGGCAAUUUUUUUUUCUUUCUUAUUUUAAAAUCUGAUUUUUUUAUAUAUUUUUCCAAAAAUUUGUAGGAAAAAAUAAAAAAAAACAAUCUGACUUUUUUUAAAAAUUUCGUAAAAAAAUAUUUUUUUUUUUAUUUUGAAAAUGAUUUUAUAAAAAAUCUGGAAUAUUUUUUUUAUAUAUUUUUGGCUUCAAAAAAAUCAGGUGUUAAUCAUUCACCGUAGGCUACAAUAAACCUACAUGAUCCAACAGUUUCUAUUUGAAAAAUAGAUCAAACAGUUAAAAUGUAACAGAUAUGACCAAAAGAAAUAAGAGACCAAAUUGAGACACUUUAUAUUUAGGGACCAAAAUGAAAUCCGAAAAUAAGUUAAGGGACCAAAGCAUGUAUUAAGCUAAUUUGAUAUUAGUUAUUUUCUUUCUAUUUGAUUUAGUCUUAUACAAAAUGUAACGCCCAAAUUAUCCUAAUUUUUUUAAAUUAGGGACAAAUUAUUAAUUCCCUUUUUUUUUUUUGGUCAAGUAGCUUAGUGGCCAGAGCUCACACAAUUAAAUUGUGGAGAAGUGGAGUGUCUGGGGUUCGAACCCCAGUCCCUGCAUAUAAUAUGCAAUAUCCCUACCAACUGAGCUAAGCUCACGGGGAUAAUUAUUAAUCCCUUUAUUAUAACGUGUUUGAAACUAAUUUGUUUACAUUUAAAAAUGUAAAAUUGCGAGAAUAAUAUUCAAAACAAUUUUUUUUUCUCUUUUUUUAUUUUUUAUUUCUCCACUCUCCAAAAUCCCUUUCAAAUUUCAAUCAUACCUACUUCUCUCAUUCACCGAAAAAUAAAAUCCUAAAUUAUUAUUUCCUCCUCUCCUCAAGACUCUGAGACAUAUUCCUCCGAGACAUAUCUGCACAACAUUUCAAAAAGCAAAAAAUCAAUUAGACAUUUUCAUAUGAACAUUGUGUAAUUUCUAACAAUUCAACAACAACACUUAUAUUUCGGCAAUGUCAUUUCAAUCCGUAAAAUACCACAUUACAGUCAAACUAACUAUAAUCGACAUUAACAAACAUAUUUCUAACUAACUAUUGUAUACCCGUGUACCACACGAGAAAAUUUCCUUGAACAAAAUAAAAAAUAAAAUAUUUGAGUACCAACAAUUAUUUUGUUGCAAUUUCAUUAUCAAAAGAUAAAUAGUUUUUUCAAAUUCAUUUUUCAAAGAAAGUUAAACUUCUAAAAAUGAUUAUUACUUUUUGAAUAAAGUGAUUUUGUUAUUUUUUCCGAAAAUAUGUUCAACUAAUACACUCUAAAUUAUAUAGUAUAAUAAUCAUUUUUUAUUUUCAACUAAUUAGAAUUUGGUGAAGUUAGAUGUGUUUGGUGAUCAUGGGUGGUUGGAUGCGGUGAUAUCACGCAAGGUGGGAAAUAUGAUGAAUACAAGUUUUUGGAAUGUUAAGUGGCGGGGGAAGAGGUGUUUUAGGCUUAAAUAUCCAAGACUUUAUUCGAUCUCAAAUCAAAGAGAGGCGAGGGUUGGGGAGGUGGGUGUGGUGUCGGAGGUGGGGAGGGUGUGGUUGUUUAGUUGGAGGAGACAUCUUUUUGUUUGGGAGGAGGAGUUGCUUGUUAGUCUCAUGGAGGAUUUGGAAGGGAUGAGGUGGUAUAAUCGAGAGGAUGAGUGGAGGUGGAAUUUAGAAGAGUUGGGAGUUUUCUCAAUAAAAUUGGCUUAUGGCUAUUUGAUGGGGUUGGUGGAGCCGGAGGACUCGUGGAAUAUCGAAGAGGAACGGAUGUUCGUUAGGUUGUGGAAGAGUCCGGCACCGUCAAAAGUUGUGGCAUUUGCUUGGAAAGUGUUGCUCAAUUGUGUUCCAACAAAAGCUAAUCUUGCAUUGAGAAAUGUUCUUACCCCGGGAACUACUUCCUUAUGUGUUUUAUGUAAUGGUAGUGGGGAAACAACAAAUCAUCUUUUUCUUCAUUGUCAUAUGGUGAGUAUGGUUUGGUCUCGAUUGAUGAUUUGGUUGGAUUGGUAUUUUUUGACUCCUCCAAACCUAUUUGUCCAUUGGGAGUGUUGGAGUAGAAGGGGUGGUGACAAAAAUAGGUUGACGGGCUUGUGGUUGAUAUGGCAAGCUACAAUAUGGGUUGUGUGGAAAGCUAGGAAUUAUAAGAUAUUCAAGGGGAGUAAUUAUGAGAUUGGGGAAAUUGUGGAGGAUAUUAAGGUGUUAUCUUGACGUUGGGUGUUGGAGAGAAUGAAGAUUCCGGUGUGUCUUUAUUAUGAGUGGUGUUGGAAUCCUAUCUUUUGUCUCGACAGGGUCCCGGUGCGUGUGUAGUUGCUGCGCGGGGUGGGUGAUUGGUGUCUCUGUUCAUUUAGGCUGGCAGUUUUUUUGUUCUAGCAGUAGGGGAGGUGUGCCUUGGCUUGAUUCUGGUGCUGUUUUUUCGGUUUUGGCUUAAGUCUUUUGUGGGUUUUGCUGUGCAGUAUCCUUUUCUCCUGGCGGCUUCCUUGUUUCCCUUUUGUGCUGCUACUGAUUGGUGUUUGUUUCUGGUGCUGAGCAGAAUUCUGUCUUCAGUUGUAGCUGAGCAGUUAGGCUGGGGUAGGAGGUGUGUUGGCAGCUCUUUUAGCAGGUUGGCGGUCUUAGGUGUUGAUGCAGGGGUAUGCGUUUGGUGCGUCAAAUGUAUAUGUCAGCUUCUUAGCUCUUUUGAUUGUUUUUUUUUGUUUUGGGGUGGUUUUUAAGGGGUUUUUGUUUGAGCCGGUGUUUGUGCGGCAACCGAUUUUCCCUUGUAUGUUUAAUUUUCCCACCCAAGUUUAUUAGUGCUUCUUGCAUGAGCUUGUUGGUUAAUAAUUUUUGUCAUUUCAAAAAAAAGAAUUUGCUAAUAGAUUGUUGCAUAUUACACGAAGAACUACUUAAUAAGUGUUAGGAUUUGAAAGAAAGCAAAUGGAAACCAAAUGUUAUGAAUCUAUAGAACAGGAAGCAUAGUUUACUGAUAAAAAGAAAAUAACAUCAUUAUAAGAUUAACUUAUGAAGAAAAUGAAAGUACAACCACAUGAAUUAUUCCUUUUCAAAUUGAGAAAAUUUUAUACAUUGCUCAAAAAUGCAAAUUAAAGUGGAAGUUUGCGACCAAAGAUACAAAGGCAUCAGUCAUAUGCAAAAUGUCUAACUUGCUAGUUCAAUACUAUUAGUUAAAGCGAAUUUCACUCUAAAGAAUCAUCCCAACCCUGCAUUCCACCCAUCCUCUUGUUAUUGAAUUCCACUUUCCACCCAUGCAUUCUCGUUAGAGAGAGAGAGAGAGAGUCUUCGUUAUGCAGUCAAGUCUCAAAUAAAAAGCAACAUAGAAUAAAUGUGAAAGAAGAUUGAAAGAUUAAAAUGCAUUGUUACAACAUCACAAGAAGAUAAUAACACAAUAUGAACAUGUGCAACAAUAAGGAGAUUUGAAUUUCUUCUUUGAGUUUUAAAUGUCACCAGAAUUAAGAAUCAAAAGAAAUUGAAGAGGCAUGCUCAACAAUAAGAACACAAACUUAAGAAAUCCAACUAUUCUAUAAUAGCUUGUUUUCAUUAAUACAUAAACUCUAAGCAUAAUCUCAGGCUACUUACAUUGAAAUUUAGAAUACAACUACACUUUUACUCAUAAUCAAACACUAAUGUUCAAUUUACUUCAUGUGUCCACUGAUAGAUAGCACUAAAUUAAACAUAGCACUGCAAUCAUAGUUUGAUGCAGGUUUUGGAGUGCAUCCCCUCCCCACCGAGUAAUUAUAUAGCAUGUACAUACUCUCACAGCCUCUUCUCUCGUGUACAAAAGACAAUUGGCAUCAUCCAUUCUUCCUGCAAUGAAAUUAUAAUUAGAAAAAGAAGAAGAAAAACAUUAACCCGAAUAGCCAUUCAUUGAGGCGGUAAAAAUUCUAGCAAAAAAAGGGCAUGGUCCAGCUAGGCCCACAUAUAGAGAAAAGGGCUCUGGAAUCCGGUACUCCAGUACUGGCUGCUGCUUAGGUAGCUCACAAAUUUAUCACAGCCCCACUGUGACCGAAAUUUAUUUUGCUGCAUCGUAUAAUACAUCUCAUGAUCAAGGACUUGUAAUAUUGAACACGAUAUAGAUUUCAGAAACGUAUGCAUUCAGAAUUGUACCACACCUAUCAUCAUAUAACUGAGGAAAUAAAAAUUAAGUGUGGAUUAUUUAUUUUGCAUCACGUUCUUAAUUGUUUUGAUCAUAUACUACUCAUGAGAGCGAUGGAAGAAAUUUUUAUGCAAGAAAAAGAACCGUGUGAGAGAUAGAGAUUGAUGGAGAAGUGGUAGUAGUAGAAUUAUGAGCUUGGGUUGUAAUCAUUUUUCUUCUGAAGUAGUAGAUGCAUAGGAAAUACAACAUCAAUUAAUAUCAUAGAAGCUUGGGAAACAAUAACAACAUUUAAUGUACUCAUGAACAUUGGAAAGCCAUAACCAAGAGCAUCAACGUAUCAGGUAUGGGGAAAUGAAACUUUGAAGUCACAUUAGAUCAAAGCAUAGUUUUAAAACUCGGCUCGGUCAUCGACUCGGCAGGGGUACUGGGUCAUUAGGUUAAUGGUUGAACCACUGAGUCGUUGGUUGAACCGCAUGACUGAACCGGAUUAAACCGGAUAACUCGGCUUAAGAUUUUUUUUUAGGUAUUUAGCUAGAUUAAAUCGGAUUGAAUCGAUGACUCGACCACCUUAAAAAAAAAAAGCUAUAUUUUGUGGACAAGAAAUAUAUUUUUUUUUUAGAAAACAAAAAAUAUAUUUUGAUUUGCAUAUCUAUUAAUAUUAAUAUAAUACAUAGAUUUUCUAAAAAAAAAAUAUAAUAUGUAUAUUUUUUUUUUUUUAAGGAGAGAUGAUAUGUAUAGAAUUUUUUAGAAGAUAUUUAUUAUUAUUAUUAUUUUGAAAGAAGAUAUUUAAUUAUGAUGUGUUGUGUUUGAACAAAGAAAAAUGAUAUGAUUUUUUCCUUAACAAAUGAAGAUAUAAUAUACUUAUAUUUAUACACUACAAAUUAUGUCACAAGCAUGUGGUUGUUGUAGUGGUAAAAUAUAUUUUGAUUCAGUUAUGUGAGUGCUGUUCGCAUUUAAUUAGCUUUAAUCAGUGUUAAUUGUGCAUAAUGAUUUAAUUAAUGACUAAUUAUGGCUGUAAAUAUAAAAAAAAAUCAUGGAACCGGAUUGACCCAAAAACCGGCCGAGUUACCGGUUUUUCACGAGUCUCCCCGGUUUAUACCGGUUUAAUUGCAUGGCCGAUCUAACAUUUGGCUCGAACCGGCCUACCCACCGGUUCCAGGUCGGACAUGAGAUCCAACGGACCACCUUGAUUGGCGCCUAAACUAUCUAGGUUUAGGGUAUAAAAAAUAAAAUAAAUAAACAAAAAAAGUAUUUACAGGAUACAAAUUUUGGAUCACAUAUUUUCAAAUAUCUCCUUAUAAACUACAUUUGAAGUGGUGUUAAUACAAUCUCCAUUUCAUCCGUUAAAAAGGUGAAACAUGGUGUUAAAAAGAGAAUAAUGUAAAUUUGUUGAGUCUCAAAUGCAUAUAAAAAUAAUUACUCACGUUAAUAAAAUUAAGCUCGACUUUGUAAGUUCUAUACUUGAUACGAAGAUCGUUGACAAUCCUUUCCAAUUCAGAGUUGGGAUUAGGGUUCAAAGAUGCUGGUAAAAAACAACAAAAAACAAUCAUCUUUAAUUUGUACAAAACUGAAAAUCACAACAAAAACGAUGGAAGAUUCAUACCAAUUAAAGCAUGGUUGGAAAGCAACGUCUAGUUGCCAGUGUUUGCCAUUGGAUUCGAUUGAAUUUGAAAAAGAAUAAGAUAUGAGUGAUGUGAUUCCAUAAUAUAUAUACACGUUAAGAUUCAUUCAUCAUGUAUCAUGGAUAUCAUACCUAUACAUUGGAAUAACACAAAAGCAUUGGAAAUACUAACAACAUUAAAUGCAAUCAUGGAAUGGGGGAAGCCACAAACAAAAACGUGAGAAGGAGGAUUUGGGGAAACAAUAACAACAUUUAAUGUACUCAUGAAAGGUGGAAAGCCAUAACUAAGAGCAUUUAAUGUAUCAGGCAUGAGGAAAUAAAAGUUUGAAGUCAAAUUAAAUCAAAGGAUGAGAUGCACACUGAGCCAAAUGAUGAGAUCCAACGGUCAGCAUCGUUUUGGAGCCAAAACCGUUUAGGUUUAGAGUUUGCAAAGUCAUUAGCAAUGUUAAGAAGGAUUAGAUAUAAGUAUGAUAUGAUUAGAACAGAGAAAAGAUAAUGAUUUUGAGGAAUGUAAAUUGUAUAUUGAAUCUUAUGAAAUUUGUAUAAAGAAUGGGUUUAUAUACAAACUAGUGUUAUAAUGUUACUUGAAGCACAAGUAAGUAACAACUAUAACCCUUAUUGCUUAAAACUUGUAACAAACUUUAAAUUAAACUAAAACAAAAUGUAAUCAAUCAUCUAAUCAUGAUUAACACUAAUCUAACUUGAAUUACCAACUAAACUAGCAUCCUCUCUUAAUUUAAGUUUCCACUUCCUUCAUGCCAAUCAAGCUUCUGAGCUUGAUAUGAUGAACCUGUCAACCUUCAAUGCUUUUGUGAAUAUGUCUGCAAGCUGCAGCUCAGUGGAGCAAUGGACAAUCUGCAAUGCACCUUUGUUCACUUGCUCCCUUAGAAAAUGGAAUUUAGCCUUUAUAUGCUUGCUUCUCCCAUGCAGAACUGGAUUUAUUGCUAAGCUUAUAGCAUAUUUGUUGUCGAUGAACAAUGCUAUAGGUCUGCUAACCUCUAUCUCCAUUUCCUUAAGUAUAUUUUCAAGUCAUACUGCCUGACAUGCUGUCAUACAUCCUGCAAUAUACUCAGAUUCACAGGUUGACAAUGCUACAACUGGUUGUUUCUUAGCACACCAUGAAAUUGGAGCAUUUAAGAACUUAAAUAGGUACCCUGAAGUGCUCUUUCUAUCCUGCUUGUCUCCACACCAAUCAGCAUCAGAAUAUGCCAUCAGUUCCAUAGAACUAUCAUUCAAACAUUUAGGAAAUAGAAUACCAUACUGUAGUGUUCCUUUGAUGUAUCUCAUCACCCUUUUGGCUGCUAGCAGGUGAGAUACUCUUGGUUCACUCAUGAAUCUACUGAUUAUACCAACUGCAUAUGCAAUAUCAAGCCUACUAUUGCAUAGAUACCUCAGUGAACCUACAAUUUGCUUGAACAAUGUAGGAUCCACUGAUUCUUCAUCUUCAUUUAACACCAGUUUCAUAUUUGUUUCAGCAGGUGAUGAAUAUGAAUUGCAAUUCAUCAUAUUGAACCUCUUCAAUAUGUCAAUGCAUACUUCUUUUGAUGUAUCACCAAUCCCUUUGCAACUUCAGUAAAUUCCAUUCCUAGAAAAUAUGUCAAUUUUCCUAAAUCUGACAUUUCAAAUUCAUUCAUCAUCUGAGUUUUGAAUGCUUCUAUUUCUUUCACAUUGAUGAGAUAAAACCGCAAGUGCACGGUUCUAUCGAAGUAGUAAAAUAAGAGUAUCGUUCCGACAGGGAGUUAUGAAUUCAAUAACUUUUAAUGAUGAUUAGACGAAAGAGUUUUAGAUAAAAGUUUGGAUUUUUAAUUACAAGAAAAUUAAUAAGAUAAAAGCCUUGGAAUCAUUGGUUCAUCCUAAUGACAAGUCCUUCACAAACCAAACUAUUAAACUUAUAACCUUAUGUUAGACCUAAUUUCUCAAGACAAUUUCUCUUUUGUUCCUCUAGCAACCAAGCAUAUUUCGCUGACUUGGUUACUAUUAGAUUUUGGUUCCUCUAACAACCAAGCCUAUUUCGCUGACUUGAUCAUUAUUAGUUCCCUUGAAGAUCGAAACUAUAUGUCUCAAAGAUUGUAAAGACUAUUUCGCUGCCUUUGCAAUCCUUGUCUAAAUUCACUUGUUCGAAUAUCAAAGCUCCACUUUCGUCUAAUGAAUUGAUAUUUGAGAUGAUGGAUAAACAAUUAUCAAACCCUCCACUUUCGUUUCCACAGUUUGAUAAUGGUUGAUCCAUGUUAAAGCGGUGAUUUUAGAUAAGAAAUUAGGGUUACAUAAGAUUAAGGUUUAAAGCUUGGUUUGAUUAGGAUUAUGUCAUUAGACUUAUCCAACAAUCCCAAGACAAGAGAAGUCUACUCACUAACGUUCAUUGUAGACAUGGAGAAGAAGAGAGAAAGCAUAAAAGUAAAUAACAAGAAAGUAAAAGAACUUUUAUUAGAAAGAUAAUUGUCACAUAUUGCAUUCCAAGAAAGGAUGAAUAUUUGUGAUGGCUAGCUACUCUAUUCAUAGUUUACAUUCGACUUAAAAUCUAAGCAAUCACUAGAAUGUUCCACAAGUAAACUAAAAUAGAGUAGCUUAAAAUCUAAGCAAAAGCAGCAAAAGUUGUUCUGGGAGGUGGCACGGCCGUGCCAACCUUAGCACGGGCCGUGCCAAGCUUCUGACUUUAGGGAGAUAUAUUUUUGUCUCCGAAUCUUCAUAUUUUCGUACUGAAUCAGCUCCAAAACCCCUUUCUUUUGCUCCAAAACUCAAUCCAUCAAAUAUUCGUUUCUGAAAUAUAACAAUAUGCAAUUGUAGUAAAAUAGCUCGAAAAGGAAAUAAUACUAAUAUAAAAUAAACUUAAAUCUAAUUAAAACUAAACUAAAUAACAUAUAAAAAUAUAUAAUAAAUGACUCAUCACACAUCACGACCAGUUACUAUCAAAUCAUCAACAUAUAGACAGAUGAGUAGUUGAUUACCUUCAAUUCCUUUCUUCACAUAUACACCAUAUUCAGACUUGCAUUUGACAAAUUCUUGCUGCAUAAGAAAACUGUCAAUUCUCUUGUUCCAAGCUCUUGGUGCCUGUUUCAAUCCAUAGAGUGCUUUGUGUAAUCUAUACACCAUAUUCUCCUUCCCUUUGAUUUUGAAACCUGGUCGAUGUGUCACAUACACUUCUUCAUCUAAAGGACCAUUUAGAAAAAAAGAUUUUACAUCCAAAUGAUGCAUUGACCAGUUUCUUCCACAAGCUAUAGCAACUAUCAACCUCAUAGUCUCUAGUCUUGCUACUGGAGCAUAAACUUCAAAGUAAUCCAUACCAGCCUUCUGCAUGAAUCCCCUAGCCUCUAAUCUUGCUUUGUACUUGGCUACUUCACCAUUUGGCUUCAACUUCAACUUGAAAAUCCAUUUCACAUCUAUUGGUUUCUUGGUAGCAGGCAGCUCAAUCAGUUCCCAUGUGUUAUUUCUAUUGAUUGAAUUCAACUCUUCAAUCAUUGCAUUCUUCCACACAUCUUCAUUCAGUGCUACUUCAUAAUUGAUUGGUUCUGCAUCUGCUAAUAGUGCAAAAUGCACAAAUUCCCCUUCUUCACUAACUAAAUUAUCUGGAGUGACUUCAUAUCGAGCCAAUCUAGUUGUAGCAAAUCUCUGUCUAGCUAAAGUUCUAAUGCCUUGAUUCUCUUCAACAUGCACUUCAGGUUGAACUUCAGUAUCAAGUUGAACUUGUUCAACUUGAUCAUCUUCUUCAAUUAUUGUGGGAACUGUGUGACUCUUCUCUUUCUUAUUCCAACCCCAUGCUUCAUUCUCACGGAUUUUAACAUCUCCACUAAUCAGCAUUGAAUGAUUUAGAGGAUUAUAUAACUUGUAUGCACCUGUUUCAUGAUAACCAACCAAUAUCAUAGGCUCACUCUUGUCCCCCAGCUUCACUCUCUUUUCAUCAGGGAUAUGCAUAUAGCAUAAUGAACCAAAAACUCUUAAGUGUUUAGCUGACUGCUUGCAACCAGUCCAAAUCUCUUCAGGUAUUUGAUCAAGUUUCUUAGUGGGGCAUCUGUUCAAGAUGUAGGCUGCAGUUGUUACUGCUUCUCCCUAAAAAGUAUUAGGCAUCUUCUUCAGCUUGAGCAUACUUCUGGUCAUGUCAAGCAUGCUUCUAUUCCUUCUCUCAGCCAAACCAUUAUGUUGUGCAGUGUAUGGAGCAGUGACUAUUAUCUUCACAAAACUUUUCAAACACCUUCGAAGUAUACUCACCAUCACCAUCAGUUCUUAAAAUCUUAAAAGACUUUCCACUUUGCUUUUCUAUCAAGAUUUUAAACUUCUAAAACAUUUUAAAUGCUUCGCUUUUGGCCUUAAUCAAAUACAACCAGAGUUUUCUGCUAAACUCAUCAACAUUGAGCAUCUCCUUUGAUCUAAUAGCAAUACCUCUCUCUCUCUCUAGUCUAUAAUAAGCUGAAAGAUAUAGAUACAAUAGACCUCAAGUGGUGUCCAAUUAUACCCGAUAAGGCAAGUUUUUCUCUUAAACUUUCAUGAAUUUAGUUUCUAUGUGCAUAUUUUAAUUCUUUAGGAUGCUGAUUGAAGAAAAAGAGCUGUUACUGAUAGGUUGAAACCAUGUUAUGCUAUGCUCUUUGCCUGGCAGUUAGUGAUCUUUACUGAUUGAAACCAUUCUCUCGCUAAUGCUGCCACUGUAAUUCGCUAAAAAGUAAUACCACCGGAUGGAGAGCAUUGGAUUUGAAAAAUAUUCAAUUUUACCUCUCUUCAGCACUUUGAUCAUCUCCACUAACUUGUACAUAUUUUUAGGUAUUCACUCAAGGAGAGCUUGGGUUUUUAUGUUCUCUUUUAUUCUGCAUAAAAGUUUAAAAAGUCAAAAGUUAGUUGUGUUUGGUUACAACAGCAAAGAUACUAAAACACACAAAUAAUAUUAUUUUAAUACUCUCAGGUCUUAUAUACGAAAAACAUUUACUUUUUUAAUUUAUUGCAUAAAUGAUAUAUUUGGUCUAUAUUCUAGACAAGAUAGAUCAAUUACUCCAAUAAAUCUAAAAAGUCAAUGUUUUCUUACAAAUAGGACCGUUUUGUAAAGUAUCCACCAUGCUUCUUAGAAGCAAAUGCUACAAUAAUUCUGACUAUUUGCCAUAAACAAAACUUUGUGAAUUAAAAUGUAACUUUACUUCCUUACCCCUUCUUCCUCCUCCUUAUUUUCUAUUUUAUGUGCUUUAGGACUAACUAGAGAAACUAAAAAACAUUCAUACAAUACUGCCCAAAACUACCAUGGAAUAAAACUAUGCCUUCAAUUAAGUUUGUUCUUGAUUUUAACCUGUGUUCACCUUUGUUUCUUCAUAUUUUCAAUUUGUUCAUUUGAGUCACUCGAUCUAUCCAUCACACCAAAUUGUCUGAAAGUGACAUCCAUCCAAAUUACUUUGUUCAAUUGUAAUGUGUCAAGCAACCCACGACUACGACACAAAAAUAAAAUAGAGGUCGUGAUAUAAUUACUAAGUAUAAACUGCAAAUCAAGUAAAACAACCGUGUCAAUUAAAAUAUCAAACUUGUCCAUGAAUUUUUGUAUUCCAUAUGAAUUGAAAAUUUAUGGUUCAUGGUAGUUAUUGAUACUCUCACCAGAGGAUUUUUCAACCAAAAAAUUAUGUGAUACCUUUUCAGACUGCAUCUCGGCCUUUAUUCUGAUUAGAUGAAGUACCAUAACUAUAGCCAAAGACGAAGCCAAGACAAUAAUUGGCAUGUGUAAUGACCUGUAAAAGUUUGGCCAAAGUAUCCUUCUCACCCUGAUAAUCGUUGUUCCAGCUUGCCUGCAGCGUGACUGUUGUUUUUCGAGUUCAGAAAACUACCUUUUAAUAAAAUUUAAUUCAUCAUCGAAGAUAUUAAUGGGUUGAGUCACGGCCAGGUCGCUUUCUUUAAGACGUUUCACGACGCUAACCUCGUUUGGCAAGUUAGACUAACAACUCCAGGAUAAAAUAGUGAGACUACUCAAAUAUGGUGUUACCAACAUUCUAAUUUUUAACUUCUCCAAUUAUGGUACCAUGACCACUCAAAUAUGUUGUUACUACCAUUCUAACGUCUAACUUUUCCAAGAAUUGAAGAAGAGUAUAUUUUUAAUAUCAUUCUUAUUAUACCGAAAAAGGGACCAUGAUCUUCAAAUAUUAUUUAUUAUAAAGAAACAUAUAUAAUUGAAAGGACUAUGCUCUUAAGACCAUUCUUAGUUGCGAAAGGACAAUAAACCGAAAAAGGACUAUGAUCUUAAUAACACUCUUAAUUUCGAAGAGACAGAAGGAGUAGGAAAAAAAAAGGAGAAUGACUCGUUAACACAAGUCGAAGGAGGGAGAAGAGAGGAAAAAACACAUGAAGCAUCAACUAUGACAAUUACGGUGUGUAGAAUGCAUUGUGUGUGAGCUCUCUAUUUAUAAAGAAAGUUCACAACUAAUAAGUGAAAAACUAAGGAAACAAAUAAUACACAUAUUAGAUCAAGUACAAAAAUAUUUCAACUGAGUACCAAAAUAUAUUAUAUUGCGUACAAAAACAUAUUAUUUAGUACAUUAAUAUAUUAUUGAUUAUCAAAAUAUAUUUCAGAUCAUUUACUAAAAUAUAUUACAUUGACUACCAAAAUAUUUCAUAUUGUGUUCCAAAAUAUUUUAUCAAAACUUGGGGACGAAGAAAAUACUUUUUAAUAAUGAUUAAAUUAAUUAUUUAAUUUAUCAUUUCCAAAUAAUAAAAUAUAUAUCAAUAUUUUUUUUCUCUCCAGUACUUAUUUUGUUCAUAUAAUUAUAUACCUCUAUUACCCACUAUAUAAACACUACUAAUGUGUGUUCCCCUAUUAGAAGUUGAAAAUGAGAAUGUUUUGAUUCUGUUUUGCUGAUAUAGGACUUAAGUCACCUAGUGUGAAAAGCAAUUUUUCAGUUGGGAGCGAGCAAUUUUUGUUGGGUAAAAAGCAGAAUUCUUUUACUAUAUAUAAAGAAAAUUACACAUUUCAGCCUACUUUUGGGUUGGAAUUUUCUUUCCAAAAAUACCCUUAAUUUUUAAUUUUAAUUUUAAAUGCAAAUAACACAUGUAACAAAUAGAUAUGAAUAAAUUUAAUUUAAGGAGAAAACUUUCGCACAAUUCUUUAUGAAUUGUUCUUACAGUUGGCCAAUUAUAAAAUAGCACGUGAAUUAUUAAUUCAUGUCACUAAUCAUCCCCGUUAACCCUCUUUUACCUCCGUUAACCACAAGUCAAACUCAGAAAAAAACUAGCACAAAACAAAAACUCAUGUUACUUUUUUAUCAGUCGAUUUUCCGAUUUUAUGUUGCACAUUUGUGUUAUUCCCCUCAAUAUAACUGACAAAGAUUGUCAAGUAUUUUCAUAUCCAUUCCAUAAAAAACAGUAUUUCCAUAUUAUUUAUUACUUCCACCAAAAACAGUACUUCCAUAUUAUUUUAUUAAUAUAAGUUACUCUUCCUUAGUCUUUGAUCAAUUGUAACAAAUGUGAGCAAAAAAUAAUGGUAAAGAUUGGACUUUAAAUCCUCUAAAAAAAGAUUAGAAACAAACAUGAACAAAAAAUAAUGUUAAAGAUUGGACUUUAAAUCCUCUAAAAAAAUGAGUAACAAGCGUGAGCAAAAAAUCAUGUUAAAGAUUGAACUUUAAAUCCUCUAAAAAAAAGAUUAGUAACAAAUGUGAGCAAAAAAUGAUGUUAAAGAUUGAACUUUAAAUACUCUAAAAAAAUAUUAGGACUCAAAAUAUUUUAGAAAAAAAUUUGUUAGUACUAUAUUAAAUAUUAAUAAGUAGGGUUCUCACGUUCGUUCCCGCGUUGUUUAAUUUUUCUCAGCCUCUCUCAACCCUCUUCAUCAGAAUUCAAAAUUAACCUGUUUAGUUUUUUUCUUUCUUUCAUGUUACAACUAAUCAAAGUCGAUUAAUUUUAUGGAUUAUAUAUUUGACUUUCCUGGUUUAUAAUUGCUUGUAAAAACUAUGAUAGCGUGGCUUUUUUUUAUUUUUUUUUAUUUUAUAUAUAGAGAGAACCGUGGUUUUUUUAAUUAUUAAAUAAAGGGAAAAUAAGCAAUGACAUCCCCUGCUGUUAAGCUUCUUCCACUAUCGUUUAAAGGAAUAAAAGCAUUGAUUUUCUCUUUGUGAUUUCAAACGUUAUGCAUGUAUACAAUUGAUAAACUGCUCAUAUGGCCCCCAUCCAAUAUCCAACAAAAUAGAGUGAAAUCAAAGUGUUAAAACCAUUUAAACAAUUCAAAAUUGUUAAAUGAUAAUCACACUCAUGUUACCAGCAACUAAAAACAGAAACACUAGAAAGCUUCAAAUCACCAUCUUUUGUUUUUAGUUACAUUCAAACCACCAUCUGAGAGGCCAUAAAAAGAGAGGACCACUAAGAAGUAUGGAUACGAACACCGACGCCAAAUACAACACAGAAACUAACACACUAAUAAGGUUGAUAAUUUGAGAAAAUUACAUAAUAUAGGAUAAUUAUAUUUGUGGAUGCAACACAUGUUCAGACACAUCUAAUAUGAGGAGUGUAUGUGAUUCAUAGGCGAGGAGUAAUAUCAUAUUUCAUAUAUGGUCGAAAGAGCAUAACUACACCUACAAAUGAUGAUGUUUCAAAAUUGAAUGACAUAAUUAUCAAUUAGUUUUCAGGAGAAUAAUAUAAUUUGUUGUCAUUUAACGAGGUUGAAGGAGAUACUCAUAACUUAUAUCAAUAGGAAUUCAUAUACUCAACUGCUCAAGAAAGUAUCCCACCACAUAUUUUUAAGGUAAAAAAGGUGCAUCUUUGAUGUUGUUGUGAAACAUAUACCCUAGAUAUGGUCUGUGUAAAGGAACACGAUUGUUAUGUCGUGGUUUAUUUAAGAAUUUGUUGGAUGUGGAAAUCGUAUCAGGAAGCAAUGCUGGAAAAAGAGCAUUCUUGCCCAGAACUAAAUUAAAAACAAAUGCGAGUUCAUGACUUCCCUUUGUGCUUAGUAGAAAACAGUUUCCAACUAAGUUUCGCUAUUACCAUAAAUAAGUCACAAGGGCAUACCAUUCGCAAUGUUGGAAUCUAUCUUCCACAACAUGUUUUCAGCCAUGGUCAAUUAUAUGUAGUUUUAUCAAGAGGAGUUUCUCAAAAUUCAAUAAAAGUUAUGAUUCACGACAGGAAAAUAGAAGGAGAAGAUGGAGACUUUACGAAAAAUGUAGUUUUUAAAGAUAUUCUUUUAUCGCAAUCAUAGCAAUGUUUCUUUUACACAACACACAUUUAUGUUAUGAUGUUACUAAUUACUACUCCAUCCGUCCCUAAUUAUAAGACCCUUUUGAAAAAAUAAUGGGAAUUAAGAUAGUGGAUAUUUGUAUUAAAUAUGUUUGUAAUUACUAUUGUUUUUACAAUUUUAUCCUUUAAGAGAGAGAGGUGGUUUAUGUUUUCAACAUGUUAUUUAUUGCUGAUUGAAGAAAAAGAUGUAUAAUAAAUAGGGGCAUGCAUGUAAAGAAAUAAUUAAUGUAGUUAGAAAUAACAAAAGAGUCUUAUAAAAAGGGACAAAAAAAAUUCUCAAAAUGGUCUUAUAAUUAGGGACGGAGGGAGUAUUAGAAUAAACAAUAAAUGACCAUUAUUUUACCUUAAUUUUAUAUGACAAACUAAAAUAUGUUGAGUUCAAAAAUAAUUUUGUUAUAUGCCUUUACAAUAUUUUUGUUUAUAAAUCAAUAUAUCAAUAAUUUUCAUAAUAUUUUAAUCAAAAUUAUACCAACAAACAUAAUAAAAUAAUCACAUACAGACGGGCCCGAUAGUGUCCGUCUUUCCGCUAGUAUGUGUAUAUAUAUAUAUGGUUUACACAGACUUGUCCUACUUUUGUUCAAUAGGUGCCGAUAUCCACAGCCACUCGUUGAUCGCGUUUGUUUUCAGAGUUCAUUCGUUUUCUUCCUUCUUCAUUGGAUUUGUAUACCUCCCUCAUCCUCAUCAUGUUUGAGGUAUUUUCAUUCCUUUUCAAUUCUAGUUGAUAAUUGAAUCUAUUAUGUUUGUUUGAUUCGAAUCUUCUCAAAUUUGUGAGAUUAGGGUUUGUAACCUUUGAAUUGAUUUAUUUUUAUGUGAAAUAGAAUGUUUUAUGAUGGAAUUAAACCUUCCAUUACACUGAUUCUUUGGUUGUAUGUUUCUUUAUCAAUUCAAUCUGUUCUGUGCUGUGUUGUUUGGAGAUAUUCCAAUCUUCUCUUAUUUGUGGGAUUAGGGUUUCAAACUUUUGAAUUGGGGAUUCCAAUUUUGUGUGUGACCCUGAUUUUCUUUUUAUUUGCAAGGGUUUUUGUUGAUUGGAUAACAUGAUUAUUCUAUUUGUGAGAGAAACUUAUAUACUACAUAUGUUCCUCAUUUUAUUGUUAUUAUUUUUAUAUUUGUGUUUGCCACUUUUAAUUAAUUAGUUGUUCUCUGUUGGAAUUUAUUCAAUGGAACGUUACCAGCAGCCUACACUCUCCCUAAUGGGUGAUUCGACCUAAUCCUAUUUUCAUACAAGUAUUUUUGCGGCGCUAAGUUACGAUGUGAGUUUUGGUGCGCUUUAUAUGUUUGACAUUUUAUCUUUUUAAAUUUGACAUUUUAAAAGUUCUGUUUGGCUCAUUGAUCUUCAUUUCAUUCUCUACUGACAGGGAGGAAGAAGAAAUCACGGUUUAUCUGGUUGCAUUAGCCUACCCCGGUUCAUGUUCUGAGCUUGGUCAAUCAUUGUGGAAUUAAAGAGGAAAAUAUCAGGUUUUGCAGGACGUUUUUGUAUAGGGUUUGAAACAACAAUUUGAUUCAAUAAUAUUGGAUCAGCUCUUUCAAAUACGCGUAUCGGGACGUAUCGGGGUGUAUCGGUAUCAGAUACAUGUCGGAUACGAUACUUCACCAUUUUUGGAGUAUCGGGGCUUCAGAGGCUAACAUAAAUUAUUCUAUUUGUAAUUAAUUAGUUGUUCUCUGUUGGAAUUUAUUCAAAGGAACGUUACCAGCAGCCUAGACUCUCCCCAAUGGGCCCUUCACGAUCGCCGCUGCCACCGCAAAUGGGUAAUUCAACCUAAUCCUAUUUUCAUACAAGUAUUCUUUUGCUGUUUGAUUUGAUGAAUCUCAAAUAAUAACUUCACCCUUCGGAUUCUUAUUAUUUCAUCAAUACAAUAGAAAAAAAACUUCUUCUUGGGAAGAAGCGGAAGGAGCAAAAAGUAGAAAGGUAACUCUCUCUCUCUCUCAAACUUUAGGAUCAAUGUCUCUCUUUCUUUAGCAUGCAUACUUGAAGCAUGAGAAAGAGUGGAUGCUGAUUGAAGAAGAAAAAGAGCGUCUUGGGAAAGGGAAAAGAGGAGCUGUUACUGAUAAGUUGAAACCAUGUUAUGCUAUGCUCUUGGCCUGAGAAUAGAGGAGCAGUUACUGAUAGGUUGAAACCAUGUUAUGCUAUGCUCUUGGCCUGAGAAUUGUGUCAGUCUUUUGUACAAGAAUGUAGAAGAAUUAUUAUAAUUCUAAUUGUGUUAUGUUUCUUUGUUUUGUAUUCUGUGUUGGAUUUCAGUUCUGCUGAUCUUUGUGGCACGUACUGCUUCA
rnacentral:lncRNA from 1 species